rnacentral:lncRNA from 1 species
UUUUUUUUUUUUUUGUCUUUGUCCAUCCAAGAAAAUUGUAAACCCAUCAAAAAUUGAAAACAAAUAUAUUAAUUUUUUCGAUGAUGACCAUUGCAAUUAAGAAAAUUCAUCCCUUGAUGGGUCUGUCCAUCAAGAAAACCUAACUAACUUGAAAGAUACUGCUAGACAACUAAUAUAUUAUUCUUGAUGUUUAUUGUCUAUUGAGAAAUAGUUUUCUCGACAUUUGUGAACCAUCAACAAAAUUGAGAAAACUUUGCCUAUCAAGGAAAUCAAGAAUCCACAUUUUUUCUUACGUUUUUUCGUAUUUCUUCGACAAAAUAAGGAGACUUUUCUUGACGUACAUACCCGUCAAGAUAAACAUUGUAUUAAGAAACAUACUUUUCUUGAUAUCCCUUUGCCAUGACCAUCAAACAAUCAAAAUUUGCGUGCAUCGAGAAAGACUAAAUUUGUAGUAGGUCCUCUCUUUUCAAAUUUACUAUUGAUGUCACGUGAAAGGUUAUGUAUAUUUUAUCUUCACCACACCUUGGUAUCAACCCAAACUAUUGACCUCAACUUUUGUAAGAAGGGAAAAGAAACUAAGGUAGCCAGCUUUUCAAUGUAUAAGCAUGUCCCAAUAAUCUUGAAAAACAUAUUCACCCUUUACAUUGGUCAAGUAAACUCCAUCCUGUCUUGCACUCCAAGAACAAGUUAAAUUGCCACAAAAAUUAUUCAAGAAAUUGUGAUUAGUUUUAAAAGAAUCAAAUUCCAAUAAUCCGUUCUCCCAUUCCAAUAUGCAACGAAAUUUAGUAGUUUCAAAAUCGUUAUCUUGGAACGACCAAUCUUGUAGCUCACCUGGAAAAAGUAUAUGCAACCCUAAAUCGUUAUCUUUCGAGAAGCAAUGACUGUCUAACAAGUACAUUUCCAAGUCGUUGUGAAUUUCGAUUUGAUAAUGGUGAAGUUGAAUGAUGGAUGAUUUUUGUGGUGCAAACGAGAAUCUGGCCAUCGACAUGUCGAAUAAGACAAUGAGGAAGAGAAAUAUCAAUAAGACGAGUAGAUGUGGUGCCAUUGUUGAUGUGUAGGAGAAGAAUCCUUGUAUGUCUAUUUAUAAGGUUAUUAUUUUUGUGCUUUUUUUUCACUUUGAAAUAGGAAGAGUUUAGUUGAUUAUUUUAGGAAAUUAGAGGCCUUUAUUUUGUUAUUUGUUUUAAUUUAUAUGUAGGUUGUUUUAAGUGUAUGAGAUCCAUUUAGUAAGAGAAGAAUAUUUGUUGGAGGUUUUGUUUUGUUAUGUGUGGAGCUUGGAGAGGAUAAAGAUGGUGAAUUAAUAAUGUGAAAGAAUGGUGGCCAUUACAUUAUAAAUAGUUUUCUUCCUAUUCAUUAGAAAUAAUUAAAUUAUAAAUAUAGUUUCUAAAAUUUUGAAGUUUGUCUAUUUGGUUAUUCAACUUUUAAAAUUACAAAUUUUGAUCUUAUACUCCAAUUUUUUUAAAAAACACAAGUGAAUGACUUGUUACAUUACACAUGCAAUACACAUAUAUCUAAUAAAUCAAUUAAUUUUUAAAAUUUUGAACUUUUCACGAAUUUAUUAGCCAAAAAAUUUAUAGUUCAAUGAUUUAUUAAAUACAAAAUUAAAGUUCAAAUGUCGUUUCUAUUAAACGCUUUUAUUUGUUUAUAAAUCAAAUUAUAAAUAUUAAAUUCAAAGUUUAGUACUCAAUUUGUAAUUUAAGGAUGAACAAACAACAUUUUCACAUGCAAGGUCAUCGUGCAAAUAUUAACCAACAUAGUUACAAAGUUAAAUUUCAAUACGAGCAUAUAGUUCAAAUACGUACAUUGCCUUUCCCUUUACAAAGUCGACCAAAAAAAUGCUACUUGAAUGUUUUUGGCAUGCAACCCUAAAUAAAGAAUUGCAAAAAGAUGGUGAUGAGACUUUGUCAUCUACCAAAGAAUUUCUAUUGAUGGAAAAUUUCUAAACUUCAAUUGUCAAAAACUUACUUAAAUAACCUAAAGCAAGGCUUAAAUAGCCUCCCAAUAAAAAACCAAAUGAUUUGAUGUGAUGUGGUUCAGUCUCUAGAAUUUGAUUCUCUGAUUCAAUUUCGAUUGAAUGCUUAUGCUUGAUUUGAGGAAGUGGAACACGUGAUGUUCUUGAAGUUUGAGUCUUGGAAGAAAGUUUAUAUUUUGAAAGAAGCUUCAAUCUUCAAGGACGAUUGACUUUAAGAGUUAGGGAGUCUUCUAGCUCUUGAGAGAAUUCUCACUAGAUAUUCUAGAGUAAAAAAUUUUCAACCCUUACAAAUGAUUGUCCACAAAUCCUAAGAUUACAUCUUGUUUCUUAAGUCCUACUGAUUCACUAUUGAACAAUUGGUUUUAGGUCCAACCUAUAAACCAAAUAUCUCUCAGGCUAGUGAGAGGGUAAGACUCCUUGUUCAAGACUUGGAUCUAAUCUUUAAGGGAACAACCUAUCUACUAACCCUAAAGCGGGUAAGAGUGAAUUUCAUCUUGCACACCCGAUGUCCAUAACCAUCAACCGGUCUCUACCCCUAAAGUGGUAGGGCUUAUUAGGCUAGCAAUGUUGAGCUAUCCUCACCUAUGCAGAUAUAAGUAUAAUUUCAUUUAAAGAGAAGUUCAUAGUUAGCUCAAGAUUAAGAUUAUGUUACCUAGGUCAUAAUAAUUGAAAUAGACAGUUUUAUAUAAUCAAUGUACGGUGUUAUAACUUAAAAAUGACUAUUUCAUGGUUUUAGUCUUAUGUAAACUCUUUACAUAGAAUGUCCCCACUUUCAUAUCUCUACAUGAACGAUUAGGGAUCACAUUAUUUGCAUUAACUACAAAGUGGGUUACAUCCAUAGUGUUCUUAGAAGAAGGCACCCAAACUUAUUCAUACACUAUAGACCGUUUGGGCUAUAUACUCGAACUUGAUCCACAUUUAUGUUUACAUAAACUUCAAGUCUACACUAGAUAGUCUCGGGAUCUUAGUUUAUUGAAUUUAAGAUUAUAGUAUUCUAUUUUCACUAUUAAGUCCUCAAUAACCACUUUAUUAUAUAGAAUAUAAUAUGAUUUUGUAAACUAUGAGUUUUAGGACAAAAAUUCCAACACAAUUAUCAACAUAAACCCAUAUAUAACACUUAGAGCUAGAAAGUCAAGAGUUUAACAUCAUUAGUGAAGAAAGAGAGGGAGAAGAGUACCCACCCUUGAUGAUUCCCUUUCUUCACGUUUUCCUAUCCCCAAUACUUCUUUAACCAUAAUGAACUUCUCAACGAACAAGGACACAACCAUAGAUGUAUGGGCUUUAGCACCUUGAUAGAGGAAGAAAGAUAGAGAAAAUUUCUUGAAAGAGUAUGAGUAGGGGUGUACAUAAUUCAGGUUGAGCUGGGAAUUGGAGGAAAAAUAUGGACCAACUAGAAGUAUAUGGGUUGGCAAAAAAUGAACCUUAUCGAUUUCAUGUGCAAGUGUCCACCCAACCCAAACAAUUCGGGUUGGGACAAUUGGGUUGGCGAGUUACUCUUUUUUUUUUUCUUUAAUUCAUAGGGAAUUUCAUAAUCUUAGUCGAUCAAUAUCUGUUCGACGUGAUGUUUUGGGUUAGAUACUAAGAUUAUCACUCAUGGCUAAAUUGAAUUCAGAAACCCAAUUUCAAGCCAAAACAAAAACUUAAAUCAAAGUAUUGCUUCAUGUGUUUUCCAGUAGAAAAAAAAUGGACAAAAUCACACGAAAGUGUAGUGUAAACAAAUCUGAUAAUCUACAAGUUCAAUGAAAUUCCCAAAUUGAAUAAACAACAUAAAAUAUGAUUGAAUACAAACAGUAACAAAUUCAAUCGAAGUUAAAGAAAAUUGCAUACGAAAUUUCAAUAGAAGAAAUUAUUUCAUUGAACGAAUUAAGUACCUUAUUAGAAGGUAUAACCGAAGCUAAGACCAAACAGAAGGCAGAUCCACAAAUUCUAAAUCCUAACAAGAUCUUCCACAAUUUCUCUUAAUCCCUCUUAAUGUUCUUAAUCAACAAACUCUCCAAUAACUUCCAUCUUCGCCUAACCUUACUCUCUAACAUCGUCAUUGAAAGGAUAAAAGCACUAUGACAGUGGAAGAAUUUAAAAAACCGUUACUCAAAUUAAUUUGGAAAUCUUAAAAUACUAGUACAUUGGCAAAAAUUUAGAACUAAAAUUCUAAACAAAAACUAAGCAUGCUUUUAAAUUAAAAGAUACGGAUAACUUACUUUCAAUGACGUUUUCUAUCAUCUGGGAUGAGAUUGGUUUGUGGGAACCAAUUGGGAUGAAAAAAGAUUUAGAGAUAUUUGAGAGAAACUCAUCUUUUUGCUUUCAUGAAUUUGAAUAAAUAUCUCUCCAAUAUCUUAUAGAUUUAUAUUAAUGUAAUUAAUUAAAUAUGAUUUAAUUAAUAUUUCAUUCCAAUCUUAUAUGAAUGAAUAUCUAUGCAAUAUCUUAUCAUUUUAAUUAAAUAAAACUAAACUAUUAUUAAUUCUCUAAUUAAUUAAUGGCUAAAUUAAAUAUCUUAUAUUAAAUUUGAAUCAUAUUCAAAUAUAAGUUUCUCAUAAUUAAUUUUAAUAUGAAUCAAAUUCACAUUAAAUUAAUAUUUGAACUCAUUCAAAUAUUUUAUCUCUCAUAAUUUAAUUUUGAAUCAUAUCCAAAAUUAAACUUAUAUAAUAAAGUUAGAUAAAGUUUAUAUUAUAAUGUAUCACUCUAUAUUAUACUAAUUCUCAAAGUAAAUAGAUCUUAUUACCCUUUACGAGCUAGGAAGGGAACCUAAUGGACCUAAAAUAAGCACAUGAAUAUCCUCUUUGUCACUAAAUCCACACAUUUAGCUAUUUCUUUUGCAACAUAUUUUGAUCCAAACACAUAAUCCUAUUAGAUUAUUCAAAUCACCAUUCCAAUUACAAGGUAACAUAUUAACAUCAAUAUAAAUAUAUAUAGAAUAUUACACUUAUGUGUGAUUACAUUUAUUUAAUGUGAGUUAUUCUUUUGGCUUUUGUUUAGAUUUUUCAUUAUUAUUACUAUUAUUAUUAAUAUAUAUAAACUUGCAACCAACUUAAUGAAUCAAAUGCAAAGGUUAGAUUUCAUUUCACAUGUCGACAUGUUCAAACAGUUCAAUAUGGACGGAAUGUGAUCUUUUGAUAUUUUAAUUUUACAUUUUUAUAGGCUAAUUUGGAUGUUUGUAUUAACCAUCAAUUAAUUAAUUUAAAAUAAUAAUGAUGUAAACUAUUUUGGUUACAUUUUUAAAUUAAUUAUUUAGGGAGAAGUAAAGUAAAGUUUUUAAAGGAUUUAUGGGCUGCCAAUUUGGAUAACCCAUAUGGUGAUUGAGCUUGAUGUUUACUUCCAACAACCAAUUCGACAAUUCAAACAUACCUUAAUUCAAGUUUUUUUUCUCUAUAUAUUCAAAUAAGAUCAAUACAUAGAAAACAAACCUUUUAUUUUUAUUUGUAAAAUAUGAUAUUUAACGUCAUAUCAAUACUUCAAAAGUACUCCAUGAUAAACAAAUCAACACCUAAACACAGACUUCUUAAAUGAACUUAUGAUAAAAUAAUCAAACUCUCGAAACAUAAGCUUCACGGAUGAUAACACCAAAAAUAUGAUAUCUAACCUCUCUUAAUUCGAGAUUCUUCUAGAACUUUAUGUUUCUAUUUGGUUAUUUUACAAGUUUGAACACAUUAAGGGUAGAGUCGGACUAUAAUAACAAAAUGGAACUAAAAUGGACAAGAACUGUGUCUAAUUCCAUCGAUCGAGGUCAAAGCAUCAAAUAACGUACAAUUUUGUCUCUACCAGCUUGCACCGUUGCACCGUUCAAAGGCAUAAUGCCUCCUUUGCCCGAAAGACACACAACACUGUGAUGCUUUGAAAACAAUUCGCACGAUCUUUUCGUCGAGCAUGUGAAUCAUCGUGACACUGUCCCUAGCAUCGUAGAUCCAUCUCGAUGUUAUAAUUAAAGCAAUGUUUUGCCACCUAGGUUGGAGAAAAUUCGUCCCAGCCAGCUCUUAACACGAUUCCUUAUAUUUUUCCACUAUUUUGGUUUGUUCAUGUAUCAAUUCAAUUCCUUGGUGUUCGUUAUGAAUAUUAUGGGCUAAAAUAUUGUAUUUUGGCUUGGGUGUUUAUGUCUCUUUCUCCAUUUCGAUCUAUGUUUUAGGUUUCGUAUUUAACUUUAUGUUGUAUUGUUGAUUUAGUUUUGUUUUCGAUAGAUUUUGAUUAUAGUAUCAGAUGUAUAGAAAUUUUAUGACCACUGCUUUGAUUAACUUAUGAUUUGUGAUUGAUUGUAUGUUAAUUACAAGAAGUGUGAAGUUAUGUUGGCUUGCAAAUCGAAUUAGAUGAGUAUUGAUCUAACUAACUUAGGAUUGAAUAGAUCAAAAUAUUUAGUUAGACGUUUAAAAGUUAAUUAGUUCAUUUAGUGUGCCCUAAAUCUUAAUGCAAUUAGGAUAAUUCGUUUACAUACGCAUGUUUUUCAUCUUGUUCGGUUGAACUAAUUAGUUAGAUUAGUUUUUCUGAUUAAGUUGGUUGAGUGUAAGAAAUAAAUCACGGUGGUUAGAAUUAUAUGAUCAACUACAUUGAACUGGAAGGAUUUGUCACAACCCAAACUACACUUUUUUUAAAAAAAUUGAUUCACAACCUUUACCUUUACCUUUUUGUUUUCUUGCAAUUUCAUUUAUUGCUAAUUCAUCACCAAACCCUCCUCCGAUUUCAUUGGUUACUCUCGAGAUGUGAGCUAUUUAUUUGAGAAACUAACACACUUCUUGUGUUCAAAUCGAUUUUACCACUAAGAUUGGUGCUUGUGUGGUAGAUUCAGUUUGGUAUUUGACUUGAGUUUAGGCAAUGAAAUUCGCCUAACCAUAUAUUAGACUUUAGAACUCAAAUUAAAAAAUACUUUGCAACCCCUCAAACAUACCCUUUCAACUCCAUAAACUAUAAUAACCAACUUUGCACUCAAAUAGUUGGCCCUUUAAAAUAUAAGUUAACUUGAAGUAGGAGAAAUUAAUCAAAUAGAAAAUGAACUCAAAACUCAAAUGGUAAAGGUAUAACAUUUUCAAGUUUAGAAACCAAAAUAUCAACUAAACCUGAAACUCAUAAAUAAAAGUAUAUUAAUUACUUUUGAAUGUCAGGACACCAAAAUCUACUGCAUAAACAAAUGUGUACAGUAUAGUUUCAUAAAUAUUUUCUGUACACAUGUAUAGAUCAUAUAUAAAUACCCAAAAUAGAACAACCUCAUAAUUGUAAGAGAAGUAAAAUAAUGAUAAUGAUGAGGACAACAACACAAUAAGAAUAAAAACAAUUAAACCAAUGAGAAUCUUCAUCUUCCUCAUUUGAAAAAGAUAAGAUGAGAUGUGUUCCUAUCUCCAUAGGUUUUUUGGGUGGCUACUCUAUUUUACAAAAUUAGCUACAACUCCUCAAACUAUCUUUCCUAUCUACUAUGCCCAAUGAGCUGUCUCUUAAAAGUAUAUACCAUUAUAUACUCAACUAUUACCAAUCGCUUCCUUUGAGCGGUGGAAACAAGUUACAACUUCACACAACUAACCAAAUGUCAUUCCAGUUAUUCAAUAUAUGAACUCUACCGCAAACAAAUAGAUUUCGUUCUAUAAGAAAAGCACCUUAUCUAGUAAAAAAAGAAAAAUCUUAUAUUGAGAAGGACAGAGAUCUUAAAAUUGAAUAUAUUUGUGAGGUGACAAAUGUAAGAAUCCAAGUUAUUUUCGAUAAAACAAUAAUAUACAAAGUUAAAAUAAAUAUAUAAUUCUUGUUUUUAUGAAAAAAAGAUUGUAUUAAGCUUUGACACACUCAUUAAGAAGGGUACAAGUAGAGAACAAUAACAAUAUGUGAAUUUCUCCAACAAAUUAGAUUGUUAGAAAUGUAUGAGAAUUAAUAAAAACCAGAGCAAGAAGAAUAAAGAUUUAAGGCCAAUUAAAAUCAAGAAAUCUAUCCACCGCCACACAAUUUGGUGAGAAAUAAUCGACAUCAUAUAUAUACAACACACUUUUCAUUAUGUCAAAUACAUAACUCCUCAAACCCUAUUCAAAUCUAUCUUCAAAUUUUGGAUGAGGUAGAAAAAGUUGCACAUGUAAGGUAGAAAAAACAAAAACAAACAUUCAAGCUCAAGUAAAAAUUCAUAUAACUUGACAUAGAAAAAGAAACAAAACAAAAAGGGUUUAAUGUUAGAAAACUUAAAUUAAUAAUAAGUUUUGGAAACACAUAGAUCCAAAUCUAUAGUUUGCAUGUGCACCAUGAAAAUAAUAUGAAUAUAAAAUUUAGAAAUAAUCGAAAUUGUCGUAAAUUUGACAAAAAUUUGACAAAAAUAAGUUUUAGAAUUAGACUUAUAGUCCAAACUUAUUGUCAGGGUAAAAAUGACAAAAAAUAAAUCAAUCCAUUAAAUAUCAAGAAAAAGUAAUAAUAUACUUAAUAACAUCUAAUACAUAACACUUUGUAUAUAUAUUUGAUAUACUUAUAAUAUACUAUUGAUAUACAUUUGAUAUCUUUCAUAAACUCGAGACACUUCAUACACUAACAAAUGUUAUAUCUAGAAAAAAAAAUAAGACAAAUGUGUUACCCACGUUGAAUGUUAGAUUUUUAAUUUGUCAUUGGCUGUAAUUUUUUCAUGGACGGAUCCAUGCACAUAGGGGCCACGGGCAUAUCAUAUGUCUCCCCAACUUAAUUAUUAGUUUUUGUAUAUUUAACAUAAAUUUUAAGUACUUAUUUAACAUAAUUAAAUAUAUACAAAAUCAAGUUAUUAAAAUAUCAAGGUGAGUAGAGGUAGAGGAGCACACCGUGAACGCAUUCGUCGUGGCUUCAAAUUCUUUCCCAUAAAUUUUUUAUUAACUUUAGAGUUAAAGCUAAGAUAAUAUCUUCUUCUUCCAUGGUCAACAUAUACAGUACAUAGCAUUUACAAGUAAGUUUCAAAUUUUUCUCAAACUUUUUAGUUUUCAUACAUUUAAAUUUAAAUUUAUGUAAUAAAUCUUAAUACUUUGCUUCUAAUUGAACCUUAAUUUUUUAGUUUUGAAAUGACCAAUAAAUAUAUUAUUUUAUUUAAAAAAUGUUUGGUACUAACAAACAAUAAAGAUGUUAAAUUUACUGUAUAUUUUUUAAAGUUCAAAAACUAUAUAUAGCACCGAUUGAAAUAUUAAUGGCCUAAAAUUUUGACCUUACAUAAAGUUAUGCUCUUAAAUCAAAUCAAAUAUGCAUAUCAUUAAAUGUUGCACGCAAUUUACUUGAAUUUAAUUACAAAAUUGAAAAAGAAAUAGUAAAAUUUAUUAUAGAUCACUCUAAAAAAAAUAGCAAAUUAUUAAAAUUAUUUACAAAAUAUAAUAAAAUUCAUCAAAUUAUUUCCAACUCAUUUCAAUAUCUUACUAGUCAUUCACAAUUUUCUAUUUACAUAAAAUCAAAUAGUAGAGCAAAGAGUAAUAUAUAUAGUUUAUCCUCUUUGAAUAUAUUUCUAUACAUUACACACCAUAUAUGGGUAGAAAAAAUGUAUAUAUCGGUGUAACAGUAAAAUAGGUCAUGUUCUUAAAAGUCGUAAACCUUUUUAGAAAAAACCACCCAAUUUCUCUCACAGUUUUGUUCUCUCUUUUUGCAAUAUAAUGGAUAUAUGGAUUUCAUUUUGUUGCUUCUGCACCAUCUAUUUUCAAUCUUUGAAAUACUCGCAAUUAUUUCCAUAUACAUCCAAAUUUUAUCCAUCUAAUUAUUAACACUUAUUAUUCUCCCUUUAAAAAAAUUAUUAACAUUUAUUUCAAAUGACUCAUCAGACUUCCUCCUAGACUGUUCUAUCAAAAUCAAAUAAUUGUAUAUAAAAUAUUAUAUAAAUAAAUAAAUGUAGUAGUUGUAUUUAUACGUAUCAAAAUAAAAUAAAAAAUUCUUGAUUCUUUCUCUUCACACAUUGUCGACAUAUAAUAUAUAUUGUUUAUUCAUUCAAUCCGGUCCCUCUGGAAAAAGUAGAGACAUUAGUUCAAGUCCUAUUUUUUUAAUUAUCACAUCCAUAUACUUCAAUUUUAUUUUACUUAUUUUGCUUUAAAUGUUCCAUUUUGUUUUCAUUACUAUAGAAAAACAACUAAAUAUUAUCGAUUUUAAAAAGUUAAAUAUUUAUCCAAUGGUUGAACUAAAUUGGAGACUAAUAUACGUUGCCCAUACCCCUCACCAAUAUAUCUUCGUGAAAUCUAUAUCCACCAACCAAAUAUAUUUUAAACGUAUAUAUAAUUUGACAUGUUAUGUCAUAUUUUAAAAACCAAUAAAAUUACUUUUUUUUUUCUUUGAAAUCUAUUCCAUAUUUAAGAUUUGAAUUUGAUUUCAACUUAGUAAUAAAAUAUUAAAGGAUAUAAUUUUAUUCCUAACAUUUAAAUUUUAUUUGAAAAUUGGAUCCCAAGAUGUUAAGAUUAUUGUCAAAUUUGAUUUCAACAUCUGCGCCACAUGCCACUUCAAUUUCCUACUUAAAUACAGCUUUCUCAUCCAUACUUAAAAUCUGGUAUGUUCAUUGAUUACUGCCUAAUUAAAUUUCAAUUUCUUGUGGGUCUUUACUUUCUUUUUUUAAACAUUUUUUCCCAUGGGUCACCAACCAUGUUUUAUGGAUUAUGAUCUAAAUUGAUGGUAAUGAACUCUAUAAGUCAUAGAACUCAACCUAUGCAAUUCUCCCCCUCUUCUCUUGCCAAAAGAAAACACUAACCACUAAUAUAAAGAGUCACUGAACUACUAAUUUACUUGUAGAAAUGUAUGGGAUACAUAUUAAUUAAUUGAUAUCUAAAACUCUAAAAUCUACCACCAAAACAGAAAUAGAUAAAAUAAAAUCUUUAGGAUAGUAACAAAAUACCGUCAAAUUUAGGGUAUUCAACUAAUAGAGUUGGUGUAUUUACUAAUAAAAAUUUCAAUUCUGUAUUCAACUAAUAGAGUUGGUGUAUUUACUAAUAAAAAUUUCAAUUCUAAGUAAAACUUCUAUGAAAAUGCAAAAGACAGUAUAUGUAUAUAUAAUUACCAAAAUCAGUAUUACAAUUAUUCUAAUUUAGUCGUUAAACUUUAAAAAAAGAAUACUCAUUUGGUAAUUCAUAUCAUCAUAUCAACCAAAUCUAGACGUUUAAAAUCUAAACUAGAGCCAACCAAUACUUAAGCACAUGUCAACGUUAUAUUAUUCAUCUAUAACCACAAUAAAGUUUUUAAAAAAAUAAGAAAAUAGACAUUUUGUGAAUUUAAAAAAAUCUAAAUAGAAUCUUCAAAAAUUUAGAAACGACUACUACAAUAGUAUUUAAACAUUUUAAAAAGUAUAUAUUUGAUUUCAAAUAUAUAUAUAUAAUAAAAUUCUAUAACCACAAUAAAGUUUUUAAAAAAACAAGAAAAUAGACAUUUUGUGAAUUUAAAAAAAUCUAAAUAGAAUCUUCAAAAAUUUAGAAACGACUACUACAAUAGUAUUUAAACAUUUUAAAAAGUAUAUAUUUGAUUUCAAAUAUAUAUAUAUAAUAAAAUUCUAUAACCACAAUAAAGUUUUUAAAAAACAAGAAAAUAGACAUUUUGUGAAUUUAAAAAAAUCUAAAUAGAAUCUUCAAAAAUUUAGAAUCGACUACUACAAUAGUAUUUAAACAUUUUAAAAAGUAUAUAUUUGAUUUCAAAUAUAUAUAUAUAAUAAAAUUCUAUAACCACAAUAAAGUUUUUAAAAAACAAGAAAAUAGACAUUUUGUGAAUUUAAAAAAAUCUAAUAGAAUCUUCAAAAAUUUAGAAUCGACCACUACAAUAGUAUUUAAACAUUUUAAAAAGUAUAUAUUUGAUUNNNNNNNNNNNNNNNNNNNNNNNNNNNNNNNNNNNNNNNNNNNNNNNNNNNNNNNNNNNNNNNNNNNNNNNNNNNNNNNNNNNNNNNNNNNNNNNNNNNNNNNNNNNNNNNNNNNNNNNNNNNNNNNNNNNNNNNNNNNNNNNNNNNNNNNNNNNNNNNNNNNNNNNNNNNNNNNNNNNNNNNNNNNNNNNNNNNNNNNNNNNNNNNNNNNNNNNNNNNNNNNNNNNNNNNNNNNNNNNNNNNNNNNNNNNNNNNNNNNNNNNNNNNNNNNNNNNNNNNNNNNNNNNNNNNNNNNNNNNNNNNNNNNNNNNNNNNNNNNNNNNNNNNNNNNNNNNNNNNNNNNNNNNNNNNNNNNNNNNNNNNNNNNNNNNNNNNNNNNNNNNNNNNNNNNNNNNNNNNNNNNNNNNNNNNNNNNNNNNNNNNNNNNNNNNNNNNNNNNNNNNNNNNNNNNNNNNNNNNNNNNNNNNNNNNNNNNNNNNNNNNNNNNNNNNNNNNNNNNNUUCCUCAAAGUUCCAUACCCCUUCCCUCUGUAGCUUCCUUUCUUUUAUCUCUUUCCUCUAACUCCCGGCCCUACCAAAGUGGUCCCCCUGGUAGGUUCUUGUUUCACCUGCAAAAGAUUCAACCCACACCCACACCCACACAAAUACACAGAAUAUUUCCAGCACACUCACAAACACAAUACAACGGAGAGAGGCUGAUAUAUGUGUGUAUAUAUAUUCAAUAUGGAAUCAUAAGCUUCAACCAAGUAAGAGGGUUGCUCUCUCCCCAAUGAACAACGUUCAUUCAAAAUACAUAAUAACCAAGAUAAUCAACCCUAGCAAAAAACGCCUAUAUAUAUAUUCCCUUUCUGCUGCUGCCACGUGUUGUUAGGACCACUGGUCAUCCUAACAACCAUGUUGUCUAGGUGGAAUUUUUAUUAUUUUUACCCCUCCUUUGGUAAACUUGGGUGAUUGGAGGCCUAGUGUAACGGACAUACUUGUCCAAGGUGUGUUUACCUAUGGCCGUAUGCUCCGAUUAGCCCCAAUUUAUCUUGUCUUUAUGUCUUGUAUGUAGUUUAGGUAGUUGCUUUAAAUUUCAAGUCGAUAUGCUUGGGUGUGACGUUUCGGCAUUUUCAUAUGCAAGCCUACCAGAGAUGAAAAUGUUAAAAAUGUACUAUAGGGGAGGCAUACCUGUUGAAUCCCCGCCCAAGCCUUGUCGUACACUUUGCAAUCUAUGCUUUCUUAUUGCAAUUGACAGUCUUCAAUGCUUGUUUUAACAAUGUUUUCAAUCAAUUUAAUCAUCUUUCACGUUUUCUAAAAAUAUUUUCCAAGAACGUGAGGGGAGGUUGAAGCAUGUGUUGAAGUUGUCUGCGAUUUGUGGAUUUUGAUCGGCUGACUUGUUCGUCGAGCUAGAACAAGUGCCGCACUAUCGUUCACAUCGUGUUUGAAGAAUUACGAUUGUGACACCUAGCACCCUCUCUAUUAUUUCCCACCAUCGUUACGUGUGAUAUUAAUUUUACCUUCAUCAUCACGUGUGUUAUUAUUUUUAUUUCUCCUACUAUAUUUAAAUAUCAACGGGGGCCUAACGGAUUAUGAAUUAGAUUUUAUUCUUUUAGAUUGGAGUCCCAUUUUUGUAGCUUACUGGGAUCCUUUUGCCGAAGUUCUUUAAUCCUCUAGUAAAUAUUUAACUUUCUUUAUUAAAAAAAGGAAGAAGAAGAAAGGAAUAACAAAAACUGACAAACUCCUUUAGAUUGAAGUAUUAACCUUUCCAUAUCUUUGCCGAACAAUCUUCACUCCCACUAACAAUGACUUCGGAAGCAUGUGAAUCCACUGAAUACACAAUGGUAGUGUCACCAACCAUCUCCAUCAAUGUUUCACCACUUAGUGCCCAUAACCUAAUGGAACUGUCUAAAUGGAAAAGAAAAUCAAAGUCAACUUUCUAAUUAAUUCAAUAUUCUAAUAUAAAGAAUAUAACAAAUAGUCCUCCCAUGUGAAAUGAAAAGUGGUUCUACAGAUUCAGAGAAGGCAAUAGAAAUCACUCAUUUUAAUGUCAUUUAAUAUUUCAUCAACAACCUAUAGAGUUUAUUAAUCUUUUUCUUUCCUACUAAAGAAGCUCUAAUUUAUUACUCUAGGAAUGGUCCUUUCUAACUUAUAUACAGGUAACAAAAAAUAAAUUGAAGAAAUACUCUGAGCUUUUCCAUUUAGAAAUCCCAAUGAGCAAAGACUAAAGUCUUCCCGGGAUUCUUAGGAUGCCAAACUCCUCUCAUUGGAUAGACAUCAAUAUAUCUUAGAUGAGAAGCUACCUUGAAUAGCCUUGCUUCCUCAGCAUAUAAACAUAAAUAUAUUUGUUGUAUUCAAUCAAAAAUAAAAGAUAAGCUUGUUCUGAAACCAAUUCCAAAAAUUUCUUCGAAAAUAUGCUGGGAGAGUUGUUGUUGUUUAAAUACUUGGUCCUUCGAAGGUUGGAAUUACAAUGUAACUUUUCACAUAUUCAUGAAAAGUUAUGAUUCUUAUUAUGAAAGAAUGAAACUUCGAACUAGUUCCUAAAGGUAGUACUUUUAGCUGAUGUGGCAAUUUGGAUCAGCCAUGUACGGUUGCAUUCCUCAAUGUGAGUGAUAAUCAAACCCAAACUACCUCAAAGGAAUUAUUUUGUACAGUAACUCCAUCUUUACCAACUGCGACAUAAAACUAUCUAGGGUUCAUGGGUUGGGGUAAGAAAACUUUUGGACCCAACCCACCAAGUCUUUUUAUCAUUAAGUUUUCUUCAUUUUUAUGUCAAUUGGCAUGUAUUUUAUAAGCUUUGAGAGAAGAAACUUAAUAUAAAUGUAUACUUGGUCAGAACCCCGUCAUUUAGCCUCAAUUUUCACAAUGUAGAGGUAUAGAAUUCAGAGAGGUUAUUUUAUUUUCUUAAAAUUACUCCCCAACUGUUAAUCUAUGAUUAACUUUUGCUAUAAAAAAUUAGUCCUUAUAUCCCUCUUCUAGAAAUUUGACAAACAUAUUAAUCAGGCGCCUUUUUCUGAAAAAUAAUUGUUCAUAUAUUUUUUUGAAACAGAGACAACCCUUUUUAUUAAAGAUGUAAGUAAAAGAGACUAAUGCUCAAACUAUAGGAGAAUUAUACUAAGAGCGAAAAGAAUGACCAAAACAAAAGUACAGACAAAUUGAACAAAACAAUCAAAAUCCUGAGAAAACAAUAGAAAACUGAGAACAAAGCGAACUUAAAACCUUUCAACAAGAAGCCCAAAAUCAGCUGAAAAUUGCAGACUAAAAACUUCAGACUAGAUGGAAGGAAACACCAAGGGAGAGCUAACAACAAUGCAGCUUUGUUGAAAAAAAUAUCCCUCCCAAGUCAUCCUUCGAUCUUGAGUGAGUGACUAGAACCAGAAUAUUUCAUAAGAACUUUAGAGGGCCAAAAUAAUAAAAGCAUUCGUCGAACCUCAUGUGAUCCACUAAAACAAACCUAAAAGAUAAUUGGCUGAAAAACCAAGAUCAAGUUAUUCUAUACUCAAACCAAAGUAGUUCCACAUCGCUCAACAAUUGACUUCAAGCGAUCUGGAACUUCACAUUGUCGAGCUUGUGAGGGAAAUAAAGAGACUUGUUUCUCAGUAAUUAAAUCCUCCCUUGUCUGAAAGCGGUAUUAAGAUCAGAUUCUAGAGGAUCCUUAAUCAACUGAUCAAUGUUUACAAUGAGUAGUGGAGGCACUUUUGAUUCAGAUUUUACCGAAGGAGCUCAAGGUAUCGUGCAAUGUGAUCGAUUUUCUUGGGACACAUAAAUAAAUCUAACGCCAAUUGAAACAUAAGGACUAGUAUUUGGAGCAUGAUAUUUCUUCCUAUCUCUACAUGUAAAGAUCACAAGAAAAAUAAGAAUUUCACAAAAUAACAGAAAACAAAAUUAGACAAAAUCAGGGCAUGGCCGAGGAUGAGAUUAGAGAUGAAGCGGUGAUUAGUAUUUAUUGAAAAUGGGAGAAAAGUAGAAUGUCAAACCAAUCCAAGAACAUACCUCACAAAUCUUCGGAGAGACGAUCGUGGUCAAAGCAGUGGUUGUGGUCGAGGAUGAGAUUAGGGAUGAAAGGAUGUUACGAAAGGUAUAUCAACAAGAAGAAGGGUAAAACAACAACAUCCUGUCAAAAAUCACUUAAUGUGAUUGAGAUCUUUUAGCAUGACUGCUUGAGAACUAAAGAAAAAUUUAGAAUGUGACUGAGAACUUUUAGCACAACCGGGCAGCAACUUCAAUAACAGAAAAACAUGCAUAAUGUAGGAAGACAGCAGAUUUAAAAUUAUGACAGUGUAUUUAUGAAUGUCAGGCGAUACAUUAAUGUUCCAAAAUUCAACCAAAGUAUGGGAUGAAAGAUAUACAAGAAUCUUCCAUGAUAAGGGCAAGACCAGGAUAUCCUUAUCCAAAAGAAAGAAAAAAAUAAUCAACCAAAGUAAAUUCCAUGUAUGAUUGGAAAUUAUGGCCAAGGCGAAGGAUGAAGCGGAGAAUAGAAGGAAUAUUGAGCAGGGUACGACUUACCAUUAGCUUAGAUCAAAACCAGCAUCCGCAUUUAUGGCAUAAAGAAAUUUGUUUGCCAGCUGCUCCUUGCUGCAUUGCUCACAAAUCAUAGAGUUGUGAAAAUGAAAACUUAUGCAAGUUUUUUUAUCCUUUUUAGAAAAGAUGUAUAUGUUUUAGUUCAUCCACAAAUCAACAGACUUAAUAAACUGAUGUAAUUCAAGUUGGACUUAGUUUUUCACAAUGAAUUCUCCACCAAUAGUGGCUAAGAGAUGGAGUAUAUAUUGAGGAUUGUAAGUAGUUACAAGUAGUUGAAAUAACUGUUUUUAUGAAACAGUUUUAAUUGCAGUCUUAACAGCUAAACAGUUUAAUUAUUUAAACUGUUUUACUAACUAACUACAGCUGUUUAGCCAUGGCAUUCUAUAUUACAUCAUUCCACCCCUAGCAUGGAACUCGACCCGAGUGACUUAGUUGACAAGGCAGAAAUCAUCUGGGGCAUAGUACUGUUUCAGGUCUGCCACGUUAAAAAUAGGAUGAAUGUGCAAGUCUGGUGGUAGUUCAAUUCUGUAAGCGUUAUCUCAAAUCUUUUCUAGGACACGAAAUGGUCCUAAUUGUCUGUCUUUCAGUUUGUGUUCCAGUUGGAAAUCGAAUUUUUCUGAGGUGAAUCAUUACUAAGUCUCCCUCAGUAAGGGUAGCUUGUCUUCUCUUUUUGUCUGCUGCCUUUUUGUAGGACUGAGUUGAUUCUUUUAGGUGGUUAUGGACUUCUUCGUGUAAAUUCUGAAUCUUUUCUACCAUCUUUUCUGCUUCUGAGCUAGUGUCAAUAGCUGUGGGGAGUGAUGCUAGGUCAAAGGUUGUUAGUCUUGGCUGUUUUGUGUAUACGACCUCAAAUGGACAUUUGCCGGUUGAUCUAUUCUUCAUAUUGUUGAAGGCGAAUUCUGACUGUGCAAGAGCUAAGUCCCACUGUUUUGGUUUGGAUCCACUAAGACAGCAUAUUAAGUUGUCGACAGUUCUAUUUGUAACUUCUGUUUGGCCAUCUGUUUGAGGGUGUGAUGUUGUGCUAUAUUUCAUUCAAGGUUGUGUCAAAUUUGCUCCAUAAUGUCUUCCAGAAAUGGCUUAGGAACUUGACAUCCCGAUUAGAAACAAUGGUCUUUGGUACUCCGUGCAGCCGAACUAUCUCUCGACAGAAUAAAUUAGCUAUGUAGGUGGCAUCAUUUGACUUCUUACAAGCCACAAAGUGUGCCAUUUUACUGAAUCUGUCGACUACAACCAUGACUCAGUCAUACUGCCUUUGAGUUUUUGGUAAUCAGAGCCCGAAAUCAAUUGAUAGAUCUUCUCAAAUGGAAAUUGGGGUAGGUAAUGGUGAGUACAGGCCGGCGUUUAUACUUGAACCUUUAGCUCUUUGGCAGAUAGGGCACCUUUUAAUAAAGUUGUUACAGUAUCUUCUUAAUUAAGGCCAGUAGUAUCUCUUAAAGAUUAUUUCAAAAGUUUUAUCCUGCCCGAAGUGUCCAGCCAAUCCUCCUGAAUGAGCCUCUUUUAGUAGUGCUUCUAGAAGUGAUGUGUGUGGGAUACACAACUGAUCUCCUUUGAAUAGAUAUCCUUCCAUUAUAUGGAAGUCUUCCGCCUUGGUGUAGUGGCUGCAUUUGGUCCAUGUCAUGGCGAAGUCAACGUCUUCCCCAUAUAGGUUAGGUAAGUGUUUGAAUGCCUCGAUCUCCAUGGAUAGAAUAGUGAGUAAGGAGCUCUUCCUGGAUAGUGCAUCUGCCACCUUGUUCUCCUUACCAUUUUGGUGCCUAAUGACAAAGUCGAACCUUUGUAGGAAGGAGAUCCAUCGUGCGUGCAUCCGAGUAAUAUUCUUUUGUGACUAGAGAUCUUUCAAAGAGAAGCGGUUCGUUAGGAGUACAAAUUCCCUGCAUAGGAGGUAAUGUUCCUACUGUUUGAGUGCUCGGACAAGGGCAUAAAGCUCUUGUUCAUAAGUGCUCCAGGACUGUCUUGUUGUGCUCAACUUCUUACUGAAGUAUUCAAUAGGGUGGCCUUGCUGUGAUAACUCGGCUCCAAUUCCGGUUCCGUAAGCAUCAACAGCUACUUCAAAGGGUGAUGCGAAGUUCGACAACUGUAGAAUAGGGCUGGAAGUUAGUCUUCUUUUUAUCUCUUCAAAGCUCUGCUGUUGCUCUUCGUUCCACUUAUAGUUCCCUUUCUUUAGGCAGUCGGUUAAGGGGGUCACUAUUGAGCUGAAGUUUCUGAUGAAUCUUCUGUAAAAGGAUGCCAAGCCAAGGAAGGCUUGUACCUCCUUGAUGGAGGUUGGUAUUGGCCAAGACUUUAUGGCUUCUGUCUUCUUUGGUUCCAUACCUACUUUUCCUUCUUUGAUUACGAAGCCGAGAAAGACAAUUUCCUUGGUGAGGAAUGUACGUUUCUUUGGAUUAAUGUACAGUUCAGUUUCGGCCAGGACUUGGAACAAUUUUCUUAAGUGCUGAAUGUGGUCCUUCAGUACUAUUGUUGUACAAGAGGAUGUCAUCAAAGUAAACCACUAUGAACUGGUUUAGAAACGAGCACUGGUUCAUCAACCUCAUGAAGGUGCUCGGUGCAUUGGAUAAGCCAAAGGCCAUCACCAACCAUUCAAAUAACCCUUCAUUAGUUUUGAAGGUUGUCUUCCACUCGUCUCCGGGCCUGAUUCUUAUUUGGUGAUAACCGCUUCUUAAGUCAACUUUUGAGAAGAUGGUAGCUUUACCUAGUUGAUCUAGUAAGUCUCCAAUUCGAGUAAUAGGAAAUCGGUAUUUUACAGUGAUUCGGUUGAUAGCCCUGCUGUCUACACACAUACUUCAACUUCCGGCCUUAGGUGUGUGAGCAGUGUUGGCACAACACAAGGGCUUAGGCUAGGCUUCAUGUGACCCUUUUUCAACAAGUCUUCAAUGUGGUCAUGUAAAUUAGGUAGCGAGGCUCCUGGGGUAAGAUCAAUUUGGUGUUGGAUGUCACGAAUUGGUGGCAAUCCUUGCAAGUCCUUCUUUAGGUGAGGAAAUCUGCAAACAAGUUCUCUAAUCUAGUCUCACCUUCUUUCUCCAGGGGUUUGUCAGCCACUACAAGUCCCAAAAGGUCUUGCUCCCUUUCUCUCAAGAUCUUCUUCCCGCUCACUGUGAUGAAGAGUUGUCCUUUUUUCUUCUGCUUCAGGCCUUCAGAGUUUUUCUUUGUUAAUGGGAGUUGAAUUACUUUCCUUCCCAUCCACUGGAACUCAUAGGUGUUUUCCCUCCCCCUGUGUUUGGUUCAGGUGUCAUGUUGCCACGGUCGGCCUAGGAGUAGAUGGCACACGUCCAUGUCUAAAACGUCGCACACAAUCUGGUCUUUGUAGCUACUUUCGAUGGAUAGGGGCACGGUGCAAAUUUCAUUGAUUGAUUGUGGUCUCUCCUCCUUUCUUCACCCAUCCUAUUUUGUAAGGAUCAGGGUGAGGGUCUGUUUUUAGGCAGAGAAUGGUCACAAUCUUUAUUGCUAAAAAGUUCUCACUGCUUCCACUAUCACUUAUAAUGUCCUCUAUAGCCAUGAGCCAUGAUUGUAUGGGUGGUUUGCCGAAUCUCUGUCUAUUUAUCUCCAAUUGGUCCCACCAUGUUAAGGCUCCUCCUCCCAAUUUUAGAGCCACAAGUUCUCGGUGUUUUUUAUCCAAUCCAAGAAAGAUUCUAUAUCCCGUUUACCAUUAUAGGUUGGGAGGUCAAUUUUCAUUUUGUAGUCGUGAUGAAUCUCUCGUCAUGCUUUAUGUCCUCUAUAGCCGUGAGCCAUGAUUGUAUGGGUGGUUUGCCCUAUCUCUGUCUAUUCAUCUCCACUUGGUCCCACCAUGCCGAGGCUCCUCUUCUCAAUUUUAGAGCCACAAGUUCUCGGUGUUUUUUAUUCAAUCCAAGAAAGAUUCGAUAUCCCGUUUACCAUUAUAGGUUGGGAGGUUAAUUUUCAUUUUGUAGUGGUGAUGAAUCUCUCGUCAUGCUUUAUGUCCUCUAUAGCCGUGAGCCAUGAUUGUAUGAGUGGUUUGUCGAAUCUAUGUCUAUUUAUCUUCAAUUGGUCCCACCAUGCCGAGGAUCCUCCUCUCAAUUUCAGAGCCAUAAGUUCUCGGUGUUUUUUAUCCAAUCCAAGAAAGAUUUGAUAUCCCGUUUACCAUUAUAGGCUGGGAGGUCAAUUUUCAUUUUGUAGUCGUGAUGAAUCUCUCGUCAUGCUUUAUGUCCUCUAUAGCCAUAAGCCAUUCGAUAUUCUCCGUUGUCGUUCCAAAUAUUUCCUUGGUCGUCGCCACUGGAAGAAUCAUAAUCUUGCACGUUUUGCCACUCCUCGUCGUCAUCUUGCUCAUCAUCGUCGGCGUGUCGUAGUGGGAUUCCUCCCGGUCUCCUUCUUUGAUCAUUUCUUUGGUUGGGCCAGUUUCUAAGGUUCCUUUGAGCCCGUCAGCCACCUCUGUUUCCUGCCUUCCAGUCAUAAUCCUCGUUCCUUGCCGGUGCCGGUAGUUCAUCCAUUCUUCGAGUGAGUGAGUCUAAGUUGUCCAUUACUUUGUUCAUUUUGUCAUGUAAAUCUCCCAAGGAGUCUUCGACGGCCAGCAAGCGUACAGUGGUGGUCCUUGGAGAGAGGGUGGCGGUCUCUUCCACCUCUUCCUGCUCGCGGUUGUCCCCUGCGGCGGGGAUUCUUCUCCGGCCAGCCAUCCGUCUGAGGAUCGGGGCUGCUCUGAUACCACUUGAUGUAAUUCAAGUUGGACUUAGUUUUUCACAACUGCCAAUAAUGGCUAAGAGAUGGAGUAUUUAUUGAGGAUUGUAAGUAGUUACAAGUAGAUGAAAUAACUGUUUUUAUGAAACAGUCUUAACUGCAGUCCUAACAGCUGAACAGUUUAAUUGUUUAAAACUGUUUUACUAACUAACUACAGUUGUUUAGCCAUGACAUUCUAUAUUACAUCAUAAACCUAACCAAGUUAUUCAACCAAAUUGGUGUUAGUUUCACGUAAUCACGAAAAAUAAAAAUUUCUUGGUGGACUGGAUGUUGUAUGGCCAAGUAAAAAAGAAAACCCAGCCAUAAUGGACGAGCCGUGAAGGUGAAAAACAUAGGAUAUGUUUGAGAAUGAUUUUUUAGAGUUAAAAUCACUCCGUAUAUGUUAGAAGCCACUCUGGCAUGCCCUUAACUAUUGAGAAUCUUAAUCAAUUUAAUGUUUGAUUUAAUACUUAAACCCGAUUUUCAUAGCACCAAAUUUGAUUUUCAAUGACUAAAAUGUGUUCCUCAGAGUAAUUUUGGACAUGACAUGUGAUUUUUAUCAUUUUAAAAUGUUGCUAUAUACUUAAUUAUUUUGAAUCUAAUUGUUACAUUUGCAAUUAUCCCAUUUUUUUUAUGUUCCACGCUAAUCUAUAUAUGCCUGAAUACAGUUUCAAGCAUGUAGCCAGGAAUGUCUCGCAAAGUACUGAGUUACUUUUUCACAUGAUUUUUGCUAGCAGGAUAAAUUAGUUUAAGCUCUAGAAGGAACCAACUUAUCCCCUUAAGGGAAACCAAAACAAAUAAUUAAGAAUAACGAGGAUACGAAUUUUACCCAGGAAAUGGAGAAAAAUGAACAAAACACCAAUUUCCUUUGUAUGCAAAAACAUGGCUCAAGAUAUUUAAGGCCAAGAAGAGGUCCUCGAGAGCAACCAGUUACAAACCUAAUGAAAAAGCAAGAUCCAAUUGUUAUAUUUCUGAAGUUCAGUUUUUCUCUAAGCCAACUUGAGACAAGAAGUAAUGACCAACUGAUGUGUAAUGAAAAUACUCACUUCAGAAAUUUCUUUUGGUUUUCCACGGAGAAACUUUUGAUAACUUCCCAAAACAUCUCAAUGACAUAAUGCUCCUGAAAGCAUGAAAUAAAAAUUCAAAUUUCGAUGUUCCCACAUUUCAAAAGCAUAAAAGAACAUGAUUAAAAAAGUGAAGAUGUUUCUCAGUUUCCUAUCACAAAUUUCUUGAUCAUGGUUGUGCCUGACCAAACAGGGCAUUACAAACAAUACAAGUCCAAAGUUUGUUUUCAUAGUCAUAGAAACAUAAGAGAGGACUAGAAGUCUGAAUAAUGGUAAUCAAUUUAUCCCCCAGUUUCAAACACAAAUACAGGCAUACACAUUGUAAGAAUUCGAAAUUAAUUGAAAAAUAUUAAAAAGAAUCUAAACGAUGACCAACUCCCUAAGCUCCAAAGACUUCAAAACCAUCUCCCAAUUACCCGGGUGAGAUCCUCCAACAUCAUCUACAAUUAUGAAAUUUAAUUGACUUGACAUCACAAUUCCGAUUGCACUACAAUAAAUCUAGUAUUCGAUAUCCUAAACCAAGAAUUGUUCAACCUCCAAAGGAAGAUUAAUUGUAACUAAUCUUCUUGCAAGAUUUCAAAUUUUCAAAAUUUUAUCGAACACAAUAUGCAAAAAAAUUAUGCAGAAAAGAAAAGAAAAGAAAAGAAAAUACAUAUGUAGAAAAAAGGGUUUAAUAGAACUUACCCUAUGAACCUGAUAUUAAAAGCUGAAAUGAAAUAGACCAGUCAAAGACAGCAACUCGAUUUAUCUUGGAACCACAAAAGACUAGCAACAAAACCUCCAUCAGUAUUUAGCCAUUGGUCCAUGAUUUGACCUAAAUUAGGGUUCUCUUUAUGUUUUUCUUAUCAUUUCCCAUCGCAAGGGAAUUUUUUUUCCCACAUCUUUUCCCCUUACAAGGACUUCAGUUGUCACCACUUAGAGUCCAUGUAAGGCUAAAAACAAUCUAGUUCACUUCGUUUAUUUCUCAGAUUUUAAUGAUUAGUAAAAUUCUGCCUCUACACUUUUACGAGCAUUAUGCCUCUUCGAAAAUGAACAACUUGAAUCUUAAGGAAGACUAGUUUCCUUAUCCUGAACCUGAAUCUUCACAUCAUCAAGGAAACCCACAUCUAUUCCUUCAGGUGAACUCAAUAAGGAAGACCCUUAUUCCUCUAGGGUUUAGGCUUUGGUUAGUUGCUGCCCAGAUCACAAGAUCAAGUGUACUCCUAAUCAUUCUAGGUUCUUGCUUUAAUUAGUUUAGUGUUUCACGUCACAUGAAAAUUAAAGGUCGACAAUGGCACAUUAUCAAAACUACUAACCUCCUCCCCCCUCCCCCUCCCCCACCCACACACCCACACACCCACACAAAAAGAAGAAUAAAAAUGCAAAUCUAAGUGCUUAACCCUACUGACUUCGUAUGGUCUAGGAGAAAAAAUGUUCCUCCUUUAACAUACUUCUUUCCCAAAUAGUAUAAUUAAUACUAGCAUGAAAUAGGAUUCAAGGCACAUGAGGCAGUUGAUGUGCAAUGAUAAACGAGUCAUCAAGAGAUUAUAUAACAGCAAACCAGCCUUUUCAUGCAAACCACGUUACUAUCUCAGUGAGCCAGUGAUACCUGGAAUUCAAGCUCAUUGAACAUGUCGAUCCAUUCUUUCUGUAUAAGCUGCUGAAACCCUCUCAAAAAAUGAGAACUUUGCUGUCGUAUCUGAGGAGGACAUGUUUUCAAUCAACAUUGGAGUAGGGAGACACAUUGGAUAAACAAGGGACAAACUAUGCUGAAAGUUCAAACGAUGAUUGGCAACAAGAUGAAUGAAUGUGAUGACAUUUUCACAGGUGACACGACGGUUUCUUCCUCCAGGAAGUAGCUCUUCUUCAGUUUGCUUUCCAUAUUCAUUGUUUAUAAUAACAAAAUAUAGCCCUAGUUCAGAAAUGUCACCUUCAUAAUGCUGUCCAGAAAAAUCAGAAGGGAAGACCCAAAAUUUAAGAUAAGGAGUGAGAAAAAGAUUCUAUGAGGAUACUAGAUUGAUCUAGAUCAUCGAUCAACAGGCUAAGUGUGGUAUCAGCUAAAAGUGAUACCAGGGAAUACACACCUUUAAGAAAAUAAGGUGGCGAUACAAUUCAGGAUCCAAGCAUGGCAAGUCAUUUAGAUAGUUCUACCUGUUGUGAUGAUAAACAUUGGAAAUAUUCAAUGUUGGGUUAAAUAUUAUUCCAUCUUUAUACCAUGCAACCAUGCAAUAUUAAACUCUCAUAAAUUAUAUAGAAAGCUGAUAGACCUCCCAUAGUAAAGGUGCAUUCCCGUAGAGACAAGAAUAGAAAGAAGAAAGAAUGAUUGAGUGUUAGUUGGUAUUUUUCCAUUUGUGUGGGCCCUUAGGAAUGUGUUUGUUAGAGUGGGGCCAAGUAUUUUAUUAUUUCUCUGAGCAAUUACUUAAGUGUCUUGAGUGGGAGGGUAUGAGUAUCUUUUUGGACAUAUGAUUUUGGUCUAGACUCUCAUUAGAGUCUGGAGAGACUUGGGAGCUCUCAAAUCCUUUCCCACAGUUGAUAAAUAAAAUUUUGGCUAAAGCCUUAACAGUUUUGGUAUCAGAGCCAACGUUCCUGGUAUGGUUGGUAAAAAUUGAGCGAGGAUAUGAAAUUGUUAAUACACGGGAUGGGAGUGACGGGAAGUGCCUCAAAAGGAUCCACAUCUAGUGAAAGAACGAUUACAGACAAGGGAAAGGGAAUAAUGAAUGAGGAACAAGUUCAGGAAGAAAAAAGUGAACAAAAAACUAACCCGGUGGUGGAUGAGGGAGUUGGAGUACCAUGUGCACCAAAUAUUUGUGAGAUACCCCUUUUUGACACGAAGCUACGAAAAUUGGAGGUGCCGAUAUUUAAAGGGGAGGAAGAAGAGAACGUGGAUGGAUAGCUACAUCAUGUGGAGUGCUAUUUUGUGGUGAAUAUCUGACGAAGAGAGAUAAGUUGGAUGCGGCGGUCCUGUGCUUGGAGGGGGAAGCUUUGGACUGGUAUCAAUGGAAGGAGGAUAGAAAGAAAAUCUGCAGCUGGACAGAAUUCUGACAGCUUCUGUGGACGAGAUUCAAAGCGUCCGACCAGGGAGAUAAACACGCAAGGUUGAUGAAAUUACAGCAGGAGACCACCGUGAGGGAUUACCGGCGGCGAUUUGAACAAUUUUCGGCCGGCCUUAAAGAUAUGAGUAAUGCAGCCCUAGAAAGUAAGUUUGUGUGUGGGCUGAAGGAAGAGAUCCAAAGUGAGAUCUGAAAAUUGAAUCCAGUGGGCCUACAGGCUAAAAUGUUAAUGGCCCAAAUAAUUGAGAAGAUGAUCAAGUGGUUCAAUUGAAGAGAAUUCAUGGGGCAAGUGGAAACCCUAAUUUAUCACUUAAAAUGUCGAAUAGUGGGCCAAGCGGGUCGGGAAGUCAAACUGGGUCAAAGGCCUCAAAUCGGGUCGCUACAUCACGAACGAUUACGAUUAACCCUAGCCAAAAUUCAUCGUAUUCAUCCACGACGAUUACUUCAUCGCAGGAAUCGGGCGCGAAGAGUACGAUGUCUCAACCAUACCGCCGAAUGACUGACAACGAAGUGCGGAUUAAGAAGGAAAAAUAUUUGUGUUUUAGAUGUGACGAGAAGUUCAGUCCGGGGCACCGCUGCAAAAGACGUGAAUUGAACAACAUUGUUGUUCAAGAAGGGGAAGACUUAAGUGACAGAACCGAUCAAGUGGGGGAAGAAAUCGAAACCAACGGGAAAUAGUGAAUCUGUCGAUAAAUUCAUUGGUAGGUUUCAAUUCGCCGAAAACCAUAAAAAUUAAAGGAGAAAUAAGGGGACGUGAGGUUGUGGUGCUGGUCGAUGGGGGAGCCACACACAAUUUAAUUGCAGAAGAGAUAGUCAAAGAGCUAAAAAUUUCAGUAGAAACCAUGGAUGCAUAUGGGGUUGUUCUGGGAACCGGAGGCGUAGUCCAAGCAACCGGUGUGUGUAAGGAUGUAAACCUGACAAUCGCCAAUUUAUCAAUCACUCACGAUUUUCUCCCUCUACCACUCGGGAGUGUCAACAUUAUAUUAGGAGUUACUUGGUUGGAAAUGUUAGGGAAAGUAAUUUUUUAUUACAAGUUGUCGGAGAUGGAAUUCUCACUGGGUGAAUGGGUGGUAAUUCUUCAAGGGGAUAGAAGUUUAGUAAUAUCCCAAGUGUCACUUAAAUCGAUGAUGAAAACCUUUGAGAAGGAAGAUCAAGGUGUGUCAAUCGAAUUAAGUGCAGUUGAACAGUGGGGAGCAAGGGAACACAUAGCAGACUACUUGAGUAAACUACAACCAAAUUUCAAAAAGUUCUUCAGUCCUUUAGCGUUGUGUUUGAACCAAGCAAUCAAUUACCCCCACCUCACGAUCAUGAUCAUGCUAUUGAAUUAAAACUAGGGGCUCGUGCAGUGAACGUGCGCCCGUAUCAUUAUCCCCAAUUUCAGAAAGAUGAGAUAGAGAAACUAGUUAAGGAAAUGCUGCUAGCCGGAAUAAUUCAGCCAAGCAAAAGUUCCUUUUCAAGCCUGUGCUCCUUGUUAAGAAAAAAGAUGGUAGCCGGCGAUUUUGUUGAUUACCUAGCACUGAAUCUUGCCACUAUACCAGAUAAGUAUCUGAUUCCUGUUGUUGAUGAACUGUUAGACUUAUUAUUUGGGGCAACCAUAUUCUCCAAAAUUGAUUUAAAGUCAGGUUAUCAUCAAAUUCGGGUGCGGGCGGCCGAUGUUCACAAAACAGCGUUUCGAACCCACGAGGGGCACUAUGAAUUCCUUGUGAUGCCGUUUGGGUUGAAGAACGCUCUGGCAACAUUCCAAUCAGUCAUGAGUGAUGUUCUUUCCCCAUAUUUACGCAAGUUUGUUUUGGUUUUCUUUGAUGACAUCUUAAUUUACAGCAAGUCCUUGGACGAGCAUUUGCACCAAUUGGCAAUGGUUUUGGAAACUCUAGUAGCUCAUCAACUGGUAGCCAACUUUGAAAAAUGCCAAUUUGCGGUUGACAAAAUUGAAUACUUGGGCCAUGUUAUUUCUUCAGAGGGGGUGGCAGCGGAUCCAACAAAAAUAGAAGCGAUGGUUAAAUGGCCAGCACCCAAGAACGUGAAGGAGCUAGGUGGGUUUUUGGGGCUAACGGGGUAUUAUCGGAAAUUUGUUGCAAACUACGGUUCUAUUGCGCUGCCCUUGACACAACUGUUAAAAAAAGGUAACUUUAAGUGGAAUGAGACGGCCGAGAACGCAUUUCAGCAGUUAAAAGUCAGCAAUGAUGUCUGUCCCAGUGCUAGGUAUUCCUGAUUUUUCACAAAGUUUUAUGCUGGAAACUGAUGCUUCGUGAUGUAAACUAUAGCUAGUUAGUUAGUAAAAAUCCCUAACUAAUUAGAAAUACAGCUGUAACUAACUUCCUAAAACAGUCUUGUAACUAACUAAAUAAAACAACCUUGUAACUAACUUGUAACUAACCUUGAGAUAUCAAUAUAUAACAGUCUCCUAGCCUGAAAUAUGGCAGAGAAUUCUUUUGAAAAAUCAAUCCAACUUUGAAUUACAUCAAAUUGGUAUCAGAGCAGCCCCGAUUCUUGGACGGAAUGGCUGGCCGAAGAGUUAACAACCCUGCCACGGGGGAAAACCGUGUGCAAGAAGCGGCGGAGGAAAUCACCGUCCUCUCUCCAAAGACAUCAACAGUUCGCUUGCUGGCUGUUGAAGAAUCUUUGGGAGAUCUCCACAACAAAUUUGAUAGGUUGAUGGAAAGUGUCGAACUGUUAAACCGAAGAGGAGAAUUCCCACAGCCACCACCACGGAAUGAAAUUAACUUCCAAAACGACCAACGUUUUGGUGAAACAAGAGGCCGGCGAGCAAGGGGAUACGUUAGAAACAUGAACAAUCCACGAGGACUUCAAAGAAGGAGACCCGGUUACGCUAUACAGCAACAGCUUGACGAAGACUUUCAAGAAGAUCAAGAAGCUUGGCAAGAAACCCAAGAAGAUGAUUCUUCAAGCGGGGAUGAACAAGGAAACAUGUGGAACUUCAAUGAUGAAGCACGAGCAGGAAGAAAUAACCAAAGAAUUGAGGCCAGAAGAGGAGAAUACCACGAUUAUAAGAUGAAGAUUGACCUUCCCAUGUAUGAUGGCAAACGAAACAUAGAAGCAUUCUUGGACUGGAUAAAGAGUACUGAAAACUUCUUCAACUACAUGGAUACGCCUGAACGCAAGAAAGUCCACCUAGUAGCCUUAAAAUUAAGGGCUGGUGCAUCAGCUUGGUGGGAUCAGUUAGAAAUCAAUAGACAAAGAUGCGGGAAACAACCGGUUCGCUCAUGGGAAAAGAUGAAAAAAUUAUUGAAGGCAAGAUUCUUACCACCAAACUACGAACAAACUUUAUACAAUCAGUACCAAAACUGCCGCCAAGGUGUCCGGACAGUAGCUGAGUACAUUGAAGAAUUCCACCGCCUGAGUGCAAGAACAAACCUAAGCGAAAAUGAACAGCACCAGGUUGCAAGAUUUGUGGGAGGCCUUCGAUUCGACAUCAAGGAAAAGGUCAGACUACAACCAUUUCGUUUCCUGUCUGAAGCAAUAUCAUUUGCAGAAACGGUAGAGGAGAUGAUUGCAAUUCGAUCCAAGAAUCUAAAUAGAAGAUCAGCAUGGGAAACAAAUUCGACAAAAAGCAAAACAAACGACCAACCUUCAACCUCAACAAAAGCAAAAGGGAAAGAGAUUGAUAAUCAAGAAGUAGCCGUUGAAAGAAAGAAAGAACAGACGUUCAAGCCUAGUGGUCAGAACAGCUACUCCCGCUCGUCAUUAGGAAAAUGCUUCCGAUGUGGCCAAACUGGCCACCUGUCCAACAACUGUCCGCAAAGAAAAACCAUUGCAAUAGCCGAAGAAGGAGGACAGAUAAGUGAAGACAGUAUAGAAGCAGAGGAAGAAACUGAACUGAUUGAAGCAGAUGAUGGGGAAAGGGUCUCUUGUGUUAUCCAACGGUUACUAAUUACGCCCAAGGAAGAAAAGAACCUGCAACGCCACUGUCUUUUCAAGACAAGAUGCACCAUAAACGGAAGAGUAUGUGACGUAAUCAUAGACAGCGGCAGCAGUGAAAACUUCGUAGCAAAGAAAUUAGUAACAGUCUUGAAUCUAAAGGCUGAAGCACAUCCAAACCCUUACAAGAUAGGUUGGGUGAGAAAAGGAGGAGAAGCCACGGUCAGCGAAAUCUGUACAGUCCCUCUCUCCAUUGGAAACGCCUACAAAGACCAAAUUGUUUGUGAUGUCAUUGAGAUGGAUGUAUGCCAUCUCCUACUAGGAAGACCUUGGCAGUAUGAUACUCAAUCAUUACACAAAGGGAGGGAAAAUACAUAUGAGUUUCAAUGGAUGGGAAGAAAGGUAGUCUUACUCCCUAUAACGAAAAAGAUUAACGAAGGGUUAAGAGGUGAGAAACAGUUAUUCAUCACUGUUAGUGGGAAAAACAUGCUUAAAGAAAGGGAACAAGACAUCCUAGGACUGGUUGUUAUUGAAAAAACCAAAGAAAAACAGGUUGAAGACAUAGAACCCAAAUUACAGCAGCUCCUUCAUGAGUUCCCUCAUAUAAAGGAAGAACCGAAGGGACUCCCACCCCUUCGAGAUAUACAGCACCACAUAGACUUGAUUCCGGGAGCAUCACUACCAAAUUUGGCUCACUAUAGGAUGAGCCCCCAGGAGUACAAAAUACUUCAUGAUCAUAUUGAGGAAUUACUAAAGAAAGGGCACAUCAAACCUAGCCUCAGCCCGUGUGCAGUACCAGCACUUCUCACGCCAAAGAAAGAUGGAAGCUGGAGAAUGUGCGUUGACAGCAGAGCCAUCAACCGCAUCACGGUAAAGUAUAGAUUUCCCAUUCCAAGGAUUAGUGACCUGCUAGAUCAACUCGGAAAAGCCAGUAUCUUUUCGAAAAUUGACUUGAAAAGUGGCUAUCAUCAAAUACGGGUAAGACCUGGCGACGAAUGGAAGACAGCCUUCAAGACAAACGAAGGAUUAUUUGAAUGGAUGGUCAUGCCAUUCGGCCUUUCUAACGCACCCAGCACCUUCAUGAGAUUGAUGAACCAGGUACUUCACCCAUUUCUCAACAAAUUCAUAGUAGUUUACUUCGAUGACAUACUUGUUUACAGCACAAACAAUGAUGAGCAUUUACUACACCUAAGGAAGCUGUUCCAAGUCUUAACAGAAGCGGAACUCUACAUAAAUACUAAGAAAAGCAUGUUUAUGAAAAAAGAAAUUGCAUUCCUCGGCUUUAUAAUCAAACAAGGAAGCAUAAGCAUGGAACCAAAGAAAAUCGAAGCCAUCCAUACAUGGCCGACUCCUGCCUCCAUUAAAGAAAUACAAGCCUUCCUCGGCCUGGCUUCGUUUUACAGGAAAUUCAUCAGAAAUUUCAGCUCUUUAGCCGCACCACUAACUGACUGUCUAAAGAAAGGAAACUUCAAAUGGACCCCGUUACAACAAGAAAGCUUUGAAGAUAUCAAAAAGAAGCUCACAUCCAGCCCUAUCCUUAGAUUACCAGAUUUCUCUUCACCUUUUGAAGUAGCAGUUGAUGCAUGCUGUACAGGGAUUGGAGCUGUCCUAGUACAACAAGGACAUCCUAUCGAAUACUUCAGUGAAAAACUCAGCACCUCAAGACAGACCUGGAGCACAUACGAACAAGAGCUGUAUGCCCUCGUCCGAGCACUAAAACAAUGGGAACACUACCUGAUCUCUAAAGAAUUUGUACUCCUAACUGACCAUUUCUCACUAAAAUACCUUCAAGCUCAAAAGAAUAUCAGUAGGAUGCACGCACGCUGGAUAUCCUUCCUCCAAAGGUUUGACUUCGUGAUCAAACACCAAUCAGGCAAAGAGAAUAAGGUGGCCGAUGCUCUAAGCAGAAAAGGCUCCCUACUCACAAUACUGUCCUCGGAAAUCAUAGCAUUCAAACAUUUACCCGACUUAUACGAAGGUGAUACUGACUUCAAGGAUAUCUGGUACAAAUGCUCCAACUUCUUAGACGCUGAUGACUACCACAUUGUUGAAGGAUAUCUAUUUAAAGGAGAACAAUUAUGCAUCCCGCACACCUCACUACGUGAAGCCUUAAUAAAGGAAGCACAUUCUGGAGGGCUAGCUGGACAUUUCGGACAGAAUAAGACAUUGGAGAUCACUUCCAAACGAUACUACUGGCCGCAAAUAAGAAAAGACUCCAAUAAUUUCGUAAAAAGAUGCCCCAUCUGCCAAAGAACCAAAGGCUCCAGCACGAAUGCAGGAUUAUACUCGCCACUACCCAUCCCGACCUCAAUAUGGGAAGAUUUAUCAAUUGACUUCGUGAUUGGAUUACCAAAAACACAAAGACAAUUUGACUCAAUAAUGGUUAUAGUGGACAGAUUCAGCAAAAUGACACAUUUCGUAGCAUGCAAAAAGACAAAUGAUGCAAUCUACAUAGCCAACCUCUUCUUUAAAGAAGUAGUACGACUACAUGGAGUACCUAAAAGCAUAGUAUCAGACAGAGAUGUCAAGUUCCUGAGUCACUUUUGGCGAACACUGUGGAAGAAGUUUGACACAACACUGAAAUUCAGCACCACAGCCCACCCACAGACAGAUGGACAAACUGAAGUAACAAACAGGACCCUCGGUAAUCUGCUACGCUGCCUUAGCGGGUCAAAACCAAAACAAUGGGAUCUAGCAUUGGCUCAAGCUGAAUUCGCCUUCAAUAAUAUGAAGAACAGAUCAACAGGAAAGUCCCCCUUCGAAGUAGUUUAUACCAAACUACCACGAUUAACCUUUGAUCUCACUACACUCCCCACAACUGUGGAUCUCAACAACGAAGCAGAAUGCAUGGCAGAAAAUAUCAAAAAACUACACAAGGAAGUCCAUGAUCAUCUUAUACAGACAACAGACUCCUACAAAAAGGCAGCACAUAAAAAAAGAAGACAAGCCCACUUCAAUAAAGGAGACCUAGUAAUGGUACACCUGAAAAAGAGCAGAUUUCCUACUGGCACCUACAACAAGCUGAAAGACAGACAAAUUGGGCCAUUCCCUAUAUUAGAGAAAUACGGAGAUAAUGCCUUCAAGAUCGAUCUACCACAAGACAUACACAUACACCCAGUCUUCAAUGUUGCUGACCUAAAGCCAUACCAUGCACCAGAUCGUUUCAGGCUUGCUGACUGAUGGACCCUGGGACGAGUCCAUCCUUAGGGGGUGGAAUGAUGUAAACUAUAGCUAGUUAGUUAGUAAAAAUCCCUAACUAAUUAGAAAUACAGCUGUAACUAACUUCCUAAAACAGUCUUGUAACUAACUAAAUAAAACAACCUUGUAACUAACUUGUAACUAACCUUGAGAUAUCAAUAUAUAACAGUCUCCUAGCCUGAAAUAUGGCAGAGAAUUCUUUUGAAAAAUCAAUCCAACUUUGAAUUACAUCACUUCGGGUGUGGGUAUUGGGGCUGUCCUAAUGCAAAAUCAACGACCAGUGGCCUUUUUCAGUCAAGCUUUACCUAUUACCCAUAGGUUUAAGGCUGUUUAUGAAUGGGAGCUUAUGGCAAUAGUGCUGGCUGUUAAAAAAUGGCGACCAUAUCUAUUGGGUAAGCCUUUUGUGGUGCGUACAGAUCAGAAAAGUUUGAAGUUUCUUCUUGAACAACGGGCUAUCGGGGGAGAAUAUCAGAGAUGGAUCGCUAAACUAUUGGGGUAUGAUUUUGUGAUUGAGUACAAGAAAGGAUUGGAAAACAAAGCGGCCGAUGCCUUAUAGAGAUUACCACCGGUAUUUGAAUUGGGCCUCGUAAGUAUUGUGGGCGGGCUAAACCCUUCGGUUUUCGUCGAUCAAGUGGCUGGAAAUGAAUCUCUUAACAAUAUUCGAUUAUCCUUGAUAAAUGGACAGCCAGCUCCAGAUGGAUAUUUGCUACAAGGAGGAGGAUUCACCUAAUAUUACUUUAUUAUUAGCUGAGUUCCAUAACAGCCCGAUAGGGGGACAUCAUGGUGCAUUGAAAACAUAUCAAAGGCUAGCAAGGGAGGUCUAUUGGCACCUAUGUUGCUGAAUGUUCCGUGUGUCAGCAAGCCAAAUACUUGUCUUUAACUCCGGCUGGUUUCCUUCAAGCAUUACCCAUUCCGGACCGUGUGUGGGAAGAUAUUAGUAUGGAUUUUAUUGAGGGCCUCCACAAAUCCGAGCGUUAUGAUGUUAUAUUGGUAGUUGCGGAUCGUCUUUCCAAGUAUGCACAUUUCAUUCCCUUGAAACAUCCAUUUGGUGCAAAAGUGGUUGCUGCUGUUUUUAUGCGAGAGAUUAUUCGUUUGCAUGGAUGCUCCCGAAGUAUAGUGUCGGAUCGUGAUCGUAUUUUCACAAGUCUAUUCUGGGAAGAGUUGUGGAGGUUGUUGGAAACUCAGUUGAGACGAAGCACCACUUACCACCCCCAAACGGAUGGUCAAACAGAAGUUGUCAAUCGAGGGGUGGAGACGUAUCUACGGUGUUUUGCUAUGAACACACCUAAACAGUGGGGUAAAUGGCUAGCUUGGGUUGAAUUGAGCUAUAAUACAACAGUCCGUACAGCCAUAUUGAUGACCCCCUUCGAGGCCCUCUAUGGGCGACCACCCCCCUCUAUAUUACCGUAUGUGAAGGGCUCGAGUCGGGUGAAUGAAGUAGACCAUUUGAUGAAAGAAAGAGAUGAAAUUUUGGGUGUUUUGAAGGCCAAUUUACUGAAAGCACAGCAGCGAAUGGUCAAAUAUGCUAAUGCUAAAAGACAGGAGGUUCUGUUUAAGGUUCAUGAUUGGGUUUAUGUGAAGUUACGCCCUUACCAACAAUCCUCUCUCAGCCGUUUUAAGCACCCCAAAUUGGCCCCAAGAUUCAUUGGUCCAUUUAUGAUCGUGGCACGAAUUGGUUUCGUUGCAUAACGUUUGGCCUUUCCCAAGGAAUCGCUUAUACACCCAUCUUUCAUGUUUCUGUUCUUCGCAAGGUCGUGAGUUCAAACAGGCCAUUAUUCCCAAUUCCAAAAGAUUUGGCUGCUGAUUUGUCUAUGCAAGUGUCUCCAGUAGAAGUAUUGGGAGUUCGCAAAACAAUAGAAAAGGAGGACAACUUAGAAGUUUUGAUCCGUUGGAGUGAGGGGACACUUGAAAGUGCAACAUGGGAACAAGCUGCUCUUAUUCAAGAACAGUUUCCUGAAUUCCACCUUGAGGACAAGGUGGCUCUUUGGGGGGCGGAUAAUGAUAGACCUCCCAUAGUAAACGUGUAUUCCCGUAGAGACAAGAAUAGGAAGAAGAAAGAAUGAUUGAGAGUUAGUUGGUAUUUUUCUAUUUGUGUGGGCCCUUAGGAAUGUGUUUGUUAGAGUGGGGCCAAGUAUUUUGUUAUUUCUCUGAGCAAUUACUUAAGUGUCUUGAGUGGGAGGGUAUGGGUAUCUUUUUGGACAUAUGGGUCAACUGUCAAGCACAAGAUGCUGCCUACUUUCAGAUGAGCAACAUCAUUCCGAUCUUAACAGUCAGAAGAGCAAAUCAAAUCAAUCCUAGCAUAUUCACAAAUCACAACUAAAAAGUACAAACAUUACAAAAUAAAACAUGCAGCGAUAUCAACAAGCAUUCUGAUAAAUAAUUAGCCAAUUAAUUGACAUUACAAAAUAAAUAAAGAAAAACAAGCAUUCUGAUAUUUUUCUAUUUGUGCGGGCAGCCGAUGUUUACAAAACAGCGUUUCGAACCCACGAGGGGCCCUAUGAAUUCCUUGUGAUGCUGUUUGGGUUGAAACGCUCCGGCAACAUUCCAAUCAAUCAUGAGUGAUGUUCUUCGCCCAUAUUUACGCAAGUUUGUUUUGGUUUUCUUUGAUGACAUCUUAAUUUACAGCAAGUCCUUGGACGAGCAUUUGCACCAAUUGGCAAUGGUUUUGGAAACUCUAGUAGCUCAUCAACUGGUAGCCAACUUUAAAAAAUGCCAAUUUGCGGUUGACAAAAUUGAAUACUUGGGCCAUGUUAUUUCUUCAGAGGGGGUGGCAGCGGAUCCAACAAAAAUAGAAGCGAUGGUUAAAUGGCCAGCACCCAAGAACGUGAAGGAGCUAGGUGGGUUUUUUGGGGCUAACGGGGUAUUAUCGGAAAUUCGUUGCAAACUACGGUUCUAUUGUGCUGCCCCUCUUGACACAACUGUUAAAAAAGGUAACUUUAAGUGGAAUGAGACGACUGAGAACGCAUUUCAGCAGUUAAAAGUCAGCAAUGAUGUCUGUCCCAGUGCUAGGUAUUCCUGAUUUUUCACAAAGUUUUGUGCUGGAAACUGAUGCUUUGGGUGUGGGUAUUGGGGCUGUCCUAAUGCAAAAUCAACGACCAGUGGCCUUUUUCAGUCAAGCUUUACCUAUUACCCAUAGGUUUAAGGCUGUUUAUGAACGGGAGAUUAUGGCAAUAGUGCUGGCUGUUCAAAAAUGGCGACCAUAUCUAUUGGGUAAGCCUUUUGUGGUGCGUACAGAUCAGAAAAGUUUGAAGUUUCUUCUUGAACAACGGGCUAUCGGGGGAGAAUAUCAGAGAUGGAUCGUUAAACUAUUGGGGUAUGAUUUUGUGAUUGAGUACAAGAAAGGAUUGGAAAACAAAGCGGCCGAUGCCUUAUAGAGAUUACCACCGGUAUUUGAAUUGGGCCUCGUAAGUAUUGUGGGCGGGCUAAACCCUUCAGUUUUCAUCGAUCAAGUGGCUGGAAAUGAAUCUCUUAACAAUAUUCGACUAUCCUUGAUAAAUGGACAACAAGCUCCAGAGGGAUAUUCGCUACAAGGAGGAGGAUUCACCUGAUAUUACUUUAUUAUUAGCUGAAUUCCAUAACAGCCAGAUAGGGGGACAUCAUGGUGCAUUGAAAACAUAUCAAAGGCUAGCAAGGGAGGUAUAUUGGCGAGGUAUGACAGCCCAUAUCCGCACCUAUGUUGCUGAAUGUUCCGUGUGUCAACAAGCCAAAUACUUGUCUUUAACUCCGGCUGGUUUCCUUCAAGCAUUACCCAUUCCGGACUGUGUGUGGGAAGAUAUUAGUAUGGAUUUUAUUGAGGGCCUCCCCAAAUCCGAGGGUUAUGAUGUUAUAUUGGUAGUUGCGGAUCUUCUUUCCAAGUAUGCACAUUUCAUCCCCUUGAAACAUCCAUUUGGUGCAAAAGUGGUUGCUGCUGUUUUUAUGCGAGAGAUUAUUCGUUUGCAUGGAUGCCCCUGAAGUAUAGUGUCGGAUCGUGAUCGUAUUUUCACAAGUCUAUUAUGGGAAGAGUUGUGGAGGUUGUUGGAAACUCAGUUGAGACGAAGCACCACUUACCACCCCCAAACAGAUGGUCAAACGGAAGUUGUCAAUCGAGGGGUGGAGACGUAUCUAGGGUGUUUUUCUAUGAACACACCUAAACAAUGGGUUAAAUGGCUAGCUUGGGCUGAAUUGAGCAAUAAUACAACAGUCCGUACAGCCACAUUGAUGACCCCCUUCGAGGCCCUCUAUGGGCGACCACCCCCCUCUAUAUUACCAUAUGUGAAGGGCUCGAGCCAGGUGAAUGAUGAAGUAGACCAUUUGAUGAAAGAAAGAGAUGAAAUUUUGGGCGUUUUGAAGGCCAAUUUACUGAAAGCACAGCAGCGAAUGGUCAAAUAUGCUAAUGCUAAAAGACGGGAGGUGCAGUUUGAGGUUCAUGAUUGGGUUUAUGUGAAGUUACGCCCUUACCGACAGUCCUCUCUCAGCCGUUUUAAGCACUCCAAAUUGGCCCCAAGAUUCAUUGGUUCAUUUAUGAUCGUGGCACGAAUUCGUUUCGUUGCAUACCGUUUGGCCCUUCCCAAGGAAUCGCUUAUACACCCGGUCUUUCAUGUUUCUGUUCUUCGCAAGGUCGUGGGUUCAAACAGGCCAUUAUUCCCAAUUUCAAAAGAUUUGGCUGCUGAUUUGUCUAUGCAAGUGUCUCCGGUAGAAGUAUUGGGAGUUUGCCAAAACAAUAGAAAAGGAGGACAACUUAGAAGUUUUGAUCCGUUGGAGUGAGGGGACACUUGAAAGUGCAACGUGGGAACAAGCUGCUCUUAUUCAAGAAACAGUUUCCUGAAUUCCACCUUGAGGACAAGGUGGCUAUUUGGGGGGCGGGUAAUGAUAGACCUCCCAUAGUAAAGGUGUAUUCCCGUAGAGACAAGAAUAGGAAGAAGAAAGAAUGAUUGAGAGUUAGUUGAUAUUUUUCUAUUUGUGUGGGCCCUUAGGAAUGUGUUUGUUAGAGUGGGGCCAAGUAUUUUGUUAUUUCUCUAAGUAAUUACUUAAGUUUCUUGAGUGGGAGGGUAUGGGUAUCUUUUUGGACAUAUGAUUUUGGUAUAGACUCUCAUUAGAGAAGUGUGUAGAGAUUGGGGAGCUCUCAAAUCCUCCCCCACAGUUGAUAAAUAAAAUUUUGGCUAAAGCCUUGACAAAAGCUAAUGUAGAACAUCCCCUUCUUUAUGUUUCUUGAGUUUUAUCCUAGAGGAGGUGUUUGAAUUACCAUUUUUAUAGUUUAGGAUUAGUUAUUUGAAUUAACAAUUUUGUAUCUUGAGUUAGUUAUAAGUAAACUAACUCAACCCCAAGUUAGUUUAACAACUCUUGUAAUCUCCAGCCUAUAAAAAGGCUUCUCAUUUUCAUUAAUAAAUCAUAAAAAAAAAGGCAUUAUACAUAAAGAUUUCCUAGCUUUGCAAUUACAGCACCAAAAGCAAUGUACAGUUCAGAUGAGACUUUAUUCCAGUAUAGAGUAGCUCUGUAAUUGCAGAUCAAGAAAGUGAAUGUAGCAUGGAAAUCCCAAAUUCAAUGUUUGGAAGUUAGCAAUUGACAAUCUCAUUAGUAGGAAGACAGCAGAUUAUUAGCAAAUUCAAUGUGAUUGAGAUCUUUUAGCAUGACUACUUGAGAACUUUUAGCACAACCGCGGCAGCAACUUCAAUAACAGAAAAACAUGCAUAAUGUAGGAAGACAGCAGAUUUCAAAUUAUGACAUUGUAUUUAUGAACGUCAGGCGAUACAUUAAUGUUCCAAAAUUCAACCAAAGUAUGGGGUGAAAGAUAUAUAAGAAUCUUCCAUGAUAAGGCCAAGACCAGGAUAUCCUUAUCCAAAAAAAGAAAAAACUAAUCAACCAAAGUAAAUUCCAUGUAUGAUUGGGAAUUAUGGCCAUACCUUUGCCAAAAGAACUUCGAGGAAAUGGAAAAGCUGGAGAUGUUGCUCAUGUAUCAUUCCCGAACCAGGAUUGGGGUAGAGCAAAUGGUCAGCGAUUUGCUGGAUUACCAAGCAGAAAAUAACUUAUAUUAGAAAAAAUGAACAAUACAUACCCACAUAUUACUGAAAUUUUAUGAAAUAGAUUUCAAGCAACCAAUUUUUAUAUUGAAAUGUGAUCUCACAACUAUUUUUAUUUUGAAAAGCGAUUUCAAACAACUAUGGCUGUUUCAUCACGCUUCAUGUUAUCCAAUAAUACUACAGGAUUAACAAAGCCAUGCCAUGCUAAUAAUAAGGAAUGUCGUGAUAACCUUAAAUAAACCAUACUGCACGUCAAAGGCUGCCCGUGUAAUGUUCUCCAUGACAUCUUUAAAAAUACCACCACCAUCAAUUCCUGCCUCCUCAACUCCAAAAUUCAUUAACAAAAGACACACGUAUCUGCAUGCAGAAAAGUGAAGCAAUUGACCCAACACAAACAAGAAAAAACUAAUAAACAAUUACAAGUAACUCUGCAACUAUAGGAUGCAGAAGAGGGAAGGGGUCGUUUUCACGAGGGCAAAGAAAAAGAUAGAAAAAAGUAAGAUAACAAUUUCAUUUUUCAUAAAUCAUGGAAGUCUGAAAUUACCGAUCCUCGAAGAUCAACUUCAGACAAUGCACUCAUCUGACUGAAAGCAUCUUCCAAUAUAUGAUUUCGUCGAAUUCUAAACCGGUUUUCUGGCAAAAACAGCAAGAGAUCCAUUCCUUUGCCUAGCUGCUGCUAGUUGUGUCUGUGAAAUGAGUUAUAGAGAAAGUAACCAUAAAUAAAAAAUAUCUUACAUAUUUCUAUAACUAACAGUCAUCCAAGAAAUUCAAUAUUGUGGAUAAGGAAACCAAAAAAAAUAACUUGCUUACAGUGAAAAUCUUAACCCUGCUAGUAAACGGUACUAAAAAGGGAACUCGCUUGUGUAUAUCAUUUGCUCUGGUAUUUUCCAUCACUGCCUACAAAGAAACAAGGCCAAGUAAAUAAUUAGAAUUACGAUCAGAUAGUGGUUUCUCUCAUGGAAAUUCCAUUGCAAAAUGGAAGGUUCACUUGGUCUAGAGAUGGUAAUUCUCCUUGAAGAUCAUUAUUAGACAGAUUCUUCAUAAAUCAGAUGUGGGAUAUUUGUUUUGAAAAUUCUCGGGUUUCUCGAAAAGCACGCAUCUUCUCGGAUCACUUUCCUUUAUUCUUGGAGGCUGGUUCUUUUCUUUGGGGUCCCUCUCCUUUUCGGUUUUGUAACAGCUGGUUGGUGUCCAGUGAUUCUAAUCAGAUUAUUGUUGAAACAGUGAGCAACUCUAACUUCCAGGGAUGGGCUGGUUUCAUUCUUCAUGAGGCAGUUGAGAUCAGUUAAAUUGGCAGUAAAAAGCUUGGAAUAUUGCUGCGCAAGCUAAGGUAAAAAAAAAACAGAGAAAUCCUUGAUGUCAAAAUUAGAAAAAUAUGAUUCUGUGGCUGAGUUUGAUUGGAUUAAAUCAAGAAGAGUUGAAUUCUAGAGCUGCUUUGCAAGCGGAAUUACUUAGUAUUUAUCAAAACGAAGAGCGUAAUUUUAUUCAGAAGAGUAAACUCAAUUGGCUUUCUUUGGGUGAUGAGAAUACGGGCUUCUUCCACCGGUUUCUAAAUGCGAAAAAAAGAAGGAACCUCAUAACUGAAUUAAAAAAUGAUUGAUGGGGUUGUCUCGACUUCAUUCCGCGACAUUGAAAGGGCUUGUGCUGGAAUUUUUUUGAGUCACUUUAUACCAGAAUUCCGGGGGACAGAUUCAUCCCUAUUAACAGUAAUUGGUCUUGUGUUUCCUCAAUUCAGAAUGAGCGCUCUUGUUACCCAAUUUUCAGUGGAGGAGAUCUUUAAGGCAUUAAAGGCACUUUGGCAACAAUAAAGCUCCGGGCCCGGAUGGCUUCACAGUGAAGUUCCUAAUCACCCAAUGGUCUAUUUUCAAGGAUAUCUUCAAAUCACUAAUGUCUGAUUUCCACAGAAAUAGAAGAUUAAAUGCUUGCAUCCAAGAAAACUUUAUUUGUUUAGUGCAGAAAAAAGAGAAUGUGACUCUAGUCAAGGAUUUCCGUCCAAUCAGCCUUACUACGUUAGCAUACAAGGUCGUUGCAAAGGUUUUAUCUGAACGUCUAAAACAAGUUAUGGAUGCAAUUAUAAGCCCCACUCAAAGCGCCUUUAUUGAAGGUAGGCAAAUUCUUGACCCAAUAUUAAUUGCUAACGAGGCCGUGGAAGAUUAUAGGGCAAAAUGGAAAAAAGGAUGGAUUUUAAAACUUGACUUGGAAAAAGCCUUCGAUAGGGUGAAUUGGAACUUUUUAGAAAAAAAUUUAUCUUUGAAAAAGUUUAGUUCAAAAUGGACAUCAUGGAUAAUGGGCUGCCUAAAAAUUCCAAAGUAUUCAAUCUUCAUCAAUGGUAAGCCUAGAGGCCGGAUAACAGCAUCUAGAGGUAUCCGCCAAGGGGACCCCCUCUCCCCCUUUUUAUUCCUCCUAGUAAGUGAGGUUUUAGGAGAAAUCAUAAACAAGCUUCAUAUUAACAGCCAGUUUGAAGGUUUCCUUGUUGGCAAAGACUUGAUCCACCUCCCUUUGCUUCAAUUUGUCGAUGAUACUCUUCUCUUUUGUAAGUAUGAUGUGAAGAUGCUCCUUAAACUUUAAAACGUCAUUAGUUUAUUCGAAUGGUGUUUGGGGCAGAAAGUAAACUGGGAAAAAUCAGCCCUUAGCGGCGUUAAUGUGGGAGAGGAAGAUUUGUUUCAAACAACAAAUCUGAUAGGGUGCAAGGUAGAAAAGCUUCCGAUUAUAUAUUUAGGUCUCCUUUUGGGAGGCUACCCUCGACAAAAGUCUUUUUGGCAACCAGUCAUUGAUCGAAUUCACAAGAAACUUGAAAGGUGGAAAAGAUAUAACAUCUCUAGAGGCGGAAGACAAACCUUAUGCAACUCAGUUCUGGUUAGCCUUCCUACAUACUACCUACUUUAUUUUCUAUACCUGAAAAUGUGGCUGCCUCUUUGUUAAAGUGAGUUUUUGGAUUGAAGGAAAAGGUCUGCAAUACUCCUUGAAAGACAGGGGAAGCAGAAGAUUGGUGUUCUAUAUUCUGGUUUGCUUAUUAGUAUUUUGUUGUUUGGAAUUUUGGAUUAGGAGGUUUUCUUUGUUUGAUGUUUGUGAAUUAUAUGUAACGUGACUCAUUUUCUGAGGUUCACGGUUUGCUUAUGUUGUAAGUUGUGUUUGAAUUGUCAAUAUAAUAGAAACACUACAUCAGUGUUCUAUCAUGAUGUCAUCCUUGGAAUGCAAUGGCUGCACACGUUGGGGUAACUGAAGUGGAUUGGCGGAAACUCACUUUAAUUUUCAUACAAAAUGAAAAGAAUGUUGUUAUAAGGGGUGACCCGAGUUUGACAAAGACUAGAGUGAGUCUGUAACACAUGAUGGAGAAAUGGACACCAUCUGAUUACGGUUUCUUGACAAAAUGUCGAGCUAUGGAGGGAGGAAUGACAUUUACCGAACUAUAUGGAAUUGAUGAUGUUCCUACAUUUCAAGAGUUACUACCAGCAGACAAUUUUGGCUAUCCUAAAAAUCCAGCAACAAAGAAGUGGGAAGUGCUUGUUAGUUGGAAAGGAAUACCACCUCAUGAGGCUACAUGGGAGAAUUGUGAUGAUUUUACACAAAAGCUUCCUCAUUUCCCACCUUGAGAACAAGGUGUCUUUGGAGAGGGAGAGUAAUGAUAGACCACCAAUUGCAAUACGAUAUAGCAGAAGAAAGACAAGUGGAAUUGCACGUGCACAGGUGAUGGAAUUGGAGGAAGUGGAAACCACCUUAGUGGGGACAACAGUUAGUUACAGGGGGGAGGUUAAAAGGGAGAGAUGGAAGGAAAGAUGGGGGUUGGUUAAUCAGUUUCUGGAAGUGGAGGGGCUGUAUUUUCUGGAGAGCAGAAUUACAGAAGUUGUUCAGUUUAAUCUUAGAAAGUGUUUUCCAUUAUCGUAAACUACUUUUGAUGUUUGAAUGUUUUAUUUUGUACUUGGUUAUUGUCUGUAAUAGUACUUAUUUGUUCUGUGUUUUCAAGACUGGUUUGAGUAUUGUAUUCUGUAAUAGUUUGGUUGCUUAAUGAACAAAUAAGAACCAUUACUUGGUGUUCUAUCAGCUUCUCAAUCAAGCAUUAACAUCUCAAUAAGGUAUUAUACAUGCAAUCAAACAAUCACAACAUACAUACCAUUUACUCGAAACGACCUAAAACAUGCUCAAAACGUGUCUAAGUUUCACUUGAACUUUCAAAACGACCUAAAACAGCUUACGUGUAGGUUCGUAACUCAUAACCUACGAAAAAAGUUCAAAUAUUGUGAAAAAAGCACUACAAGACCCAAAAUGGCAACCGAGUGUGUAAGUGCAACAAACUUAAUUCAAACCAACCUAAAAUGUGCUCAAAACGUGUCUAGGUAUUACUUGAGUUUUCAAAACGACCUAGCAAAUCCUAAGUGUAAGUUCGUAACUCAUAAUCUACCAAAAAGGUUGAAAAAAGCAUUUCAAGACCAAAAAUGACAACCAAGUGCAACAAACUCAAUCUAACCUAAAAUGUAUUCAAAACGUGUGUAAGUAUCACUUGAAUUUUCAAAACGACCAAGCAAUGCUUAAGUGUAAGUUUGUAACUCACAACCUACCAAAAUUUCAAAAAGUAUGAAAAAAGUACUUCAAGACCCAACAUGUCAAUCAAAUGUGUGUAAAACUUAGUUUCAAACCAACCUAAAACGAGUUCAAAACGUGUCUAAGUUUCACUUGAACUUUCAAAACGACCUAACAAAUAUUCAAUACAAGUUCAUAAGUCAUAACCUAGCAAAAAGUUCAAAAUUUUUGAAAAAGACACUCCAAAACCCAAAAUGUCAAGUGUGUAAGUGCAACGAACUUAGUUCUAUACAAACCUAACAAGUAUUGAAAACACGUAUAAGUUUUCAAACACCCUAACAACGCUUAAGUGUAAGUUUAUAACUCAUAACUUACCAAAAAUUUCAAAAAGUGUGAAAAAAAAUCUUUCAAGACUCAAAAUGGCAACCAUGGCUGUAUGUAAAACUAACUUAGUUUGUAACAACCUAAAAGGUGUUCAAAAAAUGUUUAAGUAUCACUCGAACUUUAAAAACGACCUAAUAAUGCUUUAGUGUUACUUCAUAACUCAUAACCUACCAAAAAGUUCAAAAAAUGUAGAAAAAGCACUCCAAAAUCCAAAAUGGCAACCAAGUGUGUAAGUGCAACAAACUUAGUCUCAACUUUAAAAUUAGUGCGAGUUGGGAAAUGUAUUAACUCAAGCAUGAUGUAAAAACUUGAAACGACUUAAAUAUUUAUUCACCAUCACAUAAAAACAGUAAUUAAAUAUAGAUAACAUGUGUAAAUAAAGGGAGAAUCACCUUUCUAGCAGUAGCUUUAGAGUAAGACCAAACACCAUCCUCCUACUUGUAAAUCUGCUCGAUUGUCUACUUUGUUCUACACUCGUCAUUUCACCAUCUCAGGCCAUCCAUUGAAUUGGCCACCCAGCCUUGGCAUACAAGAGUAUGUCUCAGCCUGUUAACAAAUACCACUAAAACUAAGCAAGACGAAGAAAAAAGUUUUCAAAAAAUUACCUAACUUUUAGGUCUUCAUGUGACCUUUAAGUACUUCUGUUUUCUCCUUCAACUCUUUGACAGAUUGCUGAAAUUAUGUGUUUCUGCAAUGUUUACCAGAACAUGAAAGAUUCAUUACGAAAAUAAAUACCAUGAAUACAAACCAUGAAGAAAUAGUAAAACAGUCAAUACAAGAAGAAAAAAGUUCACUUGAAAACGACCUAAAACAGUAUCACUUGAACAAAAUGUGUCUAAGUAUCACUUGAACUUUCAAAACGACCUAAAACAGCUUACGUGUAGGUUCGUAACUCAUAACCUACGAAAAAAGUUCCAAUAGUGUGAAAAAAGCACUACAAGACCCAAAAUGGCUACCAAGUGUGUAAGUGUAACAAACUUAGUUCAAACCAACCUAAAACGUGCUCAAAACGUGUCUAGGUAUUACUUGAGUUUUCAAAACGACCUAGCAAAUCCUAAAUGUAGGUUCGUAACUCAUAUAAUCUACCAAAAAGGUUGAAAAAAGCAUUUCAAGACCAAAAAUGACAACCAAGUGCAACAAACUCAAUCUAACCUAAAAUGUAUUCAAAACAUGUUGAGCCAACAAAGAUACACACCAGCAAACUUUUGAACAUAGGACCCUCCUAAACUACUCACUUUUGAACAUAGGACUUCCUCAACUAUCUACUCACUUCUGAACAUACAACCUUGAUAGAACACUUAUGUACUGUUUCUAUUAUAUUGAUAUUUGAGACUUAAAGUUGCAAUAGAAAGAAAAUUACAGAGAAAUUACAAACAACAAGCAAAGAAACCCUCCUAAUCCAAAACAGAAAUAAACACAAUUCAAAAUACUACAAUUAAAACCAGAACAAUUCUGGCAGGCCCUUCCUUUUACUAAAAACUGCCUGCCCUUUCCCAUCUCCCUCUCAUCCAUUUAACUUCCUGUUUUAGAUAACUGUCAUCCUUUUGAAUAAGUAACUGUGUUGAUUACUAACGUGCCUUACUUUCCUUUCUUCUAUUAUAAGUAAAAUAACAAUGGUGGUCUAACAGACCUCCUAAACUAUCCACUCUAGAGCAUGUUAAAUCACCAAUUCAUCCAAAAACUAAUGACGUAAAUGUAAUAUUAUAUCUUCAACGUAAAUGUAAAUGUAAACUAAUGACACUACAAGUGAUUUUGAAACUAAGACAUUGAAGCAGUCUGUUAGGAAGGGUGAUGGAACCAGCAAGAGUGGGGGGAGUUCUUUAAAACAAUCAGAGGUCAAGAGAAAGAAGGGAUCAGCUAAAUCUAUUUCUGGAAAAAACGUGAAAAGAUUGUCAGGUGAUGAUGAUAAAAAGGAAACCACACCUGUGCUGAAACCAGCCUCCAAAAAUUGGAAGUAAAUCAAAGGAUCAAGGCACUCUUGAAAUUGGAAGUAAACGUGGUAGCACAGGUCCAAAAAUCGCUGGCAAGUCGAAGAAUGAUGAUGCCGAAUCCAACAAGACUAGCAAAUCUAAGGACGAUGAGACAUCCACACCUGCCGCUGUUGCAAAGUCCAACAAGCAAGAUGUAUCGAAGACGGGGAAGUCCAAACAAGAAACCCCAAAAACUCCCGUUUCAAAAGGCAAGUCUACCAAAACAGGCGAUAAGUCUAAUAAUACCAAUCUCUCCACCAAGGUUAAGUUCACAUCUUCAAAAGCAAAAGAAAAAGAAAGUGGAGAUGUGAAGCAUUCAUCAACUUCUGGGAAAACAAUGGAGAACUCAAAGGGAAAGUCACUAAAUUCAUCCAAUGAUCAGGGCAGUGAAUCCAAGUCAGGAAAGAAAAGAAGAAGAGAGUCAAAAGGUUGAUAACCACGUCUAUUCCAAAAAGGUUGGAGUUGUCUAUUCUUGGCUCAGUUUGCACCACAUAUUUGCAAAUUCUACUAUGAGUAGUUCUUGGCAAACUUGAUCUCUGGAUCUGAUGAUGUCUCUCAUUGGCACAUUUUCGAGAUUGUCGUAUAUUCUUAGUUAGGUAGGUUAGCAGCAAUUAUAGGAGUAUGGCAGUUCUCUUUGUAGUUGUUUGGCGCUAUUCAUGUCAUCUGUGGGAGGUAAAUGACCAAUAAAAAAUAAUACGCAAUAAAAAAGAAUCAGAAAGAAAACAAUAUGCAUUUUUGUUUUCAAAUUCUUGGUGAAAUCACAAUUCAGAAAUGAAAUUUGGUUCAUUCUCCACGAUAAUAUGGUGACCUAAAUAACAUAAGUUUCAGAGUCAUGGGAGAUUAAAAGCCUUGCUAAUUGCUCAAACUCUGAAUGCAAAGGCUUUUCCCAUGUGAAGGAACCCAGAGAACCAGCCAAAGCAGCAUGCUUCUUCCCAAUGCAAGAACAUUCAGUGUAUCUUCUGAUUAUGUACUGAAUGCAGUAGGAAAAAUGAUAUGAAGUUGUAAUUCAAGCUAAGGUUUUGUUGCAUAAACCAAAAACUUAAAUGGAUAAAACACAAAAUGCAUCCUAUUCCCACCUUAUGCCUACUACAUCGCUAACAAUACACUUACUGCAGCACCAAGAUACAGCUUGUAGCCAAAUUUCAGAAGGAAAAAAUAUAUUCAGAUUUCUGCAUAUCGAGAAUUCGGUGAAACGCACCUGAGUUUAUUUACUCAACUAAUCCACAACAAUUUGUGAUAUGAACACUCUUGGCAGAGGUCCAUUGACCCCAUCACCAUCGGCAGCAGCAUUAGAAAUGAGCUGUUUCCACCAACAUAUUACUACAUUGAACCAAGCAAGGAAGGACCAAAAACAGUGUAAAUGGGACGUAUGGUUACUCCAUUUUCCCUGUUGUUGGGUCCAAAACUACCCAUCGCUCAUUCCAUUUCCUCAACUGCAAACAUUGUAAUAGAGAAAAUCAGAUUUGCUACAAUGAAGGCUCAUUGCCAUAAAAAAUGCUGUCUAAGAACAGAAACGCAGAAAAUAGAAGGCUGAUCAAACGUGACCACAAUUCUGCAUAUGCGCACUACAAAACAGUCUGAGAAUACUAUCACAUCGACGGCCAUAUUCAUAAACACAAAUAUGCCGACAGUUAGAUCACGAACAUGGGCAUUUCUCACAUUUCUAAUCUCCUUGAAAUCACAAAUCCCGACGUCCUAAUCUUAAUAAGUACUUCUAGGUGAUUUAAUUAAGUCUUCAAAUAUCACUAAAACAGUCGGAACGAUUUAAAUGGAAGACCUAAAGGCAGCGCAAUUAAGCAGUAACCAUCAAUUCAAAACAAAAGGAAAGACAGAAAGAGUUGCAAUGCGUUAGUUUACUGUUUCAGAUCGCUUUAGAAGGGGACCCUGCAACAAAUUCCGACCAGACCCAGAGGCCAGCUGCCGCUUGAUCUUCUCCAAACUGUCCCCGGCAUCUUCCGCUCUCUCCACCAACAACAAUCAUAAAUUAAAAACAUGUCGAGCCAACAAAGAUACACACCAGCAAACUUUUGAACAUAGGACCCUCCUAAACCUUAAACAGAUUUUGCAGUGGGCUUCCGACUCAAAUAAACAGCCUCCAUGCUCCCCAAAACGUUCCUAAGAAAGGAUUCAUCUCCCUACCAACCAACAUGCAUCACAUCCCAUAACUUUCAUUUCUUCAUAAAAAAUGUAACUAACUCAAGGUAAAAAAAAAAAAAAAACAGAACAAGAACACUAACCAACUUCUAAGGAAUCAGCUCCCUGCCAACAUGCACCACAUCCCAUAACUUUAAUUUCUUCAAAUACAAAGGAUUUAACUCAAAGUAAAAAAAAAAAAACAGAACACGAACUCUAACCAACAAAAAUAGAAAAACCAACCUUAACCCUUGAUCCUUGCAGUCCAUCGAGAGGUUCAGCACUGGACAUGAUCGAGAACAUUCGGUUCCCAGCCACAGGUUUGGCCAUCGACGAAGAUUUUCAGAGGGAAAUGAAAUUUUUGGAAAUGGGUAGUGAACAAAAGUAAGGCUGAAAUGAUUUUGUUUGGAGAGUGGGCAAAAUUCUGGCGAGUGAGGAGAAAAGGGAAUACAUGGGGUUCGGUUUACAGGGAUUUUUCUUAAUGAUUGUUGGAAGAACAAAGAGAUUGUGAGGAGAUUUAAGGGUAACGACACAAAUGCAGAAUGUUAAAUCCAAAAAGGCGAAAUGGCCAAUUGAAUAUUUAAGGAAGUUUGAUCUGCCUGCUAGCUGUUUUCUUGCUUCUUUAUGGAAAUGUUGCAGAAAGAGUAGAACGAUGACAUAGUGCAUAAUGUGUUUCUCUUUACAAAGUAACCAAUGACUUACAAGAAAGACACCACACAACAAAUGACCAUUGGAAAACAAUAUACAUAUGAAAAGCUAAAAAAAUUUGCAGAAAUUGAAAAUGAAAUUUAAAGUAGAAAAGAAAUGAAAGAAAAAUACCCUAAAAGUUGCAAGUGCAAUAUGAUCAUAACCAAUUAGUAUCACCAUCAAAAGAUCGAACAAGCUCCAAAGUGGAUUUUACAGUGUGAUUCUGACUCACAUAAGCAGUCUCCAGGACUGCAAAACCAUUUCUAAGAAAGGAUCAUCACAACCCAUAACUUUAAAUUCUUCAAAAACAAUGCAAUGAAAUCAAAUCAGAAAAAAACAGAACAACAAUAACUAAAAAAUAAACCUUAACCCUUGAUCCUUGCAGUCCAUUGGAAGGUUCGGCACUCGACAAGAUCGAGAACAAUCGAUUCCUAGCAGCAGGUUUCGACAUCGACAAAGAAUUUCCGAGGGAAAUGAAAAUUUUGGAAAUGAGUAGUGAAGAAAAAUAAGGUUGAAACGAUUUUGUUUGGGGAGUGGGAAAAAUUAUGGCCGAUGGGGAGAAAAGGGAAGACAUGGGGUUCGGUUUACAGGGAUUUAACAAAGACAUUGUGAGGAGAUUUAAGGGCAACGACAAGAAUGGCAGAAUGUUAAAACCCAAAAGACUAAAUGGCCAAUUGAAUGUUUAAGCAGAUUGAUCUGCCUAUUAGUUGUUUUCUUGCUUCUUUACGGAAAUGGGGUAGAAAGAGUAGAACGAUAACAUAGUUCACUUUGUUCUUCUCUUUAUAAAGUAGCCAAAGACUUAAAAGAAAGACAUUGCACAACAAGUGACCAUUAAAAAAUAAUAUACAUACGAAAGAAUAAAAAAUAAGCAGAAAUUGGAAGUAGAAAAGAACCAAAGAAAAAUACCCAAAACUUCAAAAUGCAAUAUGAUCAUAACAGAUUGGUAUCAUCACGAACAGAUCGAACAAACUCCAAAACAGAUUUUGCAUUGGGCGUCCAACUAAAAUAAACAGCAUCCAUGCUCGCCAAAACGUUCCUAAGAAGUGACACCAUUUCACAACAAGUAGCCAAUGACUUAAAAGAAAGAUAUUGCACAACAAGUGACCAUUAGAAAAUAAUAAACAGAAGAAAGAAUAAAAAGAUAAGCAGAAAUUGGAAGAAGAAAAGAAAUGGAAGAAAAAUACCCCAAAACUUCAAAAUGCAGUAUGAUCAUAACAAAUUUGUAUCAUCAUGGACAGAUCGAACAAACUCCAAAACAGAUUUUGCAGCGGGCUUCCGACUCAGAUAAACAGCCUCCAUGCUCCCCAAAACGUUCCCAAGAAAGGAUUAAGCUCCCUACAAAAAACAAUGUAACUAACUCAAGGUAAAAAAAAAAAACAGAACAAGAACACUAACCAACUUUUAAGGAAUCAGCUCCCUGCCAACAUGCAUCACAUCCCAUAACUUUAAUUUCUUCAAAUACAAAGGAUUUAACUCAAAGUAAAAAAAAAAACAGAACACGAACUCUAACCAACAAAAAUAGAAAAACCAACCUUAACCCUUGAUCCUUGCAGUCCAUCGGGAGGUUCGGCACUGGACAUGAUCGAGAACGUUCGGUUCCCAGCCACAGGUUUGGCCAUCGACAAAGAUUUUCAGAGGGAAAUGAAAUUUUUGGAAAUGGGUAGUGAACAAAAAUAAGGCUGAAUGAUUUUGUUUGGAGAGUGGGCAAAAUUCUGGCGAGUGAGGAGAAAAGGGAAUACAUGGGGUUCGGUUUACAGGGAUUUUUCUUAAUGAUUGUUGGAAGAACAAAGAGAUGUGACGAGGUAAAUGUAAUAUUAUAUCUUCUAACCAUUGUCAACUUAAAUAUGUUUUUUACUAUAACCAGUGGGUUUGCUGAAAUUGAAUGAUCAAUCCAUAAAAUAAAAAUUAAGUUGGAAGUAGAAGAAAUGGGAGGAAGAAAAAUACCCCAGAAGUUCUAAAAGCGAUAUGAUCUCAAUAAAUUGUAUCAUGAUGAACAGAUCGAACAAGCCCCAAAACAGAUUUUGCAGUGGGAUUCCGACUCGGAUAAACUGACUCCAUGCUCAACAAAACAUUCCUAAUAAAGGAUUCAGCUUGCUAUCAACAUGCAUCACAACCCAUGACGUUAAAUUCUUCAAAACCAAUGCAAUUAAAUCAAAGCAGAAAAAAACAGAACAAGAACUCAAACCAACGAUAACAAAAGAAUAAACCUUAACCCUUGAUCCUUGCAGUCCAUUGGGAGGUUCAGCACCGGACAUGAUUGACAACAAUCGAUUCCCAGCUGCAGGUUUCGGUAUCGACAAAGAAUUUCCAAGGAAAUGAAAAUUUUGGAAAUGGGUAGUCAAGAAAAUUAAGGUUGAGAGGAUUUUGUGUGGAGAGUGGGAAAAAUUCCGGCCGGGGGGAGAAAAGGGAAGACAUGGGGUUCGGUUUACAGGGGUUUUUCUUAAUGAUUGUUGGAAGAACAAAGAGGUUGUGAGGAGAUUUAAGGGCAACCAAAAGAAUGGCAGAAUGUUUGAUCUGGCUUGCUUCUUUAUGGAAAUGUCGUAGAAACAGUAGAACGAUGACAUAGUUCCCUUUGUUUUUCUAUUCACCAAAAAACCAAUGACUUAAAAGAAAGACAUUGCACCACAUAUGAGCAUUAGAAAACAAUAUACAUAAGAAAGAAUAAAUAAUAUGAAUAUGCAGAUAUUGAAAAUGAAAUUGGAAGUAGAAAAAAAAAUGGAACGAAGAACAAUACCCCAAAAUUUCCAAAUGCAUUAUGAUCAUAAAAAUUUUGUAUCAACACGAACUGAUCGAAUAAGCUCCAAAAUGGAUAUUGCAGUGGGAUUCCGACUCAGAUAGGCAGUGUACAGUCUUGCCAAAACGUUCCUAAGAAAGGAUCAUCAAAACCCAUAACUUUAAAUUCUUCAAAAAUAAUGGAAUUAAGUCAAGGCAGUACAAUACGAAACAAAAACUCUAACCAACGAUAAGAAAGAAAUAAACCUUCACCCGUGAUCCUUGCAGUCCAUUCGGGGGUUCAGCACUGGACUUGAUCGAGAACAAUCAGUUCCAAGAUGCAGGUUUCGGCAUAGACGAUGAUUUUCCAAAAAGUGAAAUGAAUUUUUUGGAAAUGGGUUGUAAAGAAUUUGUUUCGAGAGUGGGCAAAAUUCUGGCCGGCGUGGAGAAAAGGAAAGACAUGGGGCUCCAAUUCUAGGGAUCUUUCUCAAUGAUUGUUGGGAGAACAAAGAGUUUGUGAGGACAUUUAAGGGCAACGACAAGAAUGGCACAAUGUUAAAUCCCAAAAGACUAAAUGGCCAAUUGAAUGUUUAAGCAAAUUGAUAUGCCUGUUAGGUGUUUUCUUGCUUCUUUACAUAAAUGGGGUAGAAAGAGUAGAACGAUAACAUAGUUCACUUUGUUCUUCUCUUUACAAAGUAGCCAACGACUUAAAAGAAAGACAUUGCACAAAUAGAUACAUAUAAGUCUUAACUAGUCUAAUAGCACCCUCCAUUCAUCUUCCCCUACACUGGCUAUGGUAUCAAAAUUUUCAAUUAAGUAAUACGUCUACUAACGAACUUGAAAACAAAACACAUCACACUAAAAAACACAAACAUCACUUUAACCCAACAGAAGCAACUCUUUUUACCCUUGCACUCACUAUCACAUUACUAUCAUAUUUGUCAACUGUCAAACUAACUCUUUUAAGUUAUUUAGUGUGACUACAAAGUUAUGAACACCAUAAUCUUAAUUAAAACCUUUUAAUAAAUAAAUGCCAAGUUACUACUCAAGAAUGGCAAGGAAUUCAAAAAACAUGACAGCUAUCCUAAUUGGUUGAAAAUGAGAAAAAGAAGACAACCUGUUUGGACUACAAAGCCAGCAGAUAUGAUUCCUCAAAUUUGACCAUUCACUCUCCAUACUCUACAAGUCUUCAAGCACAUGAUGCUGCCUACUUUCAGAUGAGCAACAUCAUUCCGAUCUUAACAGUCAGAAGAGCAAAUCAAAUCAAUCCUAGCAUAUUCACAAAUCACAACUAAAAAGUACAAACAUUACAAAAUAAAACAUGCAGCGAUAUCAACAAGCAUUCUGAUAAAUAAUUAGCCAAUUAAUUGACAUUACAAAAUAAAUAAAGAAAAAAAUCAUUGGAAAGAUCACUGCUUAAAUGAAAUUUGAAAUAUCUCCCAAUAGUUUUGAUCGGUUGCCCGAGUUGUGAGAGUGAUCGGUUGAUAUUGCGUGCUUCCUUCAAGCGCUCCCCAGCUGCACCUGUUAGCUUCUGCCUCCGGAACCAGGUAAAUCAAUAAGAUUUAUUCUACUUGUUUUAAAGCUACUUAAACCAUCUGCCAGUCUCUGCACAAUAAAGUACUAGUCAGAAAUGUACCUUGUCUCAUACUGAGUUACUUUUUCACAUGAUUUUUGCUAGCAGGAUAAAUUAGUUUAAGCUCUAGAAGGGAGUUACUUUUUCACAUGAUUUUUGCUAGCAGGAUAAAUUAGUUUAAGCUCUAGAAGGAACCAACUUAUCCCCUUAAGGGAAACCAAAACAAAUAAUUAAGAAUAAUGAGGAUACGAAGUGGUCCUCGAGAGUAACCAGUUACAAACCUAAUGAAAAAAGCAAGAUACAAUUGUUAUAUUUCUGAAGUUCAGUUUUUCUUUAAGCCAACUUGAGACAAGAAGUAACCAACUGAUGUGUAAUGAAAAUACUCACUUCAGAAAUUUAUUUUGGUUUUCCACUGAGAAACUUUUGAUAACUUCCCAAAACAUCUAAAAAUUCAAAUUCUGAAGUUCCCACAUUUGGUUUUUCAAUCCAGCAGAAGCAUAAAAGAACAUCAUUAAAAAAGUGAAGAUAUUUCUCCGUUUCCUAUCACAAAUUUCUUGAUCAUGGUUGUGCCUGACCAAACAGAGCAUUACAAACAAUACAAGUCCAAAGUUUGUUUUCAUAGUCAUAGAAACAUAAGAGAGGACUAGAAGUCUGAAUAAUGGUAAUCAAUUUAUCACCCAGUUUCAAACACUAAUACAGGCAUAUACAUUGUAUGAAUUCGAAAUUAAUUGAAAAAUAUUAAAAAGAAUCUAAACGAUGACCAACUCCCUAAACUCCAAAGACUUCAAAAACCAUCUCCCAAUUACCCGGGUGAGAUCUUCCAACAUCAUCUACAAUUAUGAAAUUCCGAUUGCACUACAAUAAAUCUAGUAUUCGAUAUCCUAAACCAAGAAUUGUUCAACCUCCAAAGGAAGAUUAAUUGUAACUAAUCUUCUUGCAAGAUUUCAAAUUUUCAAAAUUUUGUCGAACACAAUAUGCAAAACAAUUACGCAAAACAAUUACGCAGAAAAGAAAAGAAACAAAAAUACAUAUAUAGAAAAAAGGGUUUAAUAGAACUUACCCUAUGAUAACCACUUGAAUAAGUAGUAUGUGUCCGUAGCUCAUCAACAUCCAAGCUGUCCAGUGAACCUGAUAUUGAAAGCUGAAAUGAAAUAGACCAGUCAAAGACAGCAACUCGAUUGUCUUACUGACCAAACCAAGUUGGCUCUUUGCUUUUUUAUGGGAUUUUUCUGAUGUAUAUUGCAUGUGUUGUUUGUUUUUUUAUAGCUCUUGAUUGUCUAACCUUUUUACGUUUUGCAUUGCAAGUCUCUCUUUUGUUUCUUUGGUAUGCAAUGUGGUAACAAGGUCUUGCUAGAACCGGUGGGCUAACCUUUCUAUGGUUCUAAACUUAGUUUCUAAGUUUGACUGCUCCCUUCGGAGUGACAACAAGCCUCGUUUUCCCCCUACUAUGGAACGGGGAGGAUUCCUCCUCUUUUCAAAGCCCUCGUCAAACUCAAUGCUAAGUUUGACUGCUCCCUUCGGAGUGACAACAAGCCUUGUUUUCCCCCUAAUGUGGAUCGGGGAGGAUUCCUCCUCUUUUCAAAGCCCUCAUCAAACUCGAUGCUAUGUUUAGAACGCUAAGAGUAGGUGGUCUGGUUUUGGUUAGGCCAAAAGUGAAGUUUUCCCCCAUUUUUUAUGGGCUUUUUCUAAUGUAUAUUGGAUAUGUUGUUUGAUUUUUUUUAUAGCUCUUGAUUGUCUUACUGUUUUAUGUUUUGCAUUGUCAAGUCUCUCUUUUUUUCUUUGGUAUGCAAUGUGGUAACUAGGCCUUGCUAGAACCGGUGGGCUAACCUUUCUAUGGUUCUACAUUUAGUUACUAAUUAAGUUUGAUUGCUCCCUUCGAAGUGACAAUAAGUUUUGUUAAUGUCGACCCUUUUCUAAAGGGAUUUAGUUCAUUGUGGCUAGACAAGAGGCUUCUAACUCAUGUUUGACAAGACAAAUUUGUUAAAACCAUCCCAGUUUCUAAAGAGUGCCUCCUAUCCUUUUUUACUCUAUCUAGGCUAGGUUUGGACUAAGUGCAUCAUAGGUAAGUCACGACAAAGCAACAAAGGAAGACAAAGCUAGAAAAGUAUCCAUGCACUUAUUUAUUAUACAUGCAAUCAAGCAUUCACAACACACAUACCAUUUUCUCAAUCAUGCAUUCACAUCUCAAUAAGAAAUAGCUAAAAGGAGCUUAAAACAAAAAAGACAGCAGCUUAUGCUCAAAUUUCAGCACAUAUACUCAUCAAAAUUCAGAAUUUCACAUCAUAAAACCCGAGCUCAGUGCUCAAGGGUUGCCAAUCAUGCUUUUUAUGCAAGAUCUAAUUAAGCUAAGAAGGUAUAAUGCUCAUUAUUGUAUGGAAAGAAUUCUGAAAAUUUUUGAAAUUUGGGCAAAAUUUGAACCCCCAAGUUUACACUAAACAUGCAAGCUAAGCAAGCCAUUACCCACAACCUACUCAAAAAAAUUGCUUUUUUUGUCCUAAAAGCUUUUGAAAAUCAAAGUAAAUGGAGAAAAAAUAAGGGGGGAACUAUGGACUCCCCUGGAAGGAUCGACAUCCUUGACUUUGGUUUGAAGCUUGCAUGGAUAAACCUUUUCAUUCCUUUUUCUUUGAUUAUUCAUCCUUGUUCCUGAAAAUCAAAGGAAAUUCUCUCAAUUUUAUAUAUUUACUAAAAAUUAGGAUACAUAUAAGUCUUAACUAGUCUAAUAGCACCCUCCAUUCAUCUUCCCCUACACUGGCUAUGUAUCAAAAUUUUCAAAUUAAGUAAUACGUCUACUAACGAACUUGAAAACAAAACACAUCACACUAAAAAACACAAACAUCACUUUAACCCAACAGAAGCAACUCUUUUUACCCUUGCACUCACUAUCACAUUACUAUCAUGUUUGUCAACUGUCAAACUAACUCUUUUAAGUUAUUUAGUGUGACUACAAAGUUAUGAACACCAUAAUCUUAAUUAAAACCUUUUAAUAAACAAAUGCGAAGUUACUACUCAAGAAUGGCAAGGAAUUCAAAAAAACAUGACAGCUAUCCUAAUUGGUUGAAAAUGAGAAAAAGAAAGUUAGCCAGACAACCUGUUUGGACUACAAAGCUAGCAGAUACGAUUCCUCAAAUUUGACCAUUCACUCUCCAUACUCUACAAGUCUUCAAGCACAUGAUGCUGCCUUCUUUCAGAUGAGCAACAUCAUUCCGAUCUUAACAGUCAGAAGAGCAAAUCAAAUCAAUCCUAGCAUAUUCACAAAUCACAACUAAAAAGUACAAACAUUACAAAAUAAAACAUGCAGCGAUAUCAACAAGCAUUCUGAUAAAUAAUUAGCCAACUAAUUGACAUUACAAAAUAAAUAAAGAAAAAAAUCAUUGGAAAGAUCACUGCUUAAAUGAAAUUUGAAAUAUCUCCCAAUAGUUUUGAUCGGUUACCCGAGUUGUGAGAGUGAUCGGUUGAUAUUGCGUGCUUCCUUCAAGCGCUCCCCAGCUGCACCUGUUAGCUUCUGCCUCCGGAACCAGCUACUUAAACCAUCUGCCAGUCUCUGCAUAAUAAAAUGAUUAUGAGCCUAAAUUUUACAAGUACCAGUCCGUUGAAUAUAGAAACGUGAUACUCAUGCUUUUCCAUCCUAAACAACAGAACUAUCUGCACUUCGAUUUACAAAUUCAUUGCCUUUUUCCGACAGUGCUCACAACUGUUAGUUGUUACAGGUAUACUUCUUUUAUUUAUUUAUUUUACUAAAUUCAGUAAUACCAUAUUCCAGAUAUUAGCAACAUUAUUUUAGCAUUACCUUGGAUCGGGAUUCAACAACACAGGUAAAAAAAGCAGUAUGUGAUAGCGAACUCUCAGGAACGGUCGGGUUAGAAGAGGGAGGCCUAGGUGGAAGCGGGCUCUUCAGGAUUUGGAAUCGAAAACCGAUCUGAGGGUGGAGAAUUUUCUUUGGAAGACUUGGGUUUCCGAGUGGGUCUGCGGCCCUUGAUUUCGGCACCGUUAAGGCUAGAAGAAGAAGAAAGUGGUGGAUCGACGAGAUGGGUAUGUCGCAAGAUAGAGUUUCUUGGCUGCUUCACGUUAGAGAGGAAGAGCGAAAUUUUGGAGGUAUAGGAAGAGCGAAACGGAAUUUGAGAGAUAGGAAAUCGCAGGGUUUGAGGAAGACGAAGAAGAGAAGGGGAGAUGAGAGGCAGAGUAAACCGAUGGAGAAGAAAAAGGGGAAAGAAAUUUGAAAUAAAAGAGACCGUUGAGGUUGAAGAAGAGGGAAAAGAAAAUUGACCGUUGAGGUUAUUUAAUUUUUGGAUUAAAUAUUUUCUAUGAAAAUUAAAAAAGAAAAAGUUAAAAGGCAAAUAUUUUUUACUUUUUUUUAUUAUUUAUUCUAUGAAAAUUCAAUAAUAAAAAAGCAUCUAUAUUUGCUUUUAGUAUGGUUCACAUUUUUAUUUAUUUGACAAAAAUCUAACUAAAUUAUCAUUCAUUUUGACCUAAUAUUGCAAAUAUAAAUUUAUAUUUUGCAUCUUAACUACUCUUUGGCAUUUAUAAUAUCAUUGUUCCGCACCUCAAUUUUUUUAUUGUUGUCAAAAAUAAACCUAAUCCAAAAUGAAUUUUGGGAGUUUGAGUUCGACCGUGAUUAUUGUUGAAUAAUUUUAUUUGGGAUGCAAGUUUUUCACUUAGACAUGGACAUUUUGCUAUUUUAGCAAUUUAAAUUUAAAAUUUUCUUUUAUCAAAAGUAAACCUCUUGUUUUAAUGUUUUUCUGGUCAUCCCUUUUAAAUACAACUAAUGACAAAUGAAUAUAACAAUUAAGAAAUUCGUAGAUAUAUAACAACAUUUUAAACUAAUUGCUGCAGUUAUUUUAAAUCACAUAUGUCAUUCGCUUAUAAGCCAUAAGAGUCUAUUAACGAUAUAAAUCUAUCACAAAUAUAUUUUGCUACAUUUACAAUUUUUAAAAGAUAUUGUUAUAUACUUAAUUAUUAUUCAUAAAAUCUGCUAAUCCAUUAUACUUACCCUAAGUUAAAUGAAUAAUGUCAAAAGUAAGUUUACUACGAAGGUAAUUUGUGUGACCCUUUUAUCCUAACGUAGGAAGUUUGUUCCACUCCAUACCAUUAUUGAACUAAGAAGAUUAAGUGUGUAUUAGUAUGUUUAAACAAGUAUAAUUAUAGCAAAAUCUAUGAGUGAUAUAUUUAUAUUAGCAAUACAAUAUGUGUUACAUAUGCAAAUAUUUUGUAUCUAAUCGUUGUAUUUGCAAUUAACUCCAUUCAAAUAUACAAAUAUAAACAUAACUCUUUAACCUGAGUUUAGCUAGGAUCACAAACUACAAAAAGAAAGUAUGGAAUAUAUUUAAUUUGUUUUUUUUUUCUUUGAAGAAAAUUUGGUGUGUAGCACAUUAUAUAUUUUUCUUUCCUUUAAAAAACAGUAUUGAUCUUAUAAUAUACGGCCUUGCACAAUGUAUUCACCAUAAAGAUCAUAUAAUUGUAGAGAUGUAUAGAAGGUCUGAUAAACAACAUAAACGAAAAGUUCUAAUCCUUGAAAUUGUAAACAUUACCCAUAUCCUACAAUAAAAGUCACAUCAACUUGAUAUUUGUUGAAAUUUAACAAAAAUGAAAAGAAAGCAACGAUAAACCAAUGACGAUGGAAGAAGAUACAGUUUUCAAACACAACCAGCUAUCCAAAUUAUUCAUAAUAUGGUAUUAGAAAAUAUAUUGCAAUUUGUAACCUCAUAAGUUUAUAAACAGAGUCAAAAAUUAAAGGAAAUUUUUUUAUCAAGCUUAUAUUAGGACUUUAUACUACUUAUAUGUAAUUCUUAAGUUUUCUUCUUUUAGCUAUAAAAGACACAAAUUAAGAAAAAAAAAUGACUUGAUUGUCCAUGUAAAGUUAUGCCCCAACUUUUUUUCUUCUAACUUAAGAAAAGGAACACCAACAAAUAUCUAUCCCCAUAAACUAAAAAGCAUAGGAAAAUGAUAGUAAAAGUAAAAUCAACUUUUUCUGUUAUCUUUUUCCUUCAUUCAUUUACUUCUAAUUGAAAAUAAACCAAAAGUCUAAAACCGAUCAAAUUAUUGAAAACGAAAAAACAAGAAACAUAACAGUGUGGAGAGGUAGUUAUUAUCAAGUAUUUGAUUUUGUUUAAUAGAUUCCAGUUGUGACAACCACAACAAUUGUAUGCAUGAAGUUCAUCAUUCAAACAGAUUCUGACAACAAAUUUCAACACAUCUGCAAGGCGAAAGAAGAUAGGAAUUAGGAUAACAAGGUAAUUAGAACACUGAAAUAAAUUUUAAAAAUAAUUUUAUUGCCGAUUGCUACUAUAAGCAUAAUUAUCUGCUUGUAUAAUUGUCUUGCAUGAUCUGACAAAUACAUUAUGGUAUUUGAUAUUCCAUUCAGGUUGUAUCUUGCAUGUUACCAACAAAAUCAUGUGCUUAGUGAUAAAUUACUCUUAGACUGAGAAAUACUCGAAAAAAAAUCAAGAGUAACAACUCUUAGUUUCCCAGAAAAAUUGAAACAAAAUCAUGACAAACCAACAACAAGAACUUCAUAAACUUGUCUGAUGAAAGCAACUCAAGAACAGUCUCAAUGCAGAUCAUACAUGAGUUCUUUGCUAAAUAUUUCCAAAGGCUAAAAAGAGUUAAGGAAAAAAAGAAAAACAAUAAUUACCUGUAAUUUUCGUUGGUUCAUGAUCUUCUCUUGUCAUUCCCUCACUUUAAUCUCAUAACUGAAAAGGAAAAGAGGAGGGAGGGGUGAUUAAACUCAUGCAUGUACAUAAUGUCGAAACCAGCAAAAUUACCACCCUAUUAACUAUGAAAGUCUGGUUGUGGUCGAAGUAGGGUGAAAGUCAGUGUAGAUUAGGAUAGAUGUCACCGUGAAGCUCACUGUCGGUUGGGGGAGAACAUAAAAAUUGACUUUUUUCUUUUAUAACAGGCUGACUGACCUACAGGCUGGGGUGAACUGGCUGGCAAGGAGGAAGUGACAUGCUACCACUAGGUUGUGUUAGGUGUGAACAAUGGACAAUGGUGGCUAGAAGUGAGGGAAGGGCUUUGUCAAAGGGUCGUGCAGGGCUGAACUCCAACUGUCCAAUAUUAGUUUGUUCGCUUACUUUCUUUGUUUCACCCAUAUCAAUGUCUGCAAAAAUUCCCACAAUAUAUAGAAAUGGAAAUAAAGAUCCUUAAGUUCUUUGAGAAAAAUCAUAAAUAUAGCCACAAAAUUUCUCCAAUUAUUUGUUACUUAAAAAAGUAUAGAAAUUGUCAACCAAGCUCAACUAACGCCUGUAUGUAUGUACUUAGAACCAAGAGGUCUCGGGUUUAAAUCCCUCUACCCCGAAUUUGUACUCAUAAAAAGAAAAAUACAGAAAUUGUAUGAAUGAGGUGCACAUUCACGUAAUUUAUACGAUGAUGUGAGAAAUGCUAUGAUUGUAAUGGAUGCUCAUAGUUUGGCUCGUAGCAAUAGAAAAGCCCGAAUCUUAUUCUCAAAGUUGAGUCCUUUCUUCAGUGCAAAAAAUGUGGUUUCCUGUCGGCUUGGGGAAAGAUCAAUUGCUGUCUCCACCUUGUUGACAUUUCGCCCUGCAUAAUUAUUGACAACGAGAAAUAAAUAGAAAGGUUAUUCUACCAUUUUUUUGGUUUUAUGAGAACAAAUUCAGAGAGCUAAUUGCAAGCAAUAUUUGAAGUAAAGUUACACCUCCUGCCCCCCAGAUCUUGCAGUAGUCAGUUCAAUGUCCUUCGGAUCAAUCACUACUUCAACUUCAUCUGCCUAGAUGCAAUAAUAACAUAAGCUCAACAAAUCAAGAUAAACAUAGCUGAUCAAGAUGCAAAUGCAACGGAGAACAAAGUCAAAUAAGAGAAAUUAUCAUAUCCAAAUUGUUAACACUCCUACAGAGAAACAGUACGAACACUAUGAAUAUCAACUAUAUAUAAGGAUAACUGUAUAGUAAUGCACUUGGAUUUUCAUGUUAAGGCACUAGUGUGAUAUGACAGAACAUUUUAAUCGGCCACUCCACAUUAAUCCAUCAUCUAGGUAUUUUUAACAGAGAGAUAGCUUUUCACAUUAUAAUUGUUAAUGGCAAAAAUGGAGCACAAUAGCAUAUCAGGGACCUAUAAAGGAAAUGGGGAAAGAAUUAACAUUAGACAACUGUCCAGGACAAACUUAGCAAAUUCAGGUAAUAUUCUACCACACAUUAGUCUGAUUAACGCAUGCAAUUCUUAUUUGACAAGUAUCAGACAGUUCUUAUUUCACAAUUUAUAGUGAACUUAUGGAAUAGUUUACCUCUAGCAUGAUGACUACUGUAGUCGUAGAAGUAUGCAUACGGCCCUGUGUUUCUGUUUGAGGAACACGUUGAACUCAAUGAAAACCAGACUCUUAUUUCGAUUUACUGUAGACACGUUAUCCUUUGAUUUCUGUCACAUAAGUUUCGUGUCCCCCCUUUUCAGCCAGAAAAGUAAACAACGAAAAUUCUUCAAUAUAUAUACAGAAAGCACUAGGAUAUUGACUUCUGGGAUGUCUGGAGGCACAUACCUUAGAACUUGAAACAGGGAAAAACUUCCAUGAAUUCCGCUCACUGUAUUUCUGGUACAUACGGACAUGUUAUAUAAUUGGAAAAAAUGAGUUAGAGAAGAAGAAACGACAAUGUAGAAAAAUGUAUUUGAGAAAAGAAGGGGGUAAAAUCAAAGCAGGACAGGAACGGAAGAGACAUCAGAGUUUGGACUAUGUAACUUGUAAGUUUUACAAAGCCUAACUAUCCUAUUCACUGUUCAAUUUUCUAUACACUUAUAAGGCCUAAAUUGUUGGUAAGAAAAAGAUUGGAGCAUAGGUCACCUCUAAUGGAUUGAUGAGAAAAUUCAAAAUUUAACAUCUUAGUCGUAUCUUUUGAAUAAAAAUAAAAAUAAAGCCCAUCUUAGUUGUAAUUAUGUAAAAAAAAAAAAAAGACAAUUAAUGUGAUUAUUCAUGAAUUGAUUUGGGUGGGCUAUUUCAAGAUAAAAGUACCAAACAAAAGACUAGAAUGGGUUAUUUAGUUAUGUAAUCACAACUGCCAUUUCUCCUCCAUAAGAAAAACAAACAAUUUCUCUAAAUUUCAUCUAUAUAUAUAUAUGUAUUUAUCAAAUGAAUCAUAUCAAUAAGGACGGGAAACAACAAAGAAAAAUUAAAAUGGCCAAUAACUCUUGUCUCAUUAUUAUCUCUCUCGUUGGAGUUCUUUCGUUCACCAUCAUUUCAAAUGUGGCAUCAUCUAAUGACGUCGUUUCCACCAUCUGUCCAAAAACCUCAAAUCCACAAUUUUGUUCAAGUGUGUUGAAAUCUGCAGGCACUACAAAUCUAAAAGGCUUGGCUGUAUACACCUUAAACCUUGCUCAUACAAAUGCUGAAAAAUCUUUGACUCUAGCCAACUCACUGGCAAAAACCGCCACCAAUCCUCAACUUAAGCAACGAUAUUCGUCUUGUGCUGAGAGCUAUGAUGAAGCUAUUGGUGACAUUGAAAAUGCCCAAAAGGACUUGGCACUUGGGGACUUUAAUGGUGUCAAUAUUGUAACUUCUGGUGCCAUGACUAAUAUUGGUGACUGUCAGGAUAAGUUCGCACAGCCGCCUAAGGAUACAUCGUUGCUUUUGAAGAAUGGCAAGACUCUAAAUGAUAUAUGCAGCAUUAUUUUGGUUAUAUCCAAUCUUCUUUGAAGGCUAUGUACUUGAAGAUUUUAAUCAAUAAAUAAAAUGAAGUUUAAUUUUUAAAAUAAUAACAUUACAGUGGGAUGGUGAUCGGAAUUGAUUACUUUGGUUAAAAUUUAAAAUUAGAUAAAAAAAAUCAAUUAAUAGAUAAUUCCAACUAAUCAAAAUAACUAAAUAAAAGACGAGAUUUGAAAAUAUAAUAUCCUAAUAGACACUAAUAGACUUAUAUUAAUAGAUAAUUUCCUGCCGAUGAAAAAUUACUAAAGUUGUACUAUAUUUUAUAAAUAUUUUAAAACAUUACAUAAACACUAAUUAAAGUUGGGUUUAGUAGCAAAAAGUUACAAAUUUAUGGACACCUUCUUUUAGGGAAAAAAAUACAGAGUAAUAUUACCUUGACAUGAUGUAAACUAAAUUUGUAAUCAGCGUUGAAAUCUCUACUAUAUUAAAUGCGCUCGUGGAGAAAAAAAAUUAUAUACAUCUAUUUUAUUCUUAAAUUGUCGAAAAAAAUUUAUAUUACUUUUUGUGAUCUAACGUAGUUGUGACUUUUCUAUUGUAAGUGUCCAUUUUAAUGUUUGGAAAGAAGAUUUUUCCAAUUUUUUAGUUUACAAAAUAAAGUUCUAUAUUUUAAAAAAUAAAACCUUAUGUCGAAUAUGUGUAACUAAUAUUGAUAGGAUGUGACUAGUUGAUCUUCGAGAUACGAUGCAUUCUGUUUAGAGUGGAGAUGGUUGCACACACAUCAAAUUGGUGCAUUGAUUCCUCCAAACUUACAUGUAAAAUGUACGUGUAAAAGAAAAACAAAAUAAACUCUUGCAGUUACACAUUAGAAAAAAAAAACGUCACGAAAUCCCAAAGUUCAAAAGAAAACAAACACACACAAAAGGGGAUUUAAUUGAUUCAAAGUAGUAACGAAUGGUGAAAAAUUGCAUCAUUUCUUGUGAUUUCACAUUGACAUAUUAGAAUAAAAAAUUAUCGUAUUCUAUAUAUUACAAUAUUGGAUCAAAUAUUAAUACAUUAAUUCAAUUAUUUAAUUACUACAACAAUGAAUUUCUUUUUCUUUUUUAAAUAAUAAUUUUACCAUUAAUAUUGUAUAAUAUUUGUUUAUUAUAUGCUAAAGCAUAUUUAAAAAUUAAAUAGAAUUAAGAUAUUUCACGUGAAUAUGUGCACGUGUUUCAAUUGAAAAGAUUGAAACAAUAGUCACAAAUGAUUUUUUCAUAAAACAAAACAUUCGUAACCAAAUCUAAAUAUGCACUUUCAUAAUAAAGGACCAAAACUCAUAUUGCGUAGAAUUGAGCAUGGUUUAAAUGAAAUUAUUAAGAAAAUACUUACACUUUACACCAGGUUUUUUGGCAACAUAUAUAGUGAGAAAACUCAAAAUUUACCCUCUUACUUGUAUCUUUUCAAUAAAAAAGUGCAUCUUAGUUGUAAUUAUGUCAAAAUAAAAUAAAAAAAAAGAACCAGUCAAUUAACAUGGUUAUUCAUUCAUUGAUUUGGGUGAACUUUUUGAAGAUAAAAAUUCCCUAUUCUGGUGGUUGAGGAGCUUUUCGAUGAAUUAAAUGGAGCAAACUGGUUUUCAAAGAUUGAUUUAAAGGCGGGGUUCCAUCAGAUCAAAAUGUGUGGAGAAGACAUCGAAAAAACAGCAUUUCGAACACAUGAUGGACACUAUGAAUUUAUGGUUAUGGCAUUCGGCUUAACUAAUGCCACAUCCACUUUCCAAGCUCUAAUGAACUCAAUAUUUAAACCAUUUUUGCAGAAGUUCAUAUUAGUAUUUUUCGACGACAUACUAAUCUACAGUGAGAACUUGGAAAAUCAUCUGAAGCACAUUGGGUUAGCAUUGGAAAUCCUGAGAAAGAAUGAGUUAUAUGCAAACCAGAAGAAGUGCAGCUUCGCGCAAGAACGUAUUGAUUAUUUGGGUCAUAUCAUUUCAGGACAAGAAGUUGAAGUGAACCCCGAGAAAAUCAGAGCAAUCAGGGAAUGGCCUAUACCCAGUAAUAUAAGAGAGGUACGAGGAUUACUGGCCUCACCUGUUACUAAAGAAAGUUCGUUCAGCACUAUGGCUUCAUUGUCGCACCAUUGACUCAACUACUUAGGAAAGGGGGAUUCCAGUGGACUGAGGAGUCUAAGGAGGCAUUCCAACAACUACAAAAUGCCAUGAUGACCCUGCCCGUUUUGGUGUUGCCUGAUUUCAAUGCCACCUUUGAAAUGGAAACAGAUGCAUCGAGAUAUAGGGUAGGAGUCGUACUCGUCCAAGCCAAGCGCCCCAUAGCAUACUUUAGCCAUACGUUAGCCUUAAGAGAUAGGGCCAAGCCUGUAUAUGAAAGGGAAUUAAUGGCAGUAAUCUUGCCUGUGCAACGAUGGCGACCAUAUCUGUUGGAAAGAAAAUUUAUUGUGAAGACCGAUCAGAAAUCCUUGAAGUUCUUAUUACAACAAAGAGUGAUACAGCUUCAGUAUCAGAAAUGGGUAGCGAAGCUAACGGGAUACUCAUUUGAGGUGGUCUACAAACCCGGCUUGGAGAAUAAAGCAGCAGACGCCUUGUCUUGGAUGCCUCCUACAGUUAACCUCGGUAGCAUAACAGCUCCUACAUUGGUUGACAUUCUGGUGAUUAAAAAGGAAGUCGAAGCGGAUGAAAAGUUGAGCAAAAUAAUGGAAGAACUACAAGCAAUGGAAGAAGGAACAGAGGGUAAAUUCUCCAUCCGACAAGGUAUGUUAAGAUAUAAGGAUAAGUUUGUGCUGUCCAAAACAUCUACAUUGAUACCCACAAUCCUACAUACUUACCAUGAUUCGGUACUUGGAGACCAUUCUGGAUUUUUAUGCACAUACAAACGACCAACUGGUGAGCUAUAUUGGGAAGGAAUGAAGGCGGAUGUUAAGAAGUAUUGUGAGGAAUGUGUAAUAUGUCAGAAGAACAACUCCCUAGCACUAUCCCCCACCGGACUGCUGCUGUCCCUGGACAGUCCAAACAAUAUUUGGAGCGAUAUAUCUAUGGACUUUAUCGAGGGCUUACCAAGAUCGAAUGGUUUCGAAGUCAUCUUUGUAGUGGUGGACAGAUUCAGCAAAUAUAUUUGUUAAGGAGAUUGUCCGACUUCAUGGCUUUCCCAAAUCGAUAGUGUCCGACCGAGAUAAGGUAUUCUUGAGCAACUUUUGGCAAGAAAUGUUCAAAAUGGCAGGCACCCGAUUAAAUCGAAGCACCGCUUAUCACCCUCAGUCGGAUGGGAAAACUGAGGUGGUUAAUAGGGGAGUGGAGACGUAUCUGCGAUGUUUUUGUGGAGAACGGCCUAAGGAAUGGUCAAAAUGGAUACAUUGGGCUGAAUAUUGGUACAACACUACUUUUUAGAGAUCCGUAGGGGUCACUCCAUUUCAGGCUAUCUAUGGACGUAUGCCACCACCAUUGAUGUUUUAUGGUGACCGGGACACUCCAAACACUACCUUAAACGAAUAGCUCAAGGCAUGAGUUGAAAUUCUGGGAGUCCUAAAAGAACACUAAUUCGUCGCACAGACAAGAUGAAAAAUAACGUAGACUUGAAGCGUCAUGAUGUGGAGUAUGCAGUUGGCGAUAUGGUCUUCCUGAAGAUUAGGCCCUAUAGACAGAUCUCAUUACGACAAAAGAAAAAUGAGAAACUAUCCCCCAAGUUCUUUGGGCCUUAUACGAUUGUGGAACGCAUCAUACUGGUUGCGUAUAAGCUAGAGUUGCCAGCAUCAUGUCACGUCCCGCGAAACGACCCCACUUUUUGCGCCAAAAAGUGCUAUAAGACUCCCAAAAGAAUGCCAAAGGGAAGCCAAGCACACUCAAGCAACAACCCGAUCCGGCCAUGUGACAGCCCACAUGUGCCCACGACACAUGCCCAUGACAUUGGCAUGUGCCCACAGAAGGCAGCCCACGAGCCCCGCAUGCAUGUCGUGACACGUGCCCACGACAACCCCAUGUGCGUGUACGGACGCACACCUCAUAGGCGCGGACACCAGACAAGGCGUCAGGCACCAACGCCACCCAGACAACCCAUGUGCACCGACAGCUGCACAUGGCACGGCGGCCAACCCACCAGGCGCGCACACAGGCGCCCACGCCCAUCAGACGGCCGCCCAUGCCAGACACGGCAUGGCGCGCGCGGCCCCAUGCGCGCGUGCCCAGCAUGCGCACGACCAUGCGCGUGCGACCCUGCAUCCGCACGCCCCACGCCCCGAAGCGCCGAGAAGCUUCCAGAAGAAUGGGGAAGGCGCGCGACACUUCGCGAGGCGCGCGCCCAGCGCCGCGAAGAAGGACACCGCGCGCGCGCGCAGAAGGCCCCAGACACGCCCCUGUGCGUGCUGCUCCGCCCAUGCUCGGUCUAGACAGCCCCAGAAGCUUCUAGAACGCCCGAGACAGUACCAGAAUGUGCCAGAAUGGUCUGGACACGCCCGAGAAGGCCCUGGAACAUGCUGGAACGUGCUGGACAAAGCUAGAACGUGCUAGAAGGCUACAAUGACGGUCUGGAAGUGUCAUGAAAGGUCUAGUCCUCUCUAGAAUGUUCUAGGCUUCCUUGUAAUGUACUAAACCCUCUUGUAUCAUCUAGAAUAUUCCUUGGCCGACCUUAUGAGGCCUAGGUCGGUUUGGCAAGGUUAUAAAUACUUGUAAGGGCCCUCAUUUGUAAAGAAGAAGGAAACCAAUAAGAGAAAGGGUUCUCUUAAGCUCUCUCAACUUCUCACUCACUCUCUUGCCAACCCAUUGUGAUUUCUAAGUGCCUUAGGUGCACUAAUCAUCUUCCGCUGCAUUAUCAUUGAGGUUAUUCAUAGUGCUUGGUGCACUAACCUCUUGUUAAGGCUUACUUGGCUAACGGGGACGACAUAGUCAAGCCAAGUGCCGCACGGUUGGUUAGCUUCAGAUCCUAACCACGUGACAGGUGGUAUCAGAGCGUGUUCGUUCGGAGGGACAUACUCUUAAUCGUUGGUAUCAAGUACACGAUACCGAGGGACCGGGAUUCAAGACCCCUAGUUCUUGAAACGUUGUCGAGGUGUAUCGGAACAACGGUGUGAGGACCUAGGUACGCCUUAUCGCUUUACCCUAUUUAUUGACUCGAAUGGGAUCCAGGGAAGGAUACGAGUCACCGAUUGAGCAAGUCGUUGAAGGGCCAACGACACGUGGACGUGCUGCACAACGUUCCCCAUCCCGACAGAACAAGGCAACAACAUCGACAACUCGGGAUGUUGUCGAAGAACGAUUUGCGACCUUGGAGGGAAAAUUGGAGGAAGUGCAGGAGAAAUUAGGCGAGACGAGCGAGUUGAUGGAGGAGCUACUUGUGGAUCAUGCCGAGGUCUCAAAAAUCACUAAGGCUAUGAUUGAAGAACUUAGAGGCUCUCAUGGCAAGGACAUCCACGACCUCAUUGUGGAGGUAACCAACAUGCGCAAGUUCAUGGAAGAGGAGCUCCAUGCAUUGCGUAAGGACGUCGACGAGGUACGUGCCGAAUGUCUAUCUAGACAUAAUACUAAAUGAAAAGUGGUUCUACAGAUUCAAAGAAGGCAAUAGAAAUCACUCAUUUUAAUAUCAUUUAAUAUUUCAUCAACAACCUAUAGAGUUUAUUAAUCUUUUUCUUUCCUACUAAAGAAGCUCUAAUUUAUUACUCUAGGAAUGGUCCUUUCUAACUUAUAUACAGGUAACAAAAAAUAAAUUGAAGAAAUACUCUGAGCUUUUCCAUUUAGAAAUCCCAAUGAGCAAAGACUAAAGUCUUCCCGGGAUUCUUAGGAUGCCAAACUCCUCUCAUUGGAUAGACAUCAAUAUAUCUUAGAUGAGAAGCUACCUUGAAUAGCCUUGCUUCCUCAGCAUAUAAACAUAAAUAUAUUUGUUGUAUUCAAUCAAAAAUAAAAGAUAAGCUUGUUCUGAAACCAAUUCCAAAAAUCUCUUCGAAAAUAUGCUGGGAGAGUUGUUGUUGUUUAAAUACUUGGUCCUUCGAAGGUUGGAAUUACAAUGUAACUUUUCACAUAUUCAUGAAAAGUUAUGAUUCUUAUUAUGAAAGAAUGAAACUUCGAACUAGUUCCUAAAGGUAGUACUUUUAGCUGAUGUGGCAAUUUGGAUCAGCCAUGUACGGUUGCAUUCCUCAAUGUGAGUGAUAAUCAAACCCAAACUACCUCAAAGGAAUUAUUUUGUACAGUAACUCCAUCUUUACCAACUUGCGACAUAAAACUAUCUAGGGUUCAUGGGUUGGGGUAAGAAAACUUUUGGACCCAACCCACCAAGUCUUUUUAUCAUUAAGUUUUCUUCAUUUUUAUGUCAAUUGGCAUGUAUUUUAUAAGCUUUGAGAGAAGAAACUUAAUAUAAAUGUAUACUUGGUCAGAACCCCGUCAUUUAGCCUCAAUUUUCACAAUGUAGAGGUAUAGAAUUCAGAGAGGUUAUUUUAUUUUCUUAAAAUUACUCCCCAACUGUUAAUCUAUGAUUAACUUUUGCUAUAAAAAAUUAGUCCUUAUAUCCCUCUUCUAGAAAUUUGACAAACAUAUUAAUCAGGCGCCUUUUUCUGAAAAAUAAUUGUUCAUAUAUUUUUUUUUGAAACAGAGACAACCCUUUUUAUUAAAGAUGUAAGUAAAAAAGAGACUAAUGCUCAAACUAUAGGAGAAUUAUACUAAGAGCGAAAAGAAUGACCAAAACAAAAGUACAGACAAAUUGAACAAAACAAUCAAAAUCCUGAGAAAACAAUAGAAAACUGAGAACAAAGCGAACUUAAAACCUUUCAACAAGAAGCCCAAAAUCAGCUGAAAAUUGCAGACUAAAAACUUCAAACUAGAUGGAAGGAAACACCAAGGGAGAGCUAACAACAAUGCAGCUUUGUUGAAAAAAAUAUCCCUCCCAAGUCAUCCUUCGAUCUUGAGUGAGUGACUAGAACCAGAAUAUUUCAUAAGAACUUUAGAGGGCCAAAAUAAUAAAAGCAUUCGUCGAACCUCAUGUGAUCCACUAAAACAAACCUAAAAGAUAAUUGGCUGAAAAACCAAGAUCAAGUUAUUCUAUACUCAAACCAAAGUAGUUCCACAUUGCUCAACAAUUGACUUCAAGCGAUCUGGAACUUCACAUUGUCGAGCUUGUGAGGGAAAUAAAGAGACUUGUUUCUCAGUAAUUAAAUCCUCCCUUGUCUGAAAGCGGUAUUAAGAUCAGAUUCUAGAGGAUCCUUAAUCGACUGAUCAAUGUUUACAAUGAGUAGUGGAGGCACUUUUGAUUCAGAUUUUACCGAAGGAGCUCAAGGUAUCGUGCAAUGUGAUCGAUUUUCUUGGGACACAUAAAUAAAUCUAACGCCAAUUGAAACAUAAGGACUAGUAUUUGGAGCAUGAUAUUUCUUCCUAUCUCUACAUGUAAAGAUCACAAGAAAAAUAAGAAUUUCACAAAAUAACAGAAAACAAAAUUAGACAAAAUCAGGGCAUGGCCGAGGAUGAGAUUAGAGAUGAAGCGAUGAUUAGUAUUUAUUGAAAAUGGGAGAAAAGUAGAAUGUCAAACCAAUCCAAGAACAUACCUCACAAAUCUUCGGAUAGACGAUCGUGGUCAAAGCAGUGGUUAUGGUCGAGGAUGAGAUUAGGGAUGAAAGGAUGUUACGAAAGGUAUAUCAACAAGAAGAAUAAACAAAUUUAAAAGGUAAAAUAUGUGAACUUAAAUUGAAAGUUAUAUUGAAAGGUUUGUAGUUUAGAUACCUCUUUUCACGUUUGGUUCAUGCACCUCUUCCUCCUUUUCCCCAUACCUAAAUUGAAUGGUUUGUAUCUUAGAGACCUUUCAUCUUACUUCUUCUAAUUUUAACCAAUUUCGAUCAUUAUAUAUUUUGAAGUUCUUAUAAAUGGUCUCAUGUAUUGAUUAAGGAGAGAAGAGAUUGGUAUGGUAGAUAUAUAAUAACACUUAUCUUCUUUCAUAUAAAAUUUUUAAGUGCAUUCUUAAAGACAAAACUACAUGUUAGAAAGUCUUCAAUUAUUAUGCCUUAGCAUUUUUUACUCGUUUAUAAAUAGAAGAAAACCAAUGUUAUAUGGAAGUCCAGUUUGCAUAUCAACUAAAAGUUAAGGAAGGGUUGUAUGUUUUUAGUGUUAUUUGAUCCAAAGAACCCCAAAAUAUACAUUCAAAUGAGAGCAAAGUAAUAAAUAUUAUAUAGUUGUGUGUGAGAUAAGAGAAGAGCAACAAAAAAGAGUAAAACAUAGAAAGCAUUGGGAGUUGAAAUAAAAUAUUUGAUAAAACUACAAAGUAAGCAGAUUGAACUGAUACAAGAACCGACAUGUCGUUCCAAAAGGAUUACAAAAAACACAUCAUAAUCAUAUCGCAAGAUGCAAAGCAUUUAUUCAAUCUCCAUAAUAAUAUCUACAAAGGGCUACGCCAAAACACUUCAAAGCUCAAACAAAAAAACCAUUUUAAAAUAUUACACACACCAAUAACCAACAUGUCGAACAGAACACUUUACGUUACGUUCAUACCAUCUGACUGAACUUCUGCUCAUUCAACGACAUGUCGUCCAUCAUCCAAACAUCCAAAUCAACUCGUUCGAACUCCCCAUUUCCACCGAGUUCACUCGCUUGUUGCUCCUCGCUAUCCAGACCCAAGAACGAUCUCAAACUCGCCAACUCCUCGCCGUAGUACAACUCCUCGCUGUCACACGAACUAUCCGCACGUGUACACGGAGGCGAACCGGUGGUGUUCAAGCCACUCGGAGUAAACUCGGGGACGACGCACUGCAUUUUUACCGGAGUUUGACGCUGAGCCGCGAGCGACGGCGGCGCUGGAGCAAAGUUGAGCUUCGCCUUUUCUCCUCGGAUCCGCUUGGCAGCUUCAUCGUAUGCUCUGGCCGCUUCCUCCGCGGUGUUGAAAGUGCCGAGCCAAACUCGAACUCCUUUUCGUGGGUCCCGAAUCUCCGCCGCCCAUUUUCCCCACGGCCGUUGCCGGAUUCCUCUGUAUAUAUUCUUCCGAGCUUUUCGAGUCUUCUCCACCGCCACCGCCUCCGCCGCCGUAGAUCGGUUUCUUUUCUUAGGCGUCUCAGUUUUCACUACAAAUCAGUCACACUUCAUAUACCCAUGACCAUUGAAAUUUUCAUUCCCUUCUCUAAUAUUUUAUUUUAAAAGACUAUAGCUAAACUAGAAGCAAUAAAUGAAUAGAAGUAGCGAGACUAAGAAUCGUAUUACUUUUAAAGUUAAUUGAAUAAAAUAUAAACAAAUCGAUCUUCAUCGUUAUUCCUUCCUUGCAAAUACGUAGAAUAAUAUAAUAUAGAGAGAACUUUUAGGAAUCAAACGAAAUGAAAACAAUUAUAAAAAAUGGAGAAUGGGAAGAACAUGAACGUACCAGAGGAAUAAUUGAGGCCGAGGAGAUCGGAGAAAGGGUCGAUAUGGGACCAAAGAGAUUCAUUUGUUAAGCUUACAAUAACGAGUUCGGCUUUUUCUCUAUAAAAUCAGAGAUAAUGGCACCACCGCACAUUUUUCUCUCUAAUAUAAUUCCUCCAACGUAAUAAAGAGGUUUUGGAGAACCCUUCAUACAAUGUUAUUUAUAGACGAUCUUAAUGGGCCUUCAUUUUGGGCCCUACAAUGGUGCCUGCUUAUUGGGCUUACUACCAGGUCCACUACACAUAAUCACACUUUAACGGGUAAUGAUGAGAGAAAUAAUAAUUAAAGAUAUAGCAAGUUUUAAAAAAAUUGCAAAUAUAGUACGGCUAUCGUUGAUAGAUUUGUAUGACUGAUAGACUCAUAUGAUUUAUCGGUGAUAGACCAAUUUUUAUAACAUGGUCUAUCAAUGAUAGAGUCUAUCAUCCAUAGAAUUUGACAAAUUUUGCUUUAUUUAUAAAUUUUUAAAAAAGUUGCUAUAUAGUUAAUUAUUUUAAAUUUAAUUACUAAAUUUGCAACUAUCUCUUUUAUUUUUCCUCUCUUUUUAUAGGUUCAAAUAGUGUUUUUUAUGUUUUUUAUGUUUUUUUUGUUUUACUUUUACAAAUUCACAACAUACCUACCAAAUCAAACUUCAUAGAAUAAAUAAACGAAUACGUAAACUUAUCUGUCUUUUUUUCCUCACAUAUUUUUAAAAGACUACGUAAAACUUGUCGAUCUUCACUGACAAAUUUAAAAGGUAAAAUAUGUGAACUUAUCGAUUCUACUAUCAUAUUUACGUAAGAGCCAUUAGGACUAAUAGAGGCACGUGCUCUCUUCACACUAUAGAUUUUUGUAUUUUAAUAUUAAUUUGGAAAUAUUAGACUUGAAGUCACGACUUGAUGGUUAUGCCCAGUCUCACAAUUACGAGGAGGUGACUUCAAGUUCACAUUUUUUAUCUUUUAUUUUUGUUAAGAAUGAAAACCUAAUAAAUAUACAAAUCAAACCCUUCAUUUUUUUUGAAUGAGUUAUAAAUUAAAGAAUAUAUAUAUUAAAAGAUAAAUAUGAAAAACUAAAUGCUCAAACAUCACCGUGAACAUUUUGAAAGUUGCAAGAAAAAGAUAGUGAAUAUCUCACUAAAAUGAAAAUUACUAAAUUUAAAUUUUAAAAUAACAAAAUUUAUUUGAAUAACUUAAGAUUUUUUUUAUAAUAAUACUCUGCUAAAUCAACAAUAUACAUAUAUAUUUGUAUAACUAAAAAUAAAUACUUAACAGUUUAAACUUUAUAAUAAUUUAGUUUUCAAUCAUAAAAGUACUCCAAUAAAGAAGGAUCAACACGGCAUUACAAGAAAUGUGUUUUUAGGAGAAUAGGCAAAUAGAUUAGAGCAUUCCAACAUGUUGAAGGAACCAAUAAUAUGGUUGGGUGUAGCCUUCACUUUACUACUAUAUUUAAUAACUCUCCUUCCAUUGGUAACUUCAACAACAUUGAAGUUAACAUCUUCUUGCACUUUCUCUUUGAAACCCAACAAAAUUCCUAAAACAUGAGUGUAUAUGACAAAAACUAAUUAGGGUGCAGAUUAAACUAUCAAAAUUGAUUUAUUAUCUCUUUUCAUAAUACAUACUUUCUUCGAAAAAGUAAUUAAAUAGGGUUGAUUUGAAGAAUGCUAUUAAUCACAAUUGUUGUAAAUAAAAACGGUAAUUAUGAAAGAAAAGGAAGCAUCAUGAAUAGAUUCUUUACUUUAUGACGGUGGCCGUACAGUCUGGCGGUUUUGAAAGGCGUGAAAAGGCUGUUUCUUUCUUACAAAAGCGGGGGACGUAUCUUUACACGUGGCACCAUUUAAAUGGUUUUAUGGGAUGAACGUACGUCGGUAUAAUUAUUUUAAUAUUUCUUUUAAACAGUUCGUGGGAGGAAGCAAAAUGGUAUUUUAUUUAUUUAUUUUUGCAUAUUUUAACCUUUUUUUCUUUUAGUUAAUAAUAAUUAUUAAUUAACUAAUUAAAGCAUAUGCAUAUGUAGUCUUAUGAAAUCAGACAUCUCGUCUACAAAAUAUAAAUUGAACAUGAACACGUUAAUAAUAGUAAGAGAUAAAAGUUUGUAUCGAGUUUGAUGUUAUAAUUAAAAUAACACAAUUGCUAAAAUAUAAAAUAGGCAUCAGAUAUAAUUGAGUAAGAAGAGGUUGAAGGAAGAUGAGAAAAGUGUGGCAGUGGACAACUUGAUGAACUCAUGACAUAAUCAUAUCCUUUGAAACUGUGAAACCAAGAAAAUAAGAUGAUGAGUUGCAUUAGCAACAGCUGCCUUUAAGUUUUAUUUGUUUGUUUGUUUACUAUUAUUAUUAUUUGGGAGUAUACGAAAGAAAGACAAAAAAGUCACCAAUAGAACACUUCGACUAUGCUUUCAGAAAGAAUGUGUUUGAUGUUAAUCCAUUUAUUUUUUAUAUCUUUACAUUAUGUUUCAUUUUCAUAUUCUAUUAUUAAGAACAAUUAAAUUUUCAAUGGGUUAAUUUUUAAAGUUUUAUAAACUUAAACUUAAAAAAUUGUCAAACCUGUUGGGCUUAUUUCACCCUUGAAGUCCAGCCCAUUAGGUCAACUUUACUAUGAAAUUAACUAAUGUACAAUGCAAUUAAAAAGAAAAGUAGUAAAGUAGUGACGGUAAGACAGUGAAAAAAGAAAGAAAAAUAAAAUAAAUGUGAUUCGUAUUUCAGUCUUUUGGGGAUCGAUUGGUGGUCCAAUCAAGCUGAAAUUUUGACUGGUGUAUUCUUGGCACGAGGUUCUUCAUUCUGGAUAGUGGAGAUUUUGUUUGGAGCUAUCUACAAUUAGAUUCUAGUUGAUAGUUGACUACCACAUAUUGUGAGAUUUUUCCUUUUUUCUUUCAUUGUCAUUUUGUUUGUUGUCGGGAUUGUUAUUCUCGAGAUACUUGCCUCUAGUUGUGACUAGGGAGAACUUUGUUGUACCCAUUAAAGAUUAUAGUGAAGAUUUUGACUUCGGUCCGUGGUUUUUUACUCCUCACGUUAUACUUUGAUUAUUAUUAUUAUUAUUGAGUAGUGUUCUAUGAGGUUCACACAAGAGUGUGAUAAUUGAUCCAAGGCGAAGGUGUUUAUCCCAACAAAGUGAUUAAUUGGGAUUUAAUUGGAAUUGCCUUGUGUUGAAUAUUGAUACUAGCUCAGCUAAGAUGGUUACCCUUAAUGGGUCAAAUUAUCAAGUAUCGAAAAGAAAAAUGGAAGACAUUGUUUGUAAAUGACUUGCACCUUCCUGUUUUUUCUGAUGAGAAGCCUGACGACAAAACUGAUAAAGAAUGGGAAUUAUGUCAUAGGAAAGUGUGUGGGUUUAUGAGGCUAUGGGUAGAAGAUAACUUUCUAAACCAUAUUUGUGAAGAAACUCAUGCGCGAACUAUGUGGAAUAAACUUGAAUCGCUAUGUGCCCCUAAAACUCGUAAUAAUAAAAUGUUUUUUAUUAAACAGAUGAUGGAGUUAAAGUAUCAAGAUGGAGCGCCUAUGUUAGAUCACUUGAAUACAUUUCAAGGUAUUUUGAAUCAACUAUCUAGAAUGAAUAUCAAGUUUGAGGAUGAGAUACAUGGGUUAUGGGUGCUUGGUACAUUGUCGGACUCGUGGAAAAUAUUUAGAACUUUCUUAUCGAACUCAGCCUCAAAUGGUGUACUAAGUAUGGACCUAGUAAAAAGUAACGUGUUGAACAAGGAGAUGAGAAGAAAGUCUCAAAGUUCUUCUUCACAAUCAGAUGUUAUGGUUACUGAAAAGAGGGGGAGGAGUAAAAGUAAGAGUCCGAGAGGUAAUAACAGAAGCAAAAGCAGGAGUGACCAGUUUGCAAAUGUUGAGUGUCACUAUUGCCAUGAAGAAGGCAUAUAAAGAAGUAUUGUCGAAAAUUGAAAAGAGACAGUAAAAAUCAUAAGGGCAAGGAAAAGAAUAAUGAUGAUGAUAGUGAUGCUGAUACAAUCACUGUAGCCACUGAAGAUUUUUACAUCUUGUUUGAUGGUGAUGUUGUAAAUUUGCGACACAACAUAGCAGUUGGGUGAUUGAUAGUGGUGCAUCAGUUUGUGCUACUUCGAAAAGGGAAUUUUUUGCAUCCUAUACUCCUGGUGAUUUUGGCAGUGUUAGGAUGGGUAAUGACGGAUCAACAAAUAUAGUUGGCAUCGAAGAUGUACACUUGAAGAACAGAAAUGGUUCUAGGCUGAUUUUGAAAAAUGUGAAACAUAUUCCUGAUAUUCGCAUGAACUUGAUUUCUACAGGUAAGCUUGAUGAUGAAGGUUUCUGCAAUACCUUCGACAAUGACAUAUGGAAGCACUAAAGGUUCAAUGGUUAUACCAAAGGGACAAAAAUUUUCUUCACUGUACUACAUGGAUGCAAAAAUCAUGGAGUCUGAUAUAAAUACAGUGAAUGAUGAAGCAAAUGUUGAGCUUUGGCAUAAGAGACUUAGCCAUAUAAGUGAGAAGGGUUUAAAGAUUUUAACCAAGAAAAAUCAUCUUCCUGAUUUAAAGAGUACGCCUCUAAAACGAUGUCUUCAUUGUUUGGCAGGAAAGCAUACGAGAGUUACCUUUAAAUCAUCUCAACAUUUAAGGAAGCCAAAUUUACUAAAGUUAGUACAUUCUGAUGUGUGUGGUCCCAUGAAAACAAAGUCUCUUGGGGUUGCUUUGUAUUUUGUGACAUUUACUGAUGAUCAUUCAAGGAAAAUAUGGGUUUACACCUUGAAGACUAAAGAUCAAGUGUUGCAAGCGUUUAAACAGUUUCAUGCUUUUGUUGAGAGAAAAACUGGUGAAAAGCUCAAGUGUGUUAGAACUGAUAGUGGAUGUGAGUAUUGUGGACCUUUUGAUGAAUAUUGUAGAAAUCAUGACAUUCGACAUCAAAAGGCACCUCCUAAGACCCCGCAGUUAAAUGGAAUUGCUGAAAGAUUGAACAAAACAUUGGUUGAGAGAGUGAGAUGCUUAUUAUCUAAAUCACAGUUGCCACAAUCAUUUUGGGGUGAAGCUUUAAAUACAGUUGUAUAUGUUUUCAAUCUCACACCAUGUGUUCCUUUGGGAUCAGAAGUUCCAAAAAUAAUAUGGUCAGGUAAGGAUAUAUCUUACAGUCACCUACGUGUCUUUGGCUGUAAAGCUUUUGUUCAUGUACCUAAAGAUGAGAGAUCAAAGCUUGAUGCAAAAACCAAAGCAUGUGUGUUUCUUGGUUAUGGCCAAGAUGAGUUUGGUUAUAGAUUAUAUGAUCCAACUAAGAAAAAGCUUAUAAGAAGUCGAGAUGUUGUAUUUGUUGAAGACUAAACAAUAGCAGACAUUGAGAAAAUAGAUGAACCAAAGUCUAAGCAUAGUGAUAAUCUAAUUGAUUUGAGUUCAACCUCUUUGACACAACAUUCUACACAGAUAGAAGAUGAGGUUCAAAAUGAACAGUUUUCUGAUACAUAUGAGAGUUUAAGCAGGUUGGGACAGAGGAUAGUGUUCAAGAACAGUUAGCUGAAACAGUUGUUCCUACAGAUGUUUCGCUCAGGAGAUCUAUCAGAGAUCGACGUCCGUCAACAAGAUAUUCACCUAAUGAAUCUUUGCUAUUGACUGACGGGUGAGAACCUGAGAGUUAUGAAGAGGCUAUAGAGGAUGAGCACAAAAAUGAGUGGAACGAUGCAAUGAAAGAUGAGAUGGAAUCUUUACAUGCAAACCACACCUUUGAGCUUGUUAAGUUGCCUAAAGAAAAAACUGCACUAAAAAAUAAGUGGAUUUACAAAAUUAAACAUGAAGAACAUACCUCAAAGCCACGUUACAAAGCAAGAUUGGUUGUCAAAGGGUUCAGUCAAAAGAAAGGUAUCGACUUUGAUGAAAUUUUUGCUCCAGUUGUCAAGAUGUCCUCCAUACGUGUUGUUCUGGGUUUGGCAGCCAGUCUUGACUUAGAGGUUGAGCAGAUGGAUGUUAAAACUGCUUUUCUUCAUGGGGAUUUAGACAAAGAAAUCUAUAUGGAACAACCAAAGGGUUUUGAGUAGAAAGGAAAAGGGCAUCUGAUGUGUAAAUUGAAGAAAAGUCUCUAUGGAUUGAAACAGGCACCGAGACAGUGGUACAAGAAGUUUAAGUCAGUUAUGGGAGAGAAGGCUAUAGAAAAACUACUUCUGCUCACUGUGUUUUUGUCCAGAAAUUUUAUAAUGAUGAUUUUGUUAUAUUAUUAAUCUACGUUUAUGACAUUUUGAUUGUUGGUAGGAAUGUUUCGAGAAUGGAUAACUUGAAGAAACAAUUGAGCAAAUCAUUUGCCAUGAAGGUUUUGGGACCAGCAAAGAAAGUUCUUGGAAUUCGAAUAGUUUGAGAUAAAGCAUCCAAGAAGUUAUACAUGUCACAGGAGCAAUACAUAGAGAAAGUACUUGAACGUUUCAAGAUGAGUCAAUCAAAAUUAGUUAGUUCUCCUUUACCCAGUCACUUCAAACUGAUCAGUAAACAAAGCCCUUCUACAGAUAAAGUUUAGGGUUUAGGGUUUAGAAAAGGAGGAUAUGAGUAAGGUCCCGUAUGCUUCAGCAGUUGGAAGCCUAAUGUAUGUCAUGGUAUGUACUAGACCUGAUAUUGCUCAUGCUGUUGGAGUUGUUAGUCGUUUUAUGUUCAAUCUAGGAAAACAACGUUGGGAGGCAGUCAAGUGCAUCAUGAGAUAUUUGAGAGGUACUUCCAUUUUGAAGCUCACAUUUGAGGAUGGAAAGCCAGUACUUGCUGGGUAUACUGAUUCAGAUAUGGCAGGGGACUUAGACAGCAGAAAGUCUACUUUUGGUUACUUGAUGACAUUUGCAGGUGGUGCAGUGUCCUGGCAGUCAAGGUUGCAGAAAUGUGUUGCCCUUUCUACAAAGAGAUGUUGUGGAUGAAGUGCUUUGUACAAGAGUUUGACUUCAAGCAACAACACUGUGACAAUCAGAGUGUUAUUCACCUUGGUAAGAAUGCUUCAUUUCAUUCCAGAACAAAGCAUAUUGAUGUGAGAUAUCACUAGCUUAGAGAUGCUUUAAAUGAUGAAUUGUUUGAGCUUGAGAAGAUACACACGGAUCAUAAUGGAUCUAAUAUGUUGACAAAGAAUCUACCAAGUCGAAGCUUGAGUUUUGUCGUUUCACGGUGGGAAUGACAAAUUCAUUCUCAAAGUGAAAUAGGAGGAGAUUUGUUGGGCUUAUUUCACUUGAAGCUCAGCCCAUUAGGUUAAUUUUAUUAUGAAAUUAACUAAUGAACAAUACAAUGAAAAAGAAAAGUAGUGAUGGCAAGAUGGCAAGAUGGUGGGAAAAGAAAGAAACAUAAAAUAAAUGUGGUUCGUAUUUCAGCCUUUUAGAGAUCGAUUCUUGGUCCAAUCAAGCUGAAAUUUUGACCGUGUAUUCUUGGCACGAGGUUCUUCAUUCUGGACGGUGGAGACUUUGUUUGGAGCUAUCUACGGUUAGAUUCUGGUUGAUAGUUGGCUACCACAUAUUGUGAGAUUUUUCAUUUUUUCUUUCAUUGUCAUUGUUGUUUGUUGCCGGGAUUGUUAUUCUCGAGAUACUUGCCUCUAGUUGUGACUAUGGAGAACUUUGUUGUACCCAUUAAAGAUUAUAGUGAAGAUUUUGACUUCGGUCCGUGGUUUUUCACUCCUCACGUUGAGGGGAUUUUUCCACGUGUCCAUAUACUUUUAUUAUUAUUAUUAUUAUUAAUAAUUGAUCCAAGGUGAAGGUGUUUAUCCCAACAAAACGACACAAAAAUAGCUAUAAAACAAAACAAUGAGAGAGUGAAGAUAUAGCAAUAAAAGGACAGUGAUAAAAAAACAACAAAAAUGAUGUAGAUUAAAAAAUGAACCAUACUCUUUUCAAAUUUAAUUUGAACUCUUCAAAAAUUAAGAUAUGGACAUAAUAUCAAAAUCCUAAUUGUUCAUAGAUCAUUCAAAUACAAAACUAAAUGAUUGAAUUAUUAGUUAAAUUUCAUCAUAUCAAUUGGUAAUUAAUGAGAGUUCACAUCCAAGGAACAGUUCAAUCAUUCCCUAUGGCUUCUUUUUAAUCUCUGGACCUAUUGCUAAUGAAAUAAAGAAAAUCCAGAUACAACUUACUAAAUAUUUCUAUUCAAUUCAUUUAGAUGCUACAUUUAUAUAUAUAUAUAUAUAUGAUUCCUUGAUCUAAAUGCAUUGAGGACUGACAUAAAACUCAUACUUGAUGAAUAUUUGGAAUGUUGAUAAGUAAAGAUUCUAAACUCUCCUAGAUUCGUCAUGCAUUAAGGAGUCGAUAAACCUUCACAUUUUAAAGCAUCCAUCAACCAAUGUUGCUCUGAUUAAACUGGACUGGAUUUGUCAAGAGAUCUCCAACACCACUUUGAGCUCUAUUUUGACAAUCUAUGGAGGGUGGUGGAUGCAUUGGAUCACUCUACUCUUGACUCCAGUUCUAUGUCUAAAUCAGCUCCCACAUCAACUUGCCCAGUUUCUCAGUGUCUACCAUACCGUGAAGGACUACGAUUGUUUUGUUGUGUAACAUUAUGCCUAAACUGUGGUCUUGGGAUGACCUUUCCAUCAAUAAACAAAUCACCUGAAAUUAACAUGAAUGAUUCAUACAAGCAAAACGAGCAUUUGACUUGAGAUAACAACUGAUUUCAAUUUAUAUCAAUUUGAUCAAGUUGAAAUGGGAUCACCUCCGUAAUCUUUGUUCGGAACAUCUUGAUAUGAAUCUGGAAAAACCCAUCGAACACCUGGCAAUUCUGUUUCAUACGGAAUGAAAAAGCUCAAAUCAGUUGCCAAUUCUAUAUUUUACAUAAGCUAAAGCGAAAUUAUCAAUAACUAACGAAAAUCACAAAUGUGAAACCUUCACAGUUGUAACACAAGAACAUUCAAACUAAAACCAGGUCAAUUCUGAAGCAAACUUGGAAAUAGAAAGAAAAAGAUCACAAGCCAUUCAAAUAUUAUCUAGGAAGUUGCAUCAAACGAAUUGCGUGGUUGAGCUAAAAAAGUACUCUUUCUAUCUUUAAAUUUAAUCCAAACACUAGCUAGUAGACACAUUUCCAAUAUCUAUAAGAUGAAAAAAAAAUUGAUUCACAUCACAAGACUCAUUAGUGUUGUCAAACAUUCAUGGUGGUAACACACAUAUUAUCAAACAAAAACUCAAGUCCAUUCUACAGCAAACUUCAAAAUAAUUGGGAAAAUUUCUUAGCGCUGUAUUGGGUUUUGAAAACUAAGUUUAUAAACGGUAUCAUUCUUUGUUUGCUAUCUACUUUUAAUAGUGUUUUCAAAAUGCAUAGUUUUGGCAACUAAUUAAAGUAGUUUCUUAAAAUACUUGUUCUACGUUUUAGAAUUUGGCUGAAAAUUCAAAUUCAAAUGGUAACCAUGGUAGUAAAAACAAACAUAACUUCAAAAAACAAAAUGGUUACGAAAUGGAUGCUUUUAUCUUGUUUUGUGAGAACUUUCAUCAAACACACUGCACGCUUGAGCUCAAAAGUACACUUUGAAUGUUCACAUUUAAUCCAAAUAAUCAACACAAUGCAAUAGAUACAUGAUGAAUCAAGGUUACUUAUUCUAAUCACAACACGAAUAAGCAAAAAAACAAUGAAGUAUUACCUUUCAUUUUCCGAGAAAGCUCUUCCGAAAUCAAUGCACCAAAUCCAGUAUACGUGGUAGUACAAACUGAGUAUAUUUUCUCCUUCGCCUCUUCCUCACUGAAAAAUCAGAAGAAAGCAAAAAUCCUAAAAUAACUAAAGAAUAAAAUCCGUGUUAAAACGAUUUGUCUUCAAUCCGAUACCUUCCGACAACAGCGGCCAGAGUUUUGACAUAAGAAUUAACCAUCUCUUCCUCCGAUGGUUUCGGGUCAUUAGGAAAAUCCAGCACUAUCAGCCAGUGCUCGUAAUCGCAGCCAUCGUAGGGUAUUGAAUCUUUUGGAGGUCGCUUGCUCGAAUUAGGAGAAGGAUCGUUGAGUAGAGAGGAUUCGGAUUCCGAAGCCUUGCAUCGAAUAGGAAGAUUAAAUGAAUUAGGGGUUAUUUGAACCUGUCUGUUGAGGAGAGGAAAAGCGAAACGCAGGCGAGAAGAAAUAGGAGAUGGAAGUAAGAAGGAAGAAGAAGAUGAUGAAGAUGAAGAGAGGCUUCGGCUAAGAACAGUGAAUAAUGUGCGCCGAGUGGCUGAGGACGCCAUUGUUGAAAGCAGUAGGGUCUCUGAUGAGUUGGGAUUUAAGAGAGGUCUGGGAAAAUGAAGGAAAGUACACUAUACGUCGUCGUUUUCGACAUAUAAAACUGUUCUUCUCUUACAAAAUCUCUCUCAAUUUUCAAAAUAAAAACGUUCAUAUUCGUUAAUUCAAGAUAUUUACACAAAUUUAAAGUUACAAAAAUAUUUUUAAAAUGUAAAAAGGGAAUUUAGAAUUAAUUUUGGAUCUACUAAAUCAUGAAAUUAUUCAUUUUGAAAAAUGGUAAUAUAAAAAAAUGUAUAGAGAGUAAAAAGUUAUUCUACUAUAAAGCAAAUUAUUGAGAUAAAAGUUUGCUAACCAUUAAAAUUCCAAGGGAUAAAUGCUUCUUUGUUUUGUUCAGUAAAACACUACUUUCCUUUAAAAGCUUUUAAAUUCUAUCAUCUGAAGCCAUGGUCCAAAAAUUUGACAAGUCAAAAAUAAAUUAUAAAGUUUAUCACUAAUAAAUUUUUAGCAAAAAGUCCGCCCAAUUUCUUAAGUUCCUGCUUUCAGAACAACCCGAAAGUGAAGAUGGCGAAGAUUCAGAAUCGAACCAUAAUUUUUUCAAAUUUAUAGUUUGAAUCAUUAAAAAAUUCAGAUAUUGUCACAACAUCACUAACUUAGAAUCUUUAAAAUCAAAGUCCCCAGAAUUCAUAGAUCAUAUAAACUAAAAAAUAUAUAUACACAUUUUUUAAAAAGCAUCCAUCAAUCAGUGUUGCUCCGAUUAAACUCGCCUGGAUUUGUCGAGAAAUCUCCAAUACCACUUUGAACUCUAUUUUGACCAUCCAUGGAGGGUGGUGGCUGCAUUGGAUCACUCUGAUUUUGACCCCAGUUCUGUCUCUGAAUCGGUUGUCUCCGAUCAACUUGCAUAGUUUCUCGCCGUCUAUCAUACCGUGGACGAGGCCUGUUUCUACCAGGUUGUUGUGGCCUAUCAUGGUACCUAUAUUGCGGUCUUGGGAUGACCUUUCCAUCAAUAAACAAGUCACCUGAAAUUAACACAAAUGAUUCAUAAAAGCAAAAUAAGCAUCUGACUUCAGAUAUCAAGGCGUUUCAAUGUAUAUCAAUUCAAUCGAGUUAAAGGCGCAAUCACCUCCGUAAUCUUUGUUCGGAACGUCAAGAUAUGAAUCUGGUAAAACCCAUAGAACACCUGGCAAUUCUGUUUCAUCCAGAAUGAAAAGCUUAGAUCAGAUGCCAAUUCUAUAUACAAAGGCUAAAGCAAAAGUAUCAAUCAAUAACACAAAUCAUAAAUGACAAACCUUCACAGUUGUAAAACAAAAAUGACCAAACUAAAAUCGGGUUGAUUCUGAAGAAAACUUGAAAAUAGAAAGGAAAAAUCCUAAGCAAUUCAAAUAUUAUCUAGGAAGCUUCAUAAAAAGCAUCACGUUCUUGAGCUAAAUAAGCACUCUUUCACUCUUCAAUUUUAAUCCAAAAAACUAAACACAGAUUUGAUUCAUAUCACAAGACUCGUUAAUUUUGUUGUUUACAAAAGGCUGCUUUAUACAACAAAGUACAAAGGAUCACAACAUAAUACAAAUGCCAAGCCUUCAUGGUGGUAAUACAGAUAUUAUCAAACUAAAACUCGAGUCAAUAUACAGCAAACUUCAAAAUAGAUGGGAAAAUUUCUUAGGCCUCCAUUUGGGUUUUGAAAUUAAGCUUAUAAACACUACUUCUACUUAUUGUUGUCUUUUUUGCUAUCUAAUUCUUAGUGGUGUUUUCAAAAUACGUAGUUUUGGUGACUAAUUGGAGUAGUUUCUUAAAAGACUUGCACUUCAUUUUAGACUUUGGCUGAGAAUUCAAACUCAAAUGGUAACCAUGGUAAAGAAAUGGUAGGAAGAGAAUGAUAAUCUAAGAAAUGCAGACAUGACACUUAGACACUCCCAUAUCGAACACUUGUUAGUGAGCCAAAAUGUGUUAGACAUGCAUAAAAUACAUAUGGAGCAGAGUAAAAGAACACAGAUUUAUGACAAUAAUACUAAAAACACACACACAUGUAUGCAUAAAACACUCGUUGAGCAUACAUAGAACUAAUUUCUAUCUUUUAAGCAUGUAAUGCAUUAACCUUGUUAUGGCAUGCCCUAGACUUUUAAGAAAUGACUUAUUGCCAUGUAUCCAUGUCUUGUAUCCCUAUUAGUGCUUUUCGAAACAUAAUUUUCAAAAACUAAAUGAAUGAAUUCGUUUUAUCUAAUUUUUUAGAACUUUGAUCAAACACAUUGAGUGCUUGAGCUGCUCAAAACUACACUUUCAAUCUUCAAUUGUAGUCCAAAUACUCAACACAAUUCCAAUAUCUACAACGAGAAUAAAUCAGAUUCCCAAGGCUCCUCAAUCUAAUCAUAACACGAAUAAGCCAUGAAACUAUUACCUUUCACUUUGUAAGAAAGCUCUUCCGAAAUCAAUGCACCAAACCCAGUAUACGUAGUUGUACUAACCGAGUAUAUUUUCUUCUUCGCCUCUUCCUCACUGAAAAUCAGAAAAAAAACGAAAACCCUAAAAUAACUAAAGAACAAAAGCCGUUUUAUAAUAAUUUGUUUUCAAUCCGAUACCUUCCAACAACAGCAGCUAGAGUUUUGACAUAAGUAUUAACCAUCUCUUCCUCCGAUGGUUUCGGGUCAUUAGGAAACUCCAGCACUAUCAGCCAGUGCUCGUAAUCGCAGCCAUCGAGAAGUAUCGUCUCUUUCGGAGGUCGAUUGCUCCAAUUAGGAGACGGGUCGUUGAGUGGAGAGUAGCCGGAUCCGGAAGCCUUGAAUCGAAUUGGAAGAUUGAAUGAUGCAGGGAUUAUUUGAUCCUGUCUGUUGAGGAGAGGAAAAGCAAAUCGCAGGCGAGAAGAAAUAGGAGGAGAUGGAAGUAAAAAGGAAGAAGAAGAUGAUGAAGAUGAAGAAAUGCUUCGGCUAAGAACAGUGAAUAACGUGCGCCGAGUAGCUGAGGACGCCAUUGUUGAGAGCUUGACGGUAGCUGAAUGAGACAGUAGGGUUUUUGGUCGAUGAGAUUUUAGAGAGGUUUGGGGAAAUGAAGGACGGUACAGUAUACGGCGACGUUUUAGGAAUAUAAACAAAAAAAAAUAUAGAUUUAGACCAUCAAUAGUCUAUUAACUACGUGAUUAUAUCAACUUAAAUUGUAAAUUUAGCAAUUAGAUUUAAAAUAAUUAAAGAUAUAGCAACAUUUUAAAAAAUUUGCAAACAUAGCAAAAUUUGACAAAUUCUGUCAAUGAUAUGAGUCUAUCAACGAUAGACCAUGUUGCAAAUAUUGGUCUAUCACUGAUAGAUUAUAGGAAGUGUAUCAGCGAUGUUAUAUUUGUAAUUUUUUUAAAAUUUUGCUAUAUCCUUAAUUAAAAUGAUUAUUCAUUCCAAUUUUGUAUUAUUUUUUAGUAAAAUAAUUUUUUUAAAAAAAUUAUAUAAGAGUGAGUGAGAUUAUAGGAAUUGUUUAAUUAUAUUUAUAGACACUGAACUUGUUACAUAUAUUAUAUAUUAUUAGAUGAAAAUUGCAUACGAGGACAAAAACAUUUAUAAAAAUAUAUAGUCUAUAACACCUAUUUUUAUCAUAUUAGGAAUAUGAAAAAAUUAGUGAUAUUAAAUAGUUAUAGAGUUAUCCAUUUUUAAAUUUACAAUUUAAAAAAUGCAUGACAUGAGUUUAUUAUCAUAAUUUUUUGUUGCUACUUUUUCAAGUGUCCCCUUUUCAAAUAUUCGAUUUGUCUUGCAAACUAAAUCGUCUUCAACCUCGAACCAACAUUGGUUUCUUAAAAAAUGGACUAUUUUGAUGCUUUAAUGUUCAUUUACACUUGUUAACUUUUACGACUUCUCUUUUAAACAAAACCUCGAAGAGCUCAACUUUUAUAAUUGCAAACCGUAAUUAUAGCACCAAAUUUGAAGAAUGUUACUGCAAUUUGCUUUUAAAAAUUGAAGUAAAAAAAAAACUGAUUUGCUUUAUAACUCUGUAGAGAGAGGAUUUCAUAACGAGUAGUUCAAAACAUGCAUAAUUUUUUAUAAUACUGAAGAGCCCAAGAAACAACAUAACCAAAGCUAUAGUUAAGUACUCAUACAUAUACUUUAUACAUACAUACAUACAUAUAUAUAUAGUGCAGUUAAAUAUAUACUCAACUGCAGGCUCGUAGUUACCUAAAUUUGUUUAUUUAUGUAUUACAAGCAUCCAUCCCUUUACUUUUAGAUCAGAAAAGCAAAGCUAUUUCCGUUUUGCAUACGAACGCCAAGUUGUUAUCACGAUCCCGCCGCGGGUUUUGGCCAAAUGAUCAGAAGUCACCACUGCCCCCUGUUUCUCUUUCGUCUUCGAAGGUGGUUGCUCGGCCACCUUACGCGGUGGCUGCAUCUGAGCUGGCCUCAUCUCCGUUGCCGCCACUACCCUUCUACCGCCCGUUGUCGAGGCUCGACCGAAGAAUUUGUCAAUCAGUUUGAAUCCUUCAAUCCCAAUCCGCGCCAGGUUAGCAUCAGUAUCUAUAAUUUCUCUCUCUCUCCUACCCAUAAUUCCCGAAGAUUAAGAAAAAAAAAGGAAUUUGUUUUGGAAUGGGUUGUGAAGCUUCGUUUGGUUUUUGGUGCAUUAUAUAGUAGUUUUGGUGGCCCCCAUAGCAGUAAUUUAAAAAUGGUAAUAAAAGAAUUAGGCCGAGGAAUGAACUCUUGAUGGGAAUUUGAUUGAAUUUCUUUAUAAUAACAAUGUUUCUUUUUUCUCUUUUUCAAAAGUGAUUUAGGGUUGGAAGAAAUCAAUUAAAUGUUUUAAGCUUUCAUAACCUAUUAAUUUAUCCAUUUAUUAGACUUCGUUAAAAAUUGUAUAUUAAUUUAGACAUUUCAAUUAAUUGAUAAAAUUGUAAGUUUUUUAAAGUAAAAUACAGAGAGUUUGAAAUGAUUAAAAUUAUAAUGCGAUAUUUAUAUUUAAGCAUGGUGAUUGAAAUGAAUAUUAUGUUAGGCAUUAUAAAAUUAGUCAUAUAUAUGGGGAAAGGGAUUGGGAAUAUUUAGGGGUAACUUUUAGCUGUUUUUAAAGAUUAAUUAAGUUAUUAAAAACUGAUUUUUAGAGGAAUGAUUAAUAAUUUAUUACAACAACGUAACAUAGCAUUAAACUUGUUUUAUAAUAAACACUAAAAAGGGUGUUCAAAAGGAAUUUUGCAAAUUGUUCUAAAGGAAGAUAAAGAUACUUUUAGAUUGUAAAAAAAAAUGAUUAAAGAAACAAUUAGGAUUAAGAUUAGGAAGAUAUUUGGUUUGUUAGAGAGUAAAAUAAUGGAUUUUAAUUUCGUUAAAGGGAUUAGGAAUAUUUGGGGGUGACUUUCUAGGGAUGUUAUUUGUUUUAUUUUUUUAUAAUAUAAAAUAUAGUUUUGGAGCACUUAAGAUAUAUAUAUACACAGAGGAGUAUUUUAAAAAAUAGAAGCAACAUAUUUAGAAAAUGAAAAAAGUCACAUGUCCAAAAAAAUUCUCAAAAUGCUUAAAUUUAGUUUUUUUUUUUCUUUAUUAGAUUAUUAGAUGAUCAUUUAAAUUUUGUUGUCAUGUAGAGAGAGAAUUUCAGGGCGAGAGUAGUUCAAAACAAACAUAAGAUUUUUGUCACGAUAUUUUAUAUUUGUCACACAAUUUAAACAACCACAUAACAUUUUUUUAAAAAAAUAGAUAUUGUAUAUUUGGUACACAAUUUUUAACCAAAUAAUUGUUUGAAAAAAAUUAAUUACAGAAAAAUAGAAAAUGACCAUUGAAAGAAGAAGAAAAAAGACUGCAGAGGAGAAGAAAGACGAUGAAAAGUAAAAAUAUUGUCGAAGAUCAUAAGGAAUAGAGAAUAGAUGAAAAAUAUAUAAAACAUGACAUGAAUAAAUCGAAAAGAAGAUGAAAAAAUCGGAAAGAAGAGAAAAAUCAAAAUUGAAAAAUCGUUAUAAACUAGUAAGGGCAAAUGUGAAAUUUUGAAAAAGAAAAAUUAGCAUUAAUAGGUUUUUCUUAAAUUGUUAUAUAAGAUAUAAAUAUUUGGUCGUUUUAUUCUAUUUAUGAAAAUUAACUAUAUAUAUAUAUAUACAUUUUGCUAAAUUAUAUAUGUUUUAAACAUAUAAGUCGAAAUAAACAUAACUCAAUUAUUUGAUUUAUAACCUAAGUUAAUCUUGAUUGUGGAGCUUUAUCGGCCCGAUAAACUCAAGUUGUAGACUUCCACCUAUAGACAGAAAAACCCAACUUUUAUAAAUGUAAGUUUUUGUGCCAAUGAUUGAUUAGAUUAUCAAAUAAUUAUAAAAUAGAACGGGAAAAAAUCUUGAUAAACCUUUUCUAUAAAUACAUCAUUAUAACCUAAAUCUUAGCUUUAACGUACUCUCACUUUUCAACUUAAGCAUUGGAAUAUGUAUGACAAUUACUGUAUGUGCAUUUCAAUUUAAUUAGUACUUCAUUAAUAAAUGUCACAAUUUUUCGAUUAAGACAACAAAUUUUAUUUAAAUUUAAUUUUUAAGAUUCACGAUAUUUUGUUUUUCUUUUAUUAAAUACUCAGGUGUUUAAGACUUAUUAAUUAAAUUAAAAUGAUUAUGAAAUUUGGAAUUGUAAACUUCAAUUAUAAUAGUACGAUAAAUCAUAAAAUUCAAUGUUAUAAGUUCCAUUAAUUUUUAAAACAUUUUGAUAUAUGUAUAAAAACUAAAUUGAAAUUAUUAUCAAACAGAUUCUAAAUUAAUAAUUUUUUAAGGGGUUUAUAGAAAAAGAAAAAAAGCAGUGUGGAAUUGAAGUUUCGUAGUGAGUAGAAAAAAAAGGUGAGUCUUCCAUUCAAUGUUCAAAUUGGGUCGGCAAAGGUUCGUUCUUUUUGUCUCUUUUUUCUCAAAGGAAUAAUAAUCCUUUUGGUGUUUAAAGACGUCAUAGUGGUGACGACCACACUCAUUUUGCUCUCUAUUUUCUAGAUUUUCCACCAUAUAUUUAGUUAUAUCAUUUUAUUUUUUAUUAUCUCUCACUUACUUUCAACUCAUUUCUAUAGAUCUACUGUCUGUCAUCUUUAAUGAUAUAUGUCGUUCGCUAUGUAUGUUCAUCGCGAUCUUUGUUCAGAUCCACGAUCCAACGUUCCGUCCAUAAUAUGAAUAUGUUAGAAUUGCACAAGAAGUUUUGUUUAAAGAAAAGCACCUUGACAUCCAAUCUUGCUAAACAAUUUGACGUUGUUCUUGUGAGCAUUGAUCCACCCAAUAGAGCAUCAAACACUUUUUGUAAGAAUUGUAAGCUCCCUGGUCAUAAAUUUAUUGAUUGUCCUAAAAUAAAGAUUCCUUCAUAUAUGAAAACUAAAAAAAAUACAGUUAAGAAAAGAAUAUACAGAAUAAUAUCGAUUAAAGAUACUCUAAAUGUCCAAUAAUAUAUUUGGUUAAUUUUUCAAAAGUUUUGAUUUGGUUCACAUAAUCAUUCCUCACAAUAGUUUGUUAUUAUUGAUUGAUUUUUUAAAAGUGUGUAUGCUUUAAUUUGUUUUUUUAAAUUCAUUUGUGAUUGUCUUCAUCUAGUUGCCCAUUGGUAAGAGGUAUUAGAAAUUUGAAUCAUUCGCUUCCACGUCUUGUAUUAAACUAAAAGAAAAAAUUAUUUGUAACAAAAAGACAAUAUGUAAUACUUCGAAGAUUUAUAUAUGUCAUUGAAUAAAAACUCGUAGAUUAGUAUGAAUGCAAUAAAAUCACGUAUGGAUUAUUUGACAUAUAUAUGGAUACGUACUCACGUGCCUAGCUAGGAUGAUUUUUUUUCUUUGUUUACUUUUUCACAUGUACGGAAAGGGAGAUGGAUGGUAUCCAAAAAGAGUAUAAAUAUAUACAUAGAUAAUUUAUGUAUGGGAAUAGCUUUAUUCGUAUUUAUCCAUGGGGUGUUAGACAAUGAAAUAGGUAUUUUUUUUAUAUAUAUACACAUUAGACAAGAAGAAAAUGAAUCAAUUAUAUUUAAUUUCAAAGUAAUUUAGAACAAUUUACUACGAAAAUACUCUUCAAAUUCAUUAUCUCAAUUUUAUAAUAAUAAUAAUAAUUAUUGAUGAUUGCUUGAUAAAAAAAAAUAGUCAAAACGAGACUAUCUAAAUUAGCUUUAUCGCUGAGUUGUUUGUGUUUUUUCGAAUUUUUCAAAUAUUGUAAUUCAUGUUUAAUUAAUUAAUUAAUUAAAGCAUUUAAAUGAGAUCGUUCAUUUUACUUUAUAAAGUAUUUGAAGCGACUAAAAUGUAGAUCUAACAAUUGAGUGUAAAAGGAAAUAUUAUCCAAUAAUAAAUUCUUAAAAUAUAUAAUGAAAAAUAUUUGAUCCAAUAAUGGAAUUUUAGAGUAAAACAAUAGGGUAAAUCAGUAUUUUCAUGAACAUAUUCGUUCAAGAAAAUGAAUUUUAUUGUGUGGGUUUUAGAUAUGUGAAUAAUUUUGUUGACUAAUUAGGAUUAAUUCCAGUAUUUUCUUGGCUUGUCAAAACUAUUUAUUUUCUUUUUAUUUAGAGCAGCAAAAUAAAUGAAAGAUUCUUCCAAUUAAUUUGUGAUAUAUAUGGGAUUGUUGAUGAGUUGAAAUUCACACCCAAAAUUCUCUUGACCAACAAAAAAAACCCAUCUCAAGUUUAAAAGCUUUCAUAUUCUCACUAAGUUAAUUAAAACUUUUAAAUGUCAAGAAUUAGGAAAAGUUUUUAUUCCUUGUAGAGAAUAAAAAGAAAUCAAUUGUUGUUGGUUUACAAGCAACACUAAACUAAUAAACAUUGAAUUACAUGUAUGUUAAAAAUGUUGUAAUUAAAAUUUUAAUUUAUGAAUUUUGUGCUAUUAGAAUAUUGAAGUUUGAAAAAACUUUCGAUUUUAGGUGGGAGGUAUGUUAUUGAUAUAUAUAAGUUUUCUCGUAAGAAAAAGAAUAAUUAAUUUAUUAGAUGUAAAAUUAAAUUUCCCUUUAAUGAAAUCAAAUAUUGAAUAGGUUAAUUAUUUAUUAUUCUAUUAAACAUAACCUUUAAAAUUAAAGAAUUUGUUGACAUGAAAUUGAAUAUUUAAAAUAUAAUAAACAUAAAUUAAAAAGUUAAAUUUACACUUUUUUUUUACCGACCAUGUAUAUAGUCAACAUAAUUGAUAGAGUAAUAAGUAAGUAUAUAACCAACAUGAAUUCAUGUCACACUUACAUGAACCGGAGACUGUAGGUCUCAAAUUCAAUUUCUUCUUAUACCCUAGUUAUAUUAUAAUAUUUUUUUAAAAAAAUCAAAUAUAUAUAAUCAUUGAAUAAGAAAUUUCGAGAGCAAUCACAAGUUGCCACAUCAUUUAUUAAAUUAAUGGUGAAAAGUGCAAAUAAUUGAAUUUGGAACUAAUUAAAAAAUUGAUAUGUAUCCCAAAUUCAAAUUGAAAAUAUAAAUUGGUUAAUUUCGAUAAUGACCCAUGUUUUCAUCAUAACCGUUAGAUCAAAUUAAUUACUUUGGUUCAAUUAAAUAUUAUUUACUUGGACUAUGUUCAGUUAAUUCUGAUUGAAGCUCCUUUGAAAAUACAAGUUUUCUUCCAAUACUUUAACUUCAAGAACAUCACAUGCUCCGCUUCAUACAAAUCAAGCGUAAGCAAAAUCAAAUUCUAGAAAUCGAACCGUAUCGCAUCAAAUUAACGAAAAUACAACAUCAACUCUAGUUCAACUCCACUAAUCAAAUUUCUCAUGAAAUUUCGUGCGAACAAUAACUAUUCAAAAAUUGUAAAUAUAUCAAAGUUUAUUACGAUGGAUUAAACGAUACGCGUUUAGACUUUAAUUGAAUUUGAAUUUGAGAUUAGGUUAUAAUAUUUAAAUUCUUAAACUUUCCUCCAAUUAUGAACUUUUAGAAACGAAUAGUUCAACAAUUUAACUACAUUUCAACCUUAGAUAAUAUUACAAAAAUACUUUAAAGUCUAUGCAUCCAAUAGCUCCAUAUCAUAAUUCAAAACUUCUAAAAAAUUAAUGUAUAUAAAUUCAAAAUUUUGUAUCUUAUAAAACUUUUGACUGAAUUAAAACACACAAUAAAAUUUUCAAAAUCUUGAAACAACUGGAUUUGUAAUUUAACAGAAAUAAUAUUAUAACACAAAGCUAUUGUCUAAUUGAUGUGUUUCUUUCUUUGUAGAGGAAGAGAAGAGAUAUACUGUUAGAGAUUUCAUAAGUAGUAAAUCAAAUAUAUUUCUUAACUUAUUGAUAUACUACAUAGCAAACCAAGAAAGCAAACUAGAGCUGUACUUUAUGAUAUAUAUAUACUAUGACCACCAAGUAGUUCUAGUUUCUAGAGGUUGUACAAAGCUAAAAUUCAUUUUGCAUACGGACGCCAAGUUGUUAUCACGGUUCCGCCGCCAUGUUUAGCCACUUGAUCGGAGGUCACGGCGGCCACGGGUUUUUCCUUCCUUAUCCUUGGAGGCUGCUCCGCCUUACGUGGUGGUUGCGGCAAAGCUGGCCUUGCCGUCUUCGCCGCCACCCGUCUCGCCCCUGUGGACGAUGCUCGACCAAAGUAUUCAUCAAUUAUUUGGAACCCCUCUCUCCCAAUCUUCGCCAGGUCACCACGAGAACCCCUAAUUUCUCUUUCUCUCAGAAAUCCCAUGAUUUUGGUAGGAAAAAAAGAGAGAGAUAUGUUAUUCUUUAUUGCUUGGUUGGGUUUGUGAAGCUUUCAUCUUUGGUUUGCCUUGUUAUAUAGAGAAUUAGGGAACUGAAGAAAGCUUUAAAUUUUGGGCUAACUUGGGGCCCCUCCAUAUGGAAGAAUAAUAUUAUAAUGAGAUUUUCUUUGCCCUUUUUUAUUUUUUGGGAAUAAAUAAUGGAAUGAGAUUUUGUAAGAAAGUGAUAUAGUGGGUUUUAAUAAAUAAUUGGAAUAAGAUUUGGAAUGAUAUUUUGUUACAAAGUAGAAUUAUGGGCUUUUAAUUAUUUAAAGUAAUAUUUGGGUGCAACUUUAUAUUUAUUAUGUGCUUUGUUUAUAAUUGUUAAAUUUAGAGAUUUUUAAGAUUAAAAUGAUGGAUUUUUUUUAAUUGAAUUGAAAUUAAAUUGGUAUAUAAGAUGAUCAAUCAUUUGAAUGUUGUAUUUAAAAGUGGCCAAUAUUUUGGGAUAUGAUUAAUUUGUCUUUUAACAUGAUCUUUUAUGUUUAAUAUUUUUAGAUGGAAUUAGAUAUUGCUUUAUGUAAAAGCACUAAUAAAAAAAACAGAGAGAGAAAAAGGUAUUUUUGUGUGUGCUUUAAAUCUUUUUCUUUAGUAAUAUCAUUCAUCAUAUAGCUAAAUAAGAUUUUAAAAAUUAUUCUUCAAUUGUUUUUAGGAAAUAAAUAAAUAAAUAUUUUGUUUGAUCUUUUAUUUAAAUAUGUUUUUAUAUAACUAAAAAAUACCUGCGUUUCAUGUGUAGAAAUUAUAUUGUUUUUCUUUUUAUAUUUAAAUACUACUAAUUAAACAAAGUAAUAUGUUGAGUAACUUUUUUUUGUAGUUUAACUUAGUAUGAAGAUUCAACAAACUAUAAACUUCGUGUGUAUAUACGAAUAUAAUUUGAUGACAAAUGAGUUGUGUUCUUUUAAACAAUAAGAAUAAUUUAAAAUGAAACUAAACAAAAUACUGAAGUUUUAAUUUAUAAGUAAACACCCCUAAUGUUUAGAGAGGGAUAGAUUAUCUUUUCAACUAUAACAACGUGGGUCUCAAAACAUUACUUUUUAUUCAAUUUUUAUAUAUUGUAACAUUUUCUGUGAAUGUUGCUUGAAAAAAAAAUAUCUAAAAUUACAUAUUCACAUUAAUUGUGCACAACAAAAUAUAAUUCUAAAUGUAAUCUAAAAAUAAAUUUAAUGAGUAUAAUAAUUUAAAUAUUAAAAUAAAAUGUAACAGAAAUUAAAAGAGAAAUAAGAAAAUUCACGCAUAUUCAGCUUGAACGUGAAUCAUCCCAAAAAAUGAAAAAUAAGAAGGAAAGAAAAACAGUUAGUUUCUUUUGAACUACGUAGAAAAACAAAACUAUAUUAUAAUGAAUGACAGACAUUAUAUCAUUUUUCUACUCUCCUUCUCUAAAUUCAUAUAUUUCUUCGUUUUUUUAAAAUUAUAUUAAAGCAAAUUAAUGUCCUAUAUAAACUAUAUCUUUCUUCAACUCUUUCUCUAAAAUCAUAAAGUAUUAAUAUGUUGUAACACCAAAAAUAUAUUUCAACUUAAAAGCAAAGCGAAAGAUGAACGAUGAGAGUUGGAUCAAUCAAUAUUAUAUGUUAUUAUAUAAUAUAAAUUAUUAUAAGAAAAAAAUACAUAUAUUUUUGCCAUAGAAAAAACACAUAUAGUUUGUAAAAAAAUUCAAAUGUUCGUAUGAAAAUGAUGUCUUUAUAUACUUGAAGAAAAUAAAUGGUUACCGGUCUUUUAAAAUCUCAUAAUUAAAUAUAAAUUUAUGCAUUUUAGAAAUUGACUUAUUAAAAUAAAUAGAUAAAAACUUUUCAUAUUCCACAGUGAAGUUAAGAAUUUGAAAAGAUAAUACUCUAUUGAUUUUAUUAUUUAUAUUAAAUAAAAACAAAUGAUAUAACUAAUUAUAAAAUAAAAUAAUUCAUAAACUUAUUUUUUUAAAUUUAAAGAAUAACUAAUAUUUAUUUUAAAGUAUAGGAUAAUGUUGUAAAUUUAAAAUUUGACAAAAGAUACAAUUGAUUAAAAAAUAAUUAUCCUUUUAAGCUACAUUUUAAUACAGUAAGAAUUAACGGAUUGAAAAGAGGUGGAAGUGAUUUAGAGAUUAUCAUUUUUUUUCUUUCCAAAAUUGUUGAAUUUUUUAGAGAUAAUGUACUUAUAGUUUUUUUUCUUUCCAAGAUUAUCAUUUAGAGAUAAUGUUUUGUUUGCUAAACGCCAAAGUUUAUAGUUUAUUAUUCUUAAGGCUCCUAAACUUAUAUAGACGAGUUAUUUUUUGAAGUUUUAUCUGAGCAUGAAAUUAAAUCCUUUUAUUAAAUUAUGAUAAAAUCUACUUAUAAUUUUAAAUACAAAAUCAUUUUAACACGACAAAACUAUUAAAACUAUUUAUAAUUAUAAUAAAAUUUCAAAAUUUUUCACUAAAAUAUAUAGAAGUUAAGUUUACAAUUUGACUGCCAUCAUUAAAAUUAAAAGAGGGUAGGGAAUUGAAUUCGUUCAGUAUGAUGUUUCCUUUCGUGAUAUCAAGAUUCCCACCAAAAUUGGGUAUGCUUCAAUUGUUUACACUUGUACCUUAUGAAUGCAACAUUUAAAUUCAAUAGUGGAAUCAAAUUCUAACAUCCCCUACCCAUCCCUAUCCAAUCUUUUCUUUUUUUACCAAAUUUUAAAAUGAAAUUUAAAACAAAAGCCAAGUGUUAUUCCAAUUUAUGAAAAUGUACUUUCAACUUUUGAAUUCAUUCCUUUUAAAGAGAAUAUAAUUGUUCCAUUUUCACUUUAAAUAUUUUGAAUUGGAUGACUAUUAUUCUAUAUAUUCUUUACCAUUCACAAAUUUCAAUCAUUAAUUCACCAAGAUUCGUAUUAGUUUUAAAUUAAGUACCCUUCACUACCUUAAUCAAUCAUUAUAUCUUUGUUACAUGAUCGUUAUUUGGAAUAUUUCAAAUUUGGUUUAUAUCGCCUCUUUUUCUUUUUCGUCGGUUGGUUUUUAAAACAUAUAUGAUUCUUAAUACUUUAAUGAUGGUUUAUUGUUCCAUUUUUUUAACUUUUUGUAUCUUUAAGUUUUAAGUUUGGAAUUUCAUUUCAAUUUAGUUUUUAGGUUUUAAAUUAUUGCAAUUUCAAUAUUUAAAUUAAAAUUAAUUUGUUGUCGGAAGAGUUUAAUAUAGUGAAUGUGAGGGGAUCUCAUUCUUAGGGGUAGUCUAAACAUAUUGUAUUGAAGAGAUCUCAUACAAAACUUGAGUAAACAUUAUUAUGCAAGUGAAGGGAGUUCAAACUUAAGAGGAUUAUUGGUUGAAAAGCAAGUUAUACGAGAGUCAUUGAAAAAUGAGUCUAUCAAACAAGUACUUUCGUUAAAAUUGUUAAACUCUUUAUAAGUAAAGUUUUGUUUCACCAGACACAUUGCAUCCUAGACGUAGGUGAUUUUGCACUGAACUAGAUUAUAUAUCUUUGUGUCGUAUUUUCUGUUUACUUCUAUGACGACUCUCUUGUCAUAUAUAUUGUAUGUGACAUCGUGCUAUUGUUUUUUUUCACCUAGAAAUCAUAAUAUUUAACCGAUUUGAUGACAUUGAAAAUGUAGAGAAUGCAAUUAAUUUGAAAUUAUCCGUCAUCUUUGAUCGGUGUGUAAAAAUUUGGAAGAGUAAAAUGUGGAAAAUGAUUAAUUGUUACUAAGCAAAUUUGUUUAUAAAUGGGCCGCAGUUUCGUCAGAUCCAACUGGGUUGGGCCGAGUAAAGAAUUGAAACACAGCUGCCAUCACCCCCGAAUUACGAGCCCAUUUUCAAUAUUUAAGGCCCAAUUGUAAAUUUCAUUGAAGAAGAAGUUGUUUUCUUUUUCCUUUUUUCUCUUUUAAAAUAAAAGAAUAUGAAUUUAAAUGAGUUUAAUUAGUUGAGUUUUAGCCGAUGAAUCAAAACAAAUCAGAAGGAAAAACCCAAAACCGUAUUGAAAAUUGCAUUGGUCAUCAGCCAUCAAUCUUGAACUGUCUUAUUAAUUGGGUUCGAAAAAUAAAAGAAAGGGCAAAAAUGAAAAAAAUUACGAACCACAAAUCGAACAACAUUCUCGGUAAAAGAAAUAACUAACAUUCUACUUUUAACCUUCAUUUACCCUUUAUAAAUUCACCCCAAUUCCACUCUCAUUCCAAUCCAGAGCCCAAGGGGCAAUCCAUCUAUUGUCUUUCAGAAAAGCCCCUACAGCUCUGAGGGAAAAAAAAUAGAAAAAAAAAUCCCAAAAAAUCCCCCAAAAAAAUAAUCUUUUUGUUUUCAAUCUUUCAAAAUGUCAAACGGAUUUGCCAAUGCCGAAGGUGAUAAAAAGAAGAAGAAGAUAGCCAUCAUUAGUGUGUCUUCUUUAAUCCUGGUAGCAAUGGUUGUUGCCGUUACCGUUGGCGUCAACAAUGCACCCCAUGGAGAGGAGCACGGUGAUGACAAUCAUGGCAGCGAAACCACUCCUGAAAUCACAUCAUCCACCAAAGCUAUCCAAGCCAUUUGUCAACCAACGGAUUACAAAGAAACCUGUGAGAAGAGUCUAGAGGCAGAAGCCGGUAACACAACAGACCCAAAAGAGCUAGUGAAAGUGGGCUUUAAAAUCGCAACAAGGAGUCUGAACGAGGCUAUUAAGAAUUCAACCACACUUAAAGAAUUAGCCAAAGACCCCAGAACCAACCAAGCCCUUCAAAAUUGUCGUGAGCUACUAGAAUAUGCCAUUGAUGAUUUGAACCAGUCGUUCGAAAGAAUCGGCACCUUCCAAAUGUCCAAACUCGAUGAUUUCGUCGCGGAUUUAAAGAUUUGGCUCAGUGGUGCACUCACGUACGAACAAACUUGCUUGGAUGGUUUUGAAAAUACUACAGGUGAUGCUGGUGUCAGAAUGCAAGAGUUUCUGAAGUCAGCUCAGCAAAUGACAACCAAUGGCCUUGGCAUUGUUAAUGAAUUGUCUACCAUUCUGGGUUCACUUCAGCUUCCUGGAAUGAGUGGACGACGACUUUUGGAAGAUGAUGAUCGUGAAAUGCCAUCAUGGGUUAGCGACGGAAAGAGACGAUUGAUGCAGGCGGGAGCCGCUGCGAUGAAACCUGAUUUGGUUGUAGCUCAAGAUGGGAGUGGGAAAUACAAAACCAUAAAUGCAGCUUUAGCUGAUGUGCCUUUGAAGAGUAAUAAAACGUUUGUGAUUCAUGUGAAGGCUGGAAUUUACAAAGAAAUUGUUGUCAUCCCCAAACAUAUGACUCAUCUUACAAUGUACGGUGAUGGUCCAACCAAAACUGUCGUCACUGGUAGCUUAAACUUCAUCGAUGGCAUUCAAACAUUCAAGACUGCUACCUUCUGUAAGUACAGUAGCAUUUGAUUUGAUUUGAUUUGAUUAGUUUUGGUCUAAUUAAUUGAUAUGGUUCAAUUCGAUUCAGCUGCAAUUGGAGCUAACUUCUACGCUAGAGAUAUGGGAUUCGAGAACACAGCUGGAGCAGCAAAGCACCAGGCCGUGGCCCUACGAGUCCAAUCCGAUAGAUCAAUCUUCUUCAACUGCCAAAUCGACGGAUACCAAGACACACUCUACGCACACGCUCAUCGUCAGUUCUAUAGAGAUUGCACAAUCAGUGGCACCAUCGACUUCGUCUUCGGAAACGCUGCUACAAAUUUCCAGAACUGCAAGCUAGUGGUGCGAAAGCCAUUGGAUAACCAACAAUGCAUCGUAACUGCUCACGGGCGUUUGAACAGAAAGGAACCAACGGCAUUGAUCUUCCAGAGCUGCCAUUUCAUGGGUGAUCCAGCUUACUUGCCAUUCAAGGCCAUCAACAAGGCUUAUUUGGGACGUCCAUGGAAGGAAUAUUCAAGAACCAUUAUAAUCGGAUCAACAAUAGACGAUAUAAUUCAGCCAGAAGGAUGGUUGCCAUGGAUGGGAGAUUUUGGAUUGAACACAUUGUUCUACGCGGAGGUACAAAACAAAGGAGCAGGGGCUGAUGAAAGUAAGAGAGUGAAGUGGAGAGGAAUUAAACAUAUUACGCCACAACAUGCUGCGGACUUCACUCCAAGACGAUUUAUUGAUGGCGAUGCAUGGAUUCCUGCCAAGGGAAUUCCUUACUCUUCUGGGAUGAUGUAAUGAACAAAAGGGUUUUAGUAAAACCAAACCGAACCGAACCCUUUUUUCUCUUUUUCUCUUUUUCUCUUUUUCUUUUGGCGUUCGUUUAAUGGAAAUCCUAUGGGAAAUAAUUUCACUUAUAUUACCUAUAUUUAUAUUAUGAUCUGAAUCUUCUUUCUUUCGUCUAAUUUUUGUUUGAUGCAAUUAUUAUAAAUCAUGGUAUAUAAAUAAAGAAAAAUAAUGUGUUUGAACUUUUUGGUAAAUAUUAGAGAUUGAUACAAACAAGAAAAUGAAAGGAAAUAAGAGUCUUAAGUUAAUAGAUUUUGAAUGGAAGAAAAAAAUGUUUACUUGAGGAAUUAGAACUCUUCAAACUGAACAUCAUUUGGUACAAAACUGAUCAUAACUAUAUUCAAAUAAGAAAAAAAAAAAUUAAUUACAAGUUUAAUCUUAUAAUUAGAGAGAGAGAAAAAAGAUUCAUAAAACAUUCUUUCUUAAAACUAAAUUAUAAGAACCACAUUUGCAAUUAAAAAAAAAGUUCGUAUUUGUAUUUUUGGUUCACAAAACAAAUAUUUACAAUUCUAGCCACGUUCCGUUCCAUCACAAAACCGUUAUCUUUCUGAACCGACUGCUUCUAUUUCCUCCUUAACGGACAACGACUUCACAAAAUUCACCGUUGCCCUCGACGUCCCAUCAUCCGACAUGUCGUUCACAUGCCUCGACUCAUCAUCCACCACCUCCACCGACGCCGCCAUCUCAACCGGACACCGAUGAUCCGUUUCUUCCUCACCAGAUCUCGAACCCAGUUCACAGACAUCAAUGGCAAUCUCCCCCGGGUCAUCAUGCGGGCCGGACUCACAUUCGGGUUCGGGUUUCACCUCAGAUCUACAAAGCGGGCAAGUCGCGUGGGAAUAAAACCACAUAUCAAUACACCCCACGUGGAAGCUAUGGUUGCAUUUCGGAAUACUCCGUCCGAUUUCGUUCUCUUCAAAUUCCGAUAAACAAACCGCACAGUAAAUCGGAUCCGGGUCGGUUUUCUCCGAGUGAACGAAAACGGGUAGGGACUUGAGAAUCGACUGCGGCAAACCACGCGACGGAACACCAGCGGCGGCGAUUCGAGGCUCGGCAGUGAAAACAAAGUGUUGACGGCGGCGACGGCGGCGGAUACGAGAUGGGCGGGGGGUGGAGGAGAGUAGGAACAAUCGAACGUAGAGAUGAAGACAAAUCAUGAGGAUGACGACAAAUAAUAAUAAAAUGAUUGCGCCGAGCAUGAUUUUGCCGCUGAGAGCGUAACGUGUGUAGGAGGGCGGAUAUAAGAGGGAGGCAUCGUCGUCGUCGUCGGCCAUUGGCGGCGAGGAAAUAGGGAGAGAAAAAAGGGAAAUUGAAUAAUGAUAAUUGGGAAGAAAGGAAAGAAGGGGAUAAGGAAAUUUAAAGGAAAAAGGAAGGAAACUUCGUGAGGGUUUCUGGUUGGAGGAAGGCUUGUUCUUUAGAGUCUAUGAAGGUCAACAAUAUUUUAAAUCAUUUGUUAAAAUCAUAUAUAUUAUAAUUGAAUUCACUAGUGAAGUGGAUUUGGCAGUAGUGGUGUAGGCGAAACAAAUUACAUUGACUAAUUACUUUAAAUAAUAUCAAUAUAAAUUUCUAAAUUCAAAUACAAUUUCAACAAAUAUUUCUAAAUCUACAUCUAAAUCCAUUCAAAAUUAUAUAUUUUAUACCAACAAAAUGUGUUUCUACUUACAAGGGUAUCACAGUUUUCUCUCUCUCUCUCUCUUUUUUUUUAGUUUCUCUUGCCAUUUUGGUAACAUAUUGGCAUGAAAAUAAUUAUAUCUAACUUAUUUUAGAUGAAAACAUAUGAGAAAUAGGUUAUAAAUUUAAAUGGACUCAGUAGUAAAAGUUUAAAUUGAACUUAACAAUGAUUUUCUUUUUCUAUAAAUGUCUUGUGUUUAUUAUAUUUUAGUUUAUUUUGGUAUGUUUUAAAACGUUUAUUGUUAUUAUAACUAUUUUUAUUUUAGAGAUAAUUGUGGUUUGUUGAAGUGUUUUCAGUGUAUUUGCAAACAACAAAUAGUUUUAAAAAAUAUUAACUAAUUUGGAUUAACAAUAUUUUGCUUAUAUUCCCUAAAUAUAUGCCCAUAUCCUUAUAUCCCCUGUAUGCAUAUAAUUCUUUAAAUCAAAUUAAUUAACAUUUAUUUAUUUAAUUUAAGUUUAAUAAAAAUUUCUACCACAAAAUUGCUAAAAGAAUUUAAACUGUUACUCCUUCUUUAGAUUUCAUAAUAUUUGAAUUCCCUAAAACAUUGACAAUCACUGCUACAUUAUUUUCAUAUGAUAAUACAUAUUACCUAUGGUUAAUAAAGAAAUGGUUAUGAGAAUUUUAACCAUUCCCAAAUCAUUAGAUUUUAUAAUAUUUUGAUUUCAAAUAUUACAUCAUAUUCUUAAUGACAAACAUAAAUUAAGCAUUUUGUAUUAUUUAUAUUUCAAGUUAUUUAAAGAAAAUUAUCAGAUAAUACAUAGUACGAAUGGUUAAUAAUAAUUUAAAAACAAAGUUUUAUCAUCACUACAAUCGUGCUAAUUAUGAUUAUACACUUAUUUUGAUUGAUUUUUAUUAAAAAAAUAAUUUAUUGUGCCUCUUGUAUCAUAUAAUUAUUUUUCACGUUGUGUUUUUUAAUUACGUUAAUAUUCAUAUUUAUUUUAACUAUAUACUUUUUUAUUUUGUAUGUGAUGUUUUAUUUCCAAUCAUCAUUGUUAUGCAUGUGUAAUCAAAAAAUAUAAUCCGUGUUUUACUUGUAUAAUUCAUAACAAAUUUUUGGAUUUUUAACAUUCAAAUCAAAUUAAUUAACAUUUAUUUAUUUAAUUCAUAAAACUUAUGUUUAAUAAAAAAAAUAUAAUAAAUUGUUAAAAGAUUUUCAACUAUUCCUCUUUUGUUAAAUUUCAUAUUAUUUUGAAUUCAGAUAUUAUAAUAUGACACACUUAUCCACUACUUUUAAACGAUUUAUAUUUCAAAUUGUUUAAAAAUAUUUAUUAGAUAAUACAUAGUUAUUUUAAUUUAUAUUUUAAAUUGUACACUUGUUUUGAUUGAUUUUUAUUAUAAAAAUUAAUUUAUUGUGUCUCUUUUAUUAAAGAAGUGUAUUUUGCAAACAACAUCCAAAUUUGGUAAAUGUUAACUAAAUUUGCUAUUUUGUUGUUUGAUUUAUGCUAAUGUCUAUUUUCAAAUUUGUUAUAUUUUAAACAAUUUAUUAAAUAACAAAUAAUAUAUAGCUUUUAAUAUAAAAAAUUGAAUAUAAAUUUUAAUAUUUAUUUCUAAUAAAAAUUUGAAUUUAAAUUUGAAUGUAUUUUUUAAUAACAAUUUGAAUUUAAAUUUUGGAAUUUAAUUAUGUCUUAUUGACAUUUUUGAAAUUAUUUGAAUCUUCUUCUUUCAAGUUUUAUUAGAGAAAAUAAAAUAAAGAGAUUGAAAGAGACAGCCGACAGAGAUAAACACAAUAUGAAAGAGAAUUUUUUUAUUGCAAACAAGAGAGAAAAGCUCAAAUGAAUCUCGAAUGUAUGAAAAACUCACCGAUUUGAGUGGAUGAACUCAUCGAUGCAUAUCUUGCAUAUAAGUUUUCAAUUUUAUGAUAUAAUUUCAUGAUUUCAUCAUUAUUAUAAUAUCAACAAUGCUCCCAUUUUCAACUUGAAGCUUUCGGCUAUGGUUGUUCGACAGGUCUAGAGUCAAACUUUUUGAUUGAAUGUGUCUCAAUUUUGCAAUUACCCAUUUGAAAUAGAUUGUAUCUUUUAGACAUUGAAAUAGAUUUUAAAUUUUGGAGUUGGAACUUUUCAUUAAUGACAAAUUAUUUUAUAAUUUUUAUGUUUUGUGAGAAAUUUUAAUUACAAUGUAUUUUGAGUUUAGUAAAUAAUUGUAUUUUUUUAUAUUGGAUAGUAGGAAUUGUUUUAUUUAUUUAUUUAUUUUAAUUUUUACGUUUUGGUAUCGUAACAAUUUAAAAUUAUUUCUCGUAAAACUCAUAAUUUGUUAAGGUUGAUGACAGCCAAAUCAUAAUAGAUAGUAAAGGGAAGUGAGGUAAAAAGGAUGGAAAAGCAUUUGGAAGUUGCCAAACUAUUUGGGCUGUGAGGUUUCACUUUCUGGGCCCAUUCAUUUGUCCAAAGUUUCUGAUUUCUUUGUCCAAUAACACGACGUUCCUUUUACGCUUAAAAUAGACUUUAAAUCAUUCAUCAAAUUCAAAAUGAAUAUCCUGAACACGAAAACAAAGAAAAAACCAUGCCUUCUGAUAUUGACACAAAUUAUCUGGAUUUACACACAAGCAUAUGUUCUUGAUUUGGACUCCAUCACAUAAUCAACUUUAAAUGACUACCUAAACUAUCACAAAACUCAAGAUGAAUACCACCCACGAGAAACUAAUUGCACUAGGAUGAAGAAAAAAGCUUGAGCCAAACAUCUAUUUACAAGAUCAGUUAUUGUUGUCAUAUGAAAGUUAACAGUGUUUUCUUUACUCGAAAUUUUAUGUCAUUAAGAUGUUUUGUGUUCGCGCGCACACAUAAUUUUAAGUACAAACUUCGGUUUUUUGGCUAAUGAGAUUGUGAGAGCUUUUAAUUAUGUCUAUUAGCUUCUUUAAUUUUAUAUAAUGGUGAGUAGUAUAGGUCAAUGAUCAUUGUACACCAUUCAAAAUUUAGAACAAAACACACGAAACAACACUUCCAAAAGUUCAACUUAUUAAAUAAACAAGUGUUUAGGACUAGCUUUGUAAUUUACUACACUUAUAUCUACGUCUCCACUCUAUUUUCAACCUUAUAAUUUGUUCUCCAAACACAUUUGAUAACUACUUUUAUGUCUAGCUCUUUUUCUUUUCUUCUGGUUGUGUACGUAUAUAUUUAAACAAAUUUUAAAAAAUAAUUGAUAAUAUAUGUUUUUAUUCCGCUUAGACCUAUUCUUUUCUUUAUGAUAUUUCAUUGACAAUGUUGUUGUUGCAUGAAUUCUCAGUUUUAGCUUCCACUAACUAAAGUAUUGUUUGUCAAGAUUCUUCCUGGAAUCCUCAAACCACAAAUGUGAUAUCUCUUGAUACAGCUUAAGUCUUAGUUAUCAUUGGAAGGUGUUCGAUCGACAACUAUGGUCGACUUUUGUUAAGUUAAAGUUGAAUUGAACGGUUCAAUAACGAUUAUUCUCAUAAACAAAAAGGAUAGCUCGUAUAUGUGGUUGACAAGUUUAUUAAUCAUGAUUAGUUCAUAAAACACUAAAAUGAGAAGAAAACAAACAAGCAGAUUAUGGGAAGAUGAUGAAGAAGAAUAGUAAGAAUAGUAAAGACAUGUAUAGAUUGUCUAUAUUUUUAAUACAGUUAAAAGGUGGGAGGAUUUCAACUACAGAUUUUAAAGUUAUUUGGUAAUUGAACUUGAUUUUGAUAUACUUCUAUUUUUUAAAUAAAAGAAAUAUUUUCAAGUCCAUACCCAUCCCUAAAAAAAAAACAUUAUAAGAAAGUAAUGUUAGUAGGUGUGGAUGAAAAUUGGGAUAUUGGGUGAAAAGCGGAAAAUAUAUUGGACGCAAAUCCCUAGCCCACGCAACACUGGCCUUAGGGCUUAUACUUUAGUGAGUGGGCUUAUGACCAAUAAAGCCCAAUAAGUAAACAUGUAUUGUAUUGGUUUAUUUUUCUUUAAUUAAACCAAUAAACAAAAUGUUUUAACCUAAAAUGCUUAUUAUUUAAUAUUAGUACCAUCUUAGCUUGUUGAUCCUUUUCCUCAUCAUGAAACUUCUUAUGGAUGUAAAUCUGCAAACAAACAUGUGAAAAUAUGGGAAAAUGUGAAUAGAAACAUAUAAUAACAAUAGUGGAGAAUAGAAUAGAGGGGAUGGGAUGUGUAGAGGAAAGUUGUGUGAUAUUAAAUUAAUAUCUUAUAAAAAUAAACUAUAUGGGCAUUUAAUUGGAAAAGUUAAGAAGGGUCUCGAGGGAAGAAUGAUAAGUUUGAAUUUUAUUGCAAAUAUAUCACAUUUAUUAUUAGGGUUUCCUCAAUGCCCUUCCCAUCUCUCUUAUUCAGCUUCCCUUUUCCAUAUCCUUUGUCUUUAAUUUAAUACACAAUUACUAAUUUUCAAUUUUAAUUAAUACAAUAAUCAAGUAAAUAAAAUUAUUUACUUUUGAAUAUCAGGUGACUUCCCAAGUUCGAAGUUCAAACUACUAAUUUUUUUUACAUAUUUUCAACUUAUUAAAUUGUGAGUUCAAUAUGUAACUUAACUAUUUAUCCCAAAACAACGUUCAAAUAGUUGUAAAAGUUGAAGAAAUUAAUAGAAUUCACACGUAAAAGAAAAUUAAUAAGAUAUAAGUUUGAUGUUUUUAGGCUAAGUGAAGUUCACAAUUUUAGUCUCUAUCAAUUAUUUAUUGUAAGUCAAGUUAACUCACUCUUAGAAAUAUGGUGGAAGGGGAAUGGGUGUGUAGAACAUUAAAUGAUAGACAAAUUUAUGCAUAGAAGAUGUUGGUAACAAGUACUAAAAAAUUUAUGUUUGAAUUUCUUUAACCUACAAGAAGAACAAAAUCAUAUUUUAAAUUUUUAUAUCCCCUCAUCAUCCUCUUAUAAAAAAGAAAGAAAGAAAGAAAUAAUAGAACUAUAAAGCAAACCACCAUCUCUCACCUCUCUCCAUCUAACUUCUACCUUUUCAAAUUCCCUCUUGAAAAAGAAAAAAAAAUACCUUCCUCUGAUUUGAUCUCUUCACCUUCCUAACCCCCAUGUCCACCAAAUCCCCUGUUUUCCCCUUCCCUGAAGAACCUCAACAUUUCAGCGACUAUGGCUUCGACCCUCAAAUCGACUAUUUCCAGGUUCCCUUUCUUCCCCCUUUUUUUUUCAAAAAAAAAAAAAAAAGAGAGACUAAUAUCAUUCUUCAUUAAUUCAUUUGUAAUCAUUUUUUUUGUCCUUUUUAAAUUUAGGUUCUGGAAGAAGCAAGAAAACACAGACGAGAAUCAUCAAGAUCCAUAGACUCCCUUCAUUUCAAGCUCCAAAAACCCAUUUCCAAAGACGAUUCAAAGAACAUCACAAAGAAGAAGAAAAAGCGUUGGUGGAAAAACGCUUUCCUCUUCUUCAAAUGGAAAUGGAUCCACAUCCACCACCAAAACGACGCCGCUAAUUUUCUUCACGACGACGACGUUCAUCAAGCCAGAGCCCGUGCUUUCCGUGCUUCCAUUUCCGGUCCGGUUUAUGUAACGGAAAGUCGUAGCGGUUCCUCUACUCCUUGCCGCUCCACCACUCGACCCUCCUCCGGUCCACUCGCCGGAACUCUAACGCCCACUAGAAAAGGAGACGUUGAAAUCCCUUAUCUUAGCCUCCGAGAACUCAACAUGGAGCAACAACAAUAUAGAAUUUCCUCCUCCGCUCCCAUGCCUAUUUACUUAGUCACUUAAAAUUAAUUAACUAAAACAAAAACUUCAUCAACAACAGCAGCAGCAGCAACAACAAAUGCUUUCGUUUUCUUCUUUUUCUUCUCUCUGGUGGGUGUUAAAUGGGUUGUCGAUUGGGUGGGUUUCCCGGCGGGGCCUGCGACGGGAAGUUGUUUUUCUUUUCUUAAUUUUAUAAAUUGGGUGCAAAAAGGUGUGUUGAUCCAUCGGGAAAAGGAUGGGAUCUUUUCUUUUGAUCCGCCUUUAUUGAUUUACGCGUUCAACAGGUUUAUCGUCUUUUCAUCUGACCUUUUCUUUUCUAUUUAUUAUUAUUAUUAAUUAUUAUUAUAUUAUGUUUAAUGAUGUUUUUAAUUUCUCCAGAUUAUUAGGAGUUUAGCUUUAAAAAGGUUUGUAAUCUUCCAUCCUAUUAUUAACCCCAUAAUCAUCAUAUUAGAUUUCUUUUCUUUCUCCUAUUACUAGGUUCUCUUAAAUGUGUUUAUUUCCAUCUUUAACUUACCACAUACUCUCUAAAAUAGGGGUUUAAAAUACCAAACUAAUAUUUGAUUCUGUUCCAACUCGUAUUUGUUUUUUGUUUUUAAGAUUUAGGGUUUAGAGUUUAAUUCCUCAUUAUCAUUAUUAUAGUAAGUAAUGAUAAUAAAAUAGGUUUAUCACUUGUAAUGUAUAGCUCUUGUGUUUAAGUUUCCAAAUCUUAUUUGUAAUCCCAUCAAAAAAUUAUUUAUAGAUCUAACUGUGUUGAAAUGUUGAUUUCUUCUAGAAUGGUUUUUUAGUUUUUUUUUUCUUUUCUUUUUUGUUGGAUUUUGCAUAAACUCAUGAAAGUGGAAAUAUGAAACUUAAAGGUAGGUUAGAUGUAUUAAUUAUUUUAGAUCCUAAAUUGAGAGGAAAUAGCAAAAUGUUGAAAAUAUUAUUAAAAUAUAGUAAAAAAAAAAAAAUGAAAAUGAGCUAAAAAGUAUUUGAGAGUAUUUGAGAUUGUGAUAUAGUUUAUAAAUAGUUUCAAUUUAAAAAAUAGAUGUGUUGUUAAAAUUGGAUUUAUAUAUAAAUUUGAUAAAUGAAAAAUUUCAAUAGAAAGUUAGAGAGUAAUUAGAAGAAUGACAAUAUUUUAUUUGUGGUGGGAUAAAUAUUGUUUGAAUAAUGUAGAAAGUUUAUAUUUUAAAAUUAAAAAAAUAAAGGUAAUGAUUUGAAUAUUCCAUCUUAUAAUUAUGAAGUAAAUGCUUUAUGUUAGUUGUUAAUUGUACCACAGUUGUGUUGAAAAAGAACAUACUUUUGGAAGCUUAAAAGAUGUGUGUGCUUUUUAGUCACACUUCUGAAGCACAAACCCUUAAAAUAGGGAAUAUUUUGUUAUUUUAUAUGAAGGAAAAGUAGGAAUAAAUAAGGUCUUAUUGAAUUAAAAACAACAAACAAAAAAAUGUGGUUUAUUAACAUUGAAAUUGAAAAUCCUCUAAAGAACAAUCCAUUGAACAUCACAUUUCAAAUUAAAUCUACCAACUCUAACAACAACUUGGUUGGCUUAAACAACUUUUAGUUUAACGUUGCAUCCUAAUGAUAAGAUCAAGAAAGUAUUAUUAUUAUUUCUUUUUUCAAAGCUAAGCAGCUCAAUUAACUGUCGGUUCUUGAGAUCCGUUGGGUGGAAGAUUCUGGGUAUCUUCUCAUUUAAUUUUCCCUCCACCAUUUUUAAUCUAACGGUUGGCGGUGGAUCCAAAUCCAAACCUUACGUCAAAGGAGCCGCGUGUCGUGAUCUGAAUCUGUCUCAUGUGGGAUCGUGUAUUAGCUUGGAAAUGGGCCGUUGGGCCCGUAAAGAUCAAACAGUAGUAACGGCAAGUGUGAGGGAAUUUGGUAAAAAAAAAUGAAAAACGACAAAUCGGAAGAGAGACAGAAGGUGAUGGAUGGAGCGGAAAAAAGUGCGUAUUAAACGGCUCAAAUGAGAAACCGAUACGUCGUUUUCUCAAAACCAAGGCUUUGGUUGUACAAAAUAUGUAAAGCGGGUGACGUCAGGGCAUCAGUUUGUCACGUGGCCGCCGCUCCUAUUCCCUGCAAGCCACGUUCUCUCUUCUUUUAUAUUAUUAUCAUUAUUUUGUUAAAAUGGUAUAUUUCGAGAAUUGUUGGAUUUUAAAAUUAUGUAUUUUUAAUUAUUAAGUAGGGGUUUUUCAAGAAUAAUAAAAGUACAAAUUAUUUACCCACUGUAGAAAGAAAAUUACUAAAACAUAGAAUUGAUUAUACUUUGACAAUUAUUCUAAUUAAAAAGUAGGGAGAGGAUGGAAAUGGAUUGUUAAUGAACAUUUGAUGAGAUUUUCAAAAGGCUUGCAAUGGGGUGAAUGUUGAUAGACGUUGAAUGUUACCGUUGAGGACAUAUAUUUGUACAAUUAAUAAAGAUGGUAUGGAUUUAAUAGAGAAUAACUAAUGUUGUUGAAGACAUUUAAGUGCAUGAUUUGAGCCUUACUUUCUUUGUGAUAUUUUUGUUGCAAGUUUUUAAUAGGGGUUUGAAUGGUAUAAACUUUAGGGAGGUUCGACCUAUACUAAAUCUGUUGACGGUGUCUUUUUCCGGUGGAGUUAAAUGGGUUUUCUUUAGAUGAUUUUUUUUUUCUUCUCGAAUGAAGUGUUUUAUAUACGUCAUUUGUUUAGGAGAAGGACUUGAAUGUAUCACUAUCGCAUUUAAAAUGAGAAGGAUAUUAAGAGACAUGAAAAGUAUAUGGUUAACAAAUAGCUAAACAAUAAUUGAAAGUUACUAUUUAUAUCAAUAAUGUGCAUUAUAAAACACUUCUAAUUAAUAGGAAAAAACACUUCUAAUUGAUAGGAAAAAAAAGCAUAAUUGGAUGAUGUUUGAAAAAUAUAUAAUGAAAAGUUUGGUGUAUAACAAUUUUAUUUUGAAGAAAAGUUUGGUAGAAACUAAAAUGAAGGUAAGUUAUUAAUGAAACAGUAGCAUAAGUUUGAGAUUAAAAUUUGAAUUAAGAGGAGGUUGAAAAUAAGAAGCAUUAAGCUGUAAUGAACUCUAUCUUGAUAUGUUGAAGGCCUAGACCCAUUUGAGAAAAUAAAAUAAUAACGCCUUAAUUAUAAGUUAUAACAAUUUAAAAUGGUAAUUAAUUAUAAGCAAGAACCAAGGGAUUAAGAUUUGAAGUGUAAAAAAGGGAAGGAGUUGAGUUUAAAUAUAUUCGGGUUAAAAAGGAAGAACACGUGGAUUUGUCAGAAUAGGAGAUUCCAUUCCCUACCCAUUGCUAAUCUUUUUUUGUUAAUCUCAAAUUUACCGUAUGGUUAUUUCAUUUUUGUUUUUUCUUUCCCAAAUUUGCCCUGCCUACUCCCCUCUUCAUUAUGGGCCUUUUAUCACCUAUAGGCCCAUUAAUUAAAUUGAUUCUUCUGAAAUCAGAGUUUCAAAUAUUGAAUUCCUUCAGCUUAUUUACUUUAAUCAAAAGAUUCUUUUAUUGACUCUUAUGCAUUCAAAUUCAAAAUUUCAAGCAUCACAAGUUUAUUCUUUACUUUUUUUUUUUUUUUUUUUUGCUAUGGUCUUGUAUUGGCCAAUCCACUAUAUAUAUAUAUAUAUACACGUUUGGGGUUAUUUGAGAAGUCUAUAUUUGGAUUGAAUGUUUUAGAUCAAAUACAUGUAAAACUAAACUCAUUGAUUUUAUUGUUGUGUUUUUUGUUUGCUUCACUAUAGCAUAGUAGUUUUUAGGGUUUUGGUUGACUAGCUGAGAUGGUGAAUAUAUAUCAACAGGAAAAUAAUUAAGUUGAGAUCAAACUGGAACAUUGCAUUCUAAGACACCAUAAACAUCAUUGCCACAGCUGCUAUCACAAAUAACAAUAGAUGUGUGUCAAAUAAGAGGUUAUAAAUAGUCAUAUGAAACCACUCCUAAGGAGAGAGUAGGUAAUCAACAAAGGAGAAAUCAAACCUACUUCUUUUAUUGUGAUUAGUCAAAUUAGUCACUUUCUUACAUUAAUUUAAGUAUCAUAAUACAGUAGAUUCAAUACUAGGUCGUUGCAAGAAUCUCUUAUGUAUGUCAAUUUGAAGAAUGUCAUACAUAUCAAGAAGAAGUGAGUCAAAAUUGAAAUCAUCCCCAAGGAGCUGUAACGAAAUAAAAUGCAAACGAAAUUCAAAAUUUGAAAUCGAAAAAACAUAGAAUCAUUAGCAAGAAGGUGAGCAUGAUAAGAAGUAAAUUGUGUGAAAAUAUAUAAAGUGAAAAUAGGGAAAGCAAAGAGAAGAUGAAUUUGGGUGGAAGCGGGCACUUAAAUCUCAUUGGAACAAUAAUAAGGGAUGGCUCAAUAAUUAAACAAAUUAUUUGUCCUCUACAUAUAAUUUUCUCCAAAAACAAAAAUGAUUGAUGUUACGAGGAGAGAAAAGGAAAAUAAAAUAUGAUUGGAACCCACGUCUAAUAGAUAAUUCACCCUAAGUUUUGAAAUCUAAUUUCACUUAAUUGAAAAUUUAAAGAGAGAUUUUGAAUGGUUAUACGAACAUACUAUUGCGUGAUUUUUGGAAUUUGGGCACAAAUUAAUAAUUGAACUACACAAAUAGAGCACGUGUGACAAUUGUGUCAAUUUUAAGAGCAUGGGCCGUUGGGAGGGUUAUGGCCCAAAAUUAUUGGACCUUAAUAACUACAAGGCUCAUAGUAUUUAACGGGAACUACAAGAACCCUGGUGGAGAGAUCUGUUCCUUUCUUACAACUAUAACACUUUACGCUAAUUUCACUUUGGUCCCUCUCCAAAAAUAUUUUCCUUUUCAAUUAAUUACAGAAAUAAAUUUUUUUUUUUAAAUAUGUUUUUUAUUUAAUCUCUUUUUGAUAUAAUCGUAAAAAUAAAAAAUUUAAAAAUAUUUGAGAUAAUAGGUUUUAAAUUUAAAUAUAUUUUAAAAAUAUUAAUUUUUUUUAUGUAUAAUAGGUUUUCAAUAUUUUAAUGGCUAAGACACCAUAGUUUUACUCUUUUAUCCUUCAUUUUUCUCACAUAUAUAUAUGUACUUAAUUACUAUGUUCAUUUAUUUUUCGUUUAACCAAACUUUAUUUAAAUUAUUGUAACAUAUCAGUGAAAUCUAAAGCAAAAUUUUGCAUUUAAUUUACUUUUCAAAGAGGUGACCAUCUGAUAUUGAAAAGAUUGCCACAAAUGGAUAUAAUUUCUUUACAAAAUAUAUCUAUCUUGAUUUAUAAGGUAUAAAUACAAUCCACUAAAAUAAAUACUAUCAACUUUAUAAUUUUCUUUUCUGAAAAGGAAAAACUAUAUUAUUGUUAUCAAUUAAAGUCUUUCAAGUAUUAGUUCAAAUUAAAACUAAUGUUAAUAUUCUAUGAACAAUUAUUUUUAUAGAUAUAUACACAGCAUUGCCAAAAUAAAAUUGAUUAAUGAAAUAUGCAACACAUGAUUCUAUAAAAACUGAAAUUAUAUUAAACUAAUAUAUAAAUUAGCAGAAGAUCAUAAAUGGGUAUUGUUGGAAUAAUAAACAUUUUAAGAUAUUAUCACACAAAGAUCCUUCAAAACAAACACAAAUAUUCCAAAUAUUAUAAAACAUUCUAACUAAUUUUCUUUAGAAAAAUUAAAAUCAUGAUAGCAAAAUGAGUGCAUACUAGUUUAUUUUUAUCUUUUAUUUUAUUAUAUUUAUAAAUAUUUUCAAAAAAUUUAUCAUUUAAAACAACUUUUCUUAAUCGAAAUAUAUAUUAAAAUUCAUAAAUUUGAAUAGGUCUAAAAAUUGACACUUGAAAUCUUUUUUUCUUUUAUAUAUAUAUAUAUAUAUAUAUAUUGCCAUUUAUUUUGUCUUUUUGAGUUCAACCACUUGUGAGAAUGAUGAAUUCAAAUCCUAUAGCUUAGGCAAAUGCGUGUACUUUAAUCAUAUAUCAAUAGUAAGUCACAAUUGUAUACUUAUCUUAUCUUAGUUUGAAUAAUAUUGAGAAACUUAAAUGAAAUGAGUAGUAAAUGUAUUAUAUAUAUGGAAUAAACCCCCACGUCUAGGAUUAAUAUAACUUUUAGCAUAGAGAAUAUGAUAUACAUAAAUAUAUAGGGAAAUUUGGGACGUAAUGUAUGAAUGUGAAGGGAAGCAUAUUAAAAGUAGAAAAGAAAGAGACAGACUUUACAAAUUUAGGUCAAAACUAUCACAGAAAUAGGAAAGAAAAUAAACUAUUGCCAAACAAUGUCCCCAAAACUAAAAGUUAGGGUUUAUUCAAAACAGGUAUAUAUAAACAACCUAACUUUACAAGAAAAGAAAGUAUUCAAAUUUCAAAGCUAAAUCAAGAAAAAAGAUUCUUAUAAAUAUAGGAAACAACUUUAUAUCCUAAAUGACAAAAUCUCUAUACCAUCUCCAAAUUGUACUUAAAUUAGGCCAAGAUGUUGAUUAGAAGUUAUGGUGAAAAGUCGAGAAUAACCCUAAUUGGGUUCAACAAUUAUAUCAAUGUUAUGACAUUGAGGAUUCAAACGUUUGACUUCUUGACUGUGUUGUGAAAGAAAAAAGAAAUUUUAUAAAAAUAAAGAGAACUCGUGUAGCGAGAAGGUUUCUAUUUUUACUAGAAAAAGAAAUUAAUAAUUAACAUCGGUUCCAUUGUUGUUAACUUGAUGUAUAGUUACAUUAACUAAUUGAAAACCCCAUGAGCCAACCCAACUAUAUUUGUAAACAUGUUCUAAGGGCAUUUAAUGAAACUCAAUUCAAACACACACAGCUUGAAGUAUCAUUAAUUAAUGCUUUCAAUUGGUAAAGUUUGAGGGGAAUUGAAUAAUCUAAAUUCAUUUGAUAUAUAACUUGAGGUCUCAUAAAUGAAGUUUAUGAGUUGGCAUUUAAUGCAAAUUCAAGUACGAAACUCUUUAACAUAUAUAAAACUAGAAUGAAACUCAUAAACUCCGUUAUUCCGUUACUGUGAUUCUCGAUCAUAAUUGCUUUAUAAAAUUACUCAACUGAGGUACACGUUUGUUGAUCUUAACAGAAAAAAUCCUUCUAUAGUUAUAAGAUUUUGUACAUCACACUCUUAUUGAUUUAUAGGGUUAGAGAUUUAUUUCAAUUUUUUAGUACAAGGUAGUGUAGAAGAUUUAAACUUGAAAUUUCCUGGUUUUCAAUACACACAUUCAUGUAUGAAUUGAGCUAGGUUUUUGAUGGUUAGAUCUAUUUGAAAUUGGUAUCCCAACAAACUGACUAUGUAUUUUAAAGAUAAUUAUGUUGUUACGUAGGGCAACGAGCAUCCUUAUAAAAUUAUUGAACGAGACCCCUUUUGGAUAACUAUUUGAUGUUCAAAUGAAAUAAUUUAGUCAUUAUCACGUUGGAUCAUACAAAUGUUUUUAAUCCAAAACCAUACAUACCAGUACACAUUUACACAAACAUGCACGAAUAUUGUUGUUAACUCUAUUAUUUCUAAAUAUGAUAAAAAAAAAUUACAUAGUUUUUCAUUUAUUUUCGUUUACUAUAUCUAACAAACGGGCCUUAGCUUAUACAAACUUUGAAGACAUGGUUCUUAUGUACUUAAUUACCAUCGAAUUCUCAUGUCAAACCAUACCAUCGACCUUUGGAAAUAUAAUUAAUGUCAUCAUCUUUCAAGUUAUAUUAGAUGGAAUAUAAAAGGUACCAUUCAAGUAUUAUUGUUUGCAUGAAAAGCAUGUUGAAAUUAGUGGUUUGCAGAUGGGAACUCAAUAUAAGUUUGUGGAUCGGAGAGGAGAGAAAAGUUUGGAGGGAGAUUGAAUUUUAUACAAAAAUGGAAAGAAGAGUGAGUGAGCUAAGGUCUUCCUUUUAUGCUAAACACAAUAUAUAUACUUUGGGGCUCAUGAAAAAUGUGUAUUUUUGCUUUACAACUACAAAGUCAAGUUGAUAUAAAAUGAAAUAUAUAUAUAUCAAAGGAAAAUAAAUAAAUAAAUAAAAUAGUGGGUUUUUAUUUAGUUGGCAAUGCAAAAAGGAAAAAGGAAAAUAUAAAAUAUAAAAACAAAGAAAAGAAAAGGAAAAAGGAAAGAGUUUUUGUAAGAAAUAGGGUUUUGGUUGCUUUAAUGGGAAGGAAAGUGAAGGAAGAAGAGAGCUUAAAUUUAGGUUAAUGUCAAUUCAGUCACAUGCUUUUGUGCCCUCAAAAGAUCCUUUUUCCACAUGUUAAUCUGCCCCCCCCCCCCCCCCCCCCCCCCCUCCAUAUUUUUUUCUUUCAAAAAAUAAAUUCUUUUACGUUUUAAUUUAUUUGCUAGCACUCGUACUUUAAUCUCUCGUUUCACUUUUUCCUUCGUUUUCCUAUUUUAUUUGAAAAUAACUAUUCUUCAACAUCUAUUUUUGACAACUUAUUCAUGUACUCAUAAAUGACAUGGGUGUUUUUAUUUGGAAAAAAAUUUAACUAAUUUAGUUUCAAACUAUAGUUUUUUUUGGGUUGAAAUGAUAGGAUUUGGAAUAAUUAUUUAACUCAUUAAUUAUAAAAAGUACAAUUAAAACAAUUUUCAUGAUUUACAAAAUAGACAAUAUAUAAUGAAUAUAAAUAUAGUAAUUAAAAUAUAAUUGGAAUUAUUUCUAUAUUAUAAUAUAUGUCGGAAUAUAAUUAUAUAUAUAAUAUGAUUGUUAGUAAUAUAUAUAGACAAAUGAAGAAGUGGACCAAUGUUGUUGAAGCUUUUGUUGGGUACAAAAGCACUCUCGAAAUUUCAAUAUAUAGCAAAGCUAACUAAGAUUUUCACCCCUAAUAAUGUUCAUCCACUUUAGCUAAUUGACAUCAUUGAAAGCAAUGUUGUUAAUAGUUCAAUAAUGAAGAUUAAUUUGGAUAAGUGAUUUGACUUUGUAGGGAUUUGACACUUUCUUUAUGGACCCAUUUCAAAUUAACUUCAUACCUAACUAUUUUCUAAUCAUACUCAUAUAUACCAAAGUCCAAAACUACAUAGGCUUAUAAUAAUAAUAUAUAUACAUAAACAAUUCAUCAAAUAUAUUUUUGGUCACCAAAAUAAAUAAAUAAAUUAUAUAAUCCUCCUUUUACCAACAAAAACUUUAAUUAGGUCAUGUCAUGAUUAUCAAGAUAUUAGAUCGGAUACGUCGAUAUCUUUUCAUAUGAGUGAAUCCACAUUUUCAUUAUAUGGUAAAAAUAAUACUAAAACAUAAGAGAGAAAAAACCUACAUAUAUAUCGCUAACGUGGUUCUAUUCUUAGAAAUAAUAAACAUUUGUACGUAUUAAAAGUAUAAAAUGUUUCAUUUUUAAUUUAAAAUUUAAAAUAUCAUCAAAAGUUAGAUAUAUAUUUAUGGACGUUUUCAUCAAAUUAAAACUAUGCAUUUUCAUUGGAUUAUAGAGGAUAAUUUUAAAUUGAUUAAAAUAGUACGUUCGAUUCUUAAUUGCCUUAUUCAAUACGUGUACUUUCAAUUAUCCAAUUUUAGUUCCUAUACUUUCAAUAAAUCUUAAAUUUAGUCUUUAUUGUUAGUUUAAAUUUAGUUUAUUCUAUCAUUUCCGUUAUUUAACUAAUUUUUUUAAAAAAUCAAUAGAUUAAAUUUAAGACUUAAAGUAUAAUAACCAAAAUUAAACAAUUGAAAAUGUAUAUUACACAGCUCAUAUAACAGUUGAAAGUAAAGAAAAAAAGAGGAGGAAAAGUUAGUGUUUUUUCUUCCUCGUUUAUCGAGAUAUAGAAUUAAAGCAUGGAAUAGAAAAUAAUUAAACCUUUAAGCUCAAAGUUGAAUGUAGAAUUAGUGAGGAGGAAUAGGUUGUUUUAGGUAUAAAAGGGUAGUUAUUUGGAUGGUUAAAUAAUAAUAGGAUAGGUGAAAGGGUUUAAAUGAUAUGAAUCUUCAUUUUUUGACUAAAAAUGAAAAUUGUUUUAGUUAGGUGAGUGUGUCAUGCAAGAGGAGUACCAAGCAAUGUGGACAAUCUCUUUUGGAUUAUAUUUUUCUUUAGGGCUUCAAAUAGGAAUGAAUUGAAAAGGUUGACUAUAAAACACACUCAAUAACAAAAAUGGAUUCAAUAUUAAAAGGAAAAUGUGUGCAAUUCCAUGGCCCCCCAUUAAGGGGAUUAUUCAUUUACCCCUAAGAUCUACAAAAUCUCUUUGCUUUUGACUAAUGAAUUGUCUGUGGUUUCUUAGCUACCUAUUAAAACUUAAAUCCCUAUUCAUCUUCAUCUCUAUUUUAUUCAUUUUUAUAUCCUUAUAAUUUCUCAUGCAAAAAUAUUAUUUCAUGUGUCACUUCUUUAUGUUUGAUUAAUACCUAGCAAUAUAAGGUGGCAAGUGAAUGAUACUGCCUCUACCUAGAAAUAAGACUAUUAUUAUGUGAAGAACUAUUUAAAAAUAAAAUAAAAUGGUUAGGACUUUGAAAUAGUUAUUUAUGAUUUAGAUUACAAAAUCAUGUAAUAAUAAUGGAUUGUUUCAAUUAGAUAAGUUUCAAUAUCAUGGACUUUUGAAUGAUCUUAACUUGCACGUAUUAUUAUUUAAUCAUGAAUUUGUCUUUUUCAAAAUUAUUUUAUCAAUUCAAGUUAAAGAUCUCUUUUUGAUAAAUUCCAUAUACAUAUAUAUUGCUUUUCAAGACAAAAUUUGAACAUUUUCCUCAAAGGAUCUUUAGCAUUUCCUUGUUCCAUAUCUAAACUAAUUAAAGUUUUGUGUUUUUCUACUAAAGUUUUUUACCUCAAACUUUUUCUUUUUGUUUUCUUCCUUCAAUUUUCAGUGACAAAAAAAGUUUACAAAAACAAACUCAACAGUGGAAAAAAAAGAAAAAGAAAAGGAAAACCAACAAUCCGUUAAUUCCUUUCAAUAUAUCAAAACAUAUAGUUUGAAUGAUUUCAAGUACUUUACUACAACAAAUCUUAACGUCAACCAACCGUACCUAUAUUCAUACACACAACUCACAAAAUUCUCUCGCAAACAAAAAUAACAACAAACCCUUUUCCAAAAACCCAAUUAAAUUCUAAGUCCUUCUUAUGUAUACUCUAAUCCAUAAAAUAUAUAUAUAUACAUAUUAUUUAUUUGUUUCUCGUUUUUCAUUUCUUGUCACAAAAUAAACCCUAAUCCUUCAUCACUCUUCUUCUUCUUCAUCCUUUUCACCUUGAAUUUCAAAACCAAAAGGAGGGAAAGGAAAAAGUUAAUGAGAUCAAUAUAUAUAUAUAUAUAUUAUAUAUAUUAUAUAGUUUUAGAUGAAAAGAUUUGUAAUAUUGAAAAUGAAUGAAUGAAUUAAAAGAAAUGGAGUUUGUCACUGAUUUUGGGAGAAGGAAAAAAAGGUGUCGGUGGUUUGAGUUUCUUCGGUUUUCUCAUUCGGUGCUUCACACUUUGGGACCAAACAAAAUGCCAUUUUAACUUAUUAUUAAUUAAUAAUAUUUAUUCAAAAUUAUUUUUUUAAUUUUAUAAAAAAAAUCCAUUACAAUGAGAAAAUAGUUCAAUUUAAAAAAAGAAAAUAGGAAGAUUGUGACAGUUGGAUACGCUGUCGUUUCCACCAACUAAUAUAUAUAUAUAGAGAGAGAGAUAUAGAUAUAGAUAUAUAGUUUUGUAUAUCACUAAUUUUUUUUUUAUAUUUUUAAUUAACUAAGAAGUAAGGUAAGAAAUCCCAUCUCUUAAUGGAAAGACAUGUUAUGAAGAAGUGAUGGAAUGCAAUUUUUGAUAGACAAGAUUAUCCAAAGUGGGUGUAAUAAUUAUUGAUGUUUGUUUAACCUAGGUUUCAUGCACAUGGAUGGUCUUCUCUAUGUGUGACAUCCCAAAAAAUAAAAAAUAAAAUAGCGUUUCAAUAGUUUCAACAUUUUUUUGUACUUUAAUUUUUAUUAGAAGAGUUUUUUAAUGAGAAAAAAAAAAAACUUAAGGUUAUACUUGUUGUUUGAUUCAUCCAACUCCAGCAUAUAUAUUGUUAAUAUGGAAUGAGUUUUAUAAAAUUUGUCUUAUUGAUUUCAUAUGAAAUACUUCUAAAAGUAAUCAAUAAGAUUGCUGUAUAUGGGUAGUAGAGUAUAUUGUUUGUUUGUUUUUAUUUUAUUUUAUUUUAUUUUAGCAAUUGACAUGUCAAUAUAUAAAAUAAUGAAGAUAUCAAAUUCAAUUGUUAUAUAUAUUUGUGUGUCAAUUUAAAUGUAGUGUAUUGUUUUUUUUCUAAAGAGAGAGAAUAAUGUUUGUCCAAUGAGUAAUUAAUUAUGAUGCAUUAAUGAAAAGAAGAUAUUUAAGGAUCAUAGGAGAGUUGUUAAAUGAUUAAUUGGUGGAAAAAUAAUUAUUGUGGGAGCAUUUUUAAUUUGGUAUGAUAAUAAGAGGCAAUAUUUGAUUGCUCUAAAAGGACGUUAGUUUAAGUGAGAAACUUAAGCAAUCAAUAUCUAUAUAAUAUAUUAAAAAAAAAAAAGGCAUUUAAAUUAAGUAAAUCAACAUUCUUUUCUAUUUAAAUCAACUUUAGACUUCAAAUAUAUAUAUAACAAGUGGUAAUAGAAAAGCAAGGGAACCCUUUUCUUUUUUUUCUUUUGCAAAAACAAAAAAAGAAAUUGAAAAUGUAAACGAGGGAAGGGACUUUUUUUACCGUUUGAUUACGCCUAGAAGAAUUCCAAGGGCAACCCCUUUUGACCCUAACAAAAGAAAGCAAUUCCUAUUACUUAUCUCUCUACUUCUUCACCAGCCCCCCCUCCCACGCCCUGAAAUGUCAUAUUGUCGUGCCCGUGGAGUUUAAAUACGUCACCCUUGAUUGAAAAAGGACGAUUGUUUGAUGUCCCUACAACAAACAACUCGUGUGAUUAUUGUAUUCAAAUUAGCAGUUGAUAUAUAGAGAGAGUUAGAGAACUCAUAACUUUAUACACAACGACUCAAUUAGUAUUUGUCAAAACGAUCACAAUUAAAUCAAAGGACAUUUGUAUAUGGUGAGGAAAAUGAAGUUUGUGGUCCAUAUAUAUAUAUAUAUCCUUUGCGUCCGGUGACAAGAAAGUUAAGUAUGAAAGUAUGAUAUUGGUAACAUUAAAUUGGUUUGAUAAAAGUGGAAAACUAGUGAAAGAGAUAGAGAUGAUAAAGAAAGGUAUAUGAAUGGAAAAUACAAUGACAUCCACAGAAUUGGGUGUUGAAAAUUACCUUAGAAUGGCUGUACAUAAAGCACUAACUUUGUAAGGUUUAAACAGCAUGUGGUAAUGUAAUGUAUUGUAUUGUGACAAAGUUUAUAAAUUGACUGUUGAUUAAUAUGUAUAACCAAACUUUUGGCUGCCCCUUCUAAAAUUAAUAAAAAUGAUAAAAAUACCAAACAUUUGGCAAGAAAUUAAAUUGCAUAAGAGCAAUCAAUUGCCCAUUUCUAGAGCUUUAGUAGUAGUGGUGGUAGUAGGCAGCUGCUUCAUUUACAAUAUGCUGUUUUCUUUUGAAAGUUGCAACUCAAGACUUCAUAUUUAAAAGCUCUCCACUUUCUAUUAUUAUUAUUGUUUGUUUUUUCUUUUUUGCUUUCUUUCUCCUUUUAGUGUGUGAGUGAGAUGUUUUCACCCAUAAAAUGAAAAUAUCUAUGUUUGUUUAAAUUAUUAUAACUUUAAAAGCUAUCACUAUUCUUUUAAUCAACAAAAUCAUGCAUCCAUCCAACCAAAUAUCAUAUAAUACGACCUUAUAUAGUCUCUUAAUAACCACUACAUUUCUUUUAGCAUUAUAUGUGUAAACUAAACUUAUAAUUAAGUACUAUCAAAUCAAAUAAUGUUUACAUAUAUCAUUUAUUUAUAAUAGAUGUCUCAACUAUUUUAUAACAUUUGGGUGUCAAAGAAAUUCGUAUUUCCUUAAUAGGUGGUAAUCAUAAAUUGAACACAUGAUCUCUUAAUUAAUUUUUUUCACCUUUGAGCCAGCAUAUAAAUGAGUAAAUUGUUCGUCACAUUUCUAAAAUCGACUGACAAUAAAAAAAUAACUUACUCAUAUUUUAAAAGACGUGAGAUACCUUCUUUCGAUGUACUUUCCUUAAUAUGUCCCAUCAGGAAGCUAUAUAUCAAUCUAUAGGUUUACCAUUUUUAGGUUGGAAUUAAACUAACUUUUACUUUUCCUUUCAUCCACUACCAUAUCAAUAAUGUAUUUUUUUUUUUCCAACUAAUCCUAGAAAUCAACGGUUGGCUCAAAUGAACCUAUUUUUAUAGAACAAAUGAAACUUUUUUCAUCUCACUAUAUUACGAUAAUAAUAAAUAAAUAUAUAUCUAUAUCUAUAUAUAUAUAUAUAUAAGCCUAUGGAAAGAUAACCCUUUUAACAGUAUAAUUCACAAAAACCACCAAUCCUUUGAACCGUAUAAACAUAUAAUAUAUAUAUAUAUAUUAGAAAAUGAUAAUAUUGCGUGAGACAAAGUAAGAGAAAUUAUGGGAUAAUUAUGAAACAAAAAAUCUAUGAAACUAUGAAAAAUCAAUUUGUUUUCCCACGUGAUCAAAGAGAAAUCAAGAUAUUUAAAGGGAAAAAAAAAAGAAGUUAUAAUAUAAGCAUGAUCCUUUUAACAAAGAGUGGAGUGGAUAUGUUUCGUUUAAUUUUGGAAAAUGCCAAAGUUCUAUAUAAAUAAAAAGGUAAAAUUUUAUGCUAUUUUCAACUUUAUCACAUGGUUUAAACAAGAAAUACAUGUUCUAUACGAAACAAGCAAAUUACACCCCACAUUAAACUUAGUGCAAACUUUGUCCAUAAAAGGAGAGCCUCUAUGGAAUAUUUUUUGUUGGCAAUUUUAGUUAUUACUAGUUUCAUUUUAUGGACUUCUAUUUUUUCUUUCUUUUCUUCAAUGCCACCAUCUAUAUAAUACCUACGUUCAUCGGUAAACAUACAAAGUUUCUUUCUUUCUUUCUUUUCUUUUUAUAUGGGUGGCUCAUUCAAUCCAAGACACAUUUAUGAUUAAUGACAUGUCUCUCACAAAUGUAUGAAAUUCCACCUUCUACCUGCACAAAAGCGCACUACCGCACUAGAGAUGGUCAUGACUCAUGUCUGUUGUAGCUCUCAUCUGUUGUCCAUCCAUAUUGCAAUAAAAAAAAUUCUAUUGUGUUUUCCCUAUUUUUCUCAUGGUUAGUCUCUUUUUCUUUUCUUUGGUGAAAAAUAAAAAUUGUAAUAGAAAACCAUCAUGUUAGGGUUACACAUGGUCAUCAUCAUUUUUCUCAUAGUUUGUUGUGUUUUUCUUAAUCACGAUAGAGCGUUUAUAGCAGUGCUAUAAUAGAUAUAGUCAUCCCUAGUGUGAUACAUUGUAAAAUGCAGUCUUCACGUAAGCAAUUUCAUAUGUUUGUAAGCUGCAAAUCAUUAAUCACGAAGACACCUCUAAAUAUGUCGUCAUGUGUACCAAAAGGAAAGGGAAAAAGUAAAAACAACAACAAUAACAAAGUUUGAUGAAUUAGCAAACCUACAGCCUAAAUUUGUAACUAAAAAAAUAAAAAAAAAAACCACCUACAAAAUAUACAAUCAACUUAUGGACCUUAUACAAAUGACUUUAUACAUGAGUUGGACAUCUUCUAAAAAUUUCAUGACAUGAUAUACAUCUACAACAUGUUAACGCAAUUUUAUCAUUUAGAAUAACAAGAUACACAAUUAAAAAUUUAAGUUAGUAUUUAGUUUUAAAUUCUUGCAUUAGCUUAGAAACAACAAUACCACUAAUAUCACUAGCAAGCUCAAAGUAAACAAUAUCAUAUAAUAAGAAGAAUAUAUAUAGAUCAAUUGUUGAGUACACCAAAAAAAAUCAAGUUUGAUUCAUAUGAAAAAGAAGAAGAAUAAAAUGAAACGUUUGAGUAAUAUUCUCCUAGUAUAUGAAAAUCAUGAAAUGAAAAACUUUUAUGGGGGUGGGGAGGCAAGCAAAACUAAAGAAGGGGCUUUAUGCAUUUUAAAGGAGAGAGAAUAUGUCACAUAAACGCAUAUAAAAGAGACCCCCACCAAUUGGUCCAAUUCCCAUCUCUAUAAAUUAAAAUCUUUUCCUUGCAUGCCCAACACUCACUUUGCUUUCUCCCUUCUCUCUCUCUCUUUUCUUUUUUUUCUCUCUUUCCUAAGCCACAGGGGAAAAAGAAACAGCAAGGGGUAAAGGAAGGGGAAAAUAUGCUUGCAGAAGAGAAGUCCCAAAAGUACCCGACAAUGCCAGAGGUACGAAAAAAAAAAAACCUUGUAGAGAGAAUAAUAGCACUAUAUAUUUAUUGUUAAUGGCGUACCUGUUUGUUUGCUAACUUGAUGGAGUUUCCUCUCCUUUUUUGAAGGUCCUUGACGAGCUGAAGCAAAUGGCUGACAUUGGCUUCCCUGUUUUGGCAAUGGGUUUAGUGGGAUAUCUCAAAAAUAUGAUCUCUGUUAUUUGCAUGGGUAGACUUGGAACUCUCCAUCUUGCUGCUGGUUCUUUGGCUAUUGGUUUCACUAAUAUCACUGGCUAUUCAGUUCUCUCGGGCUUGGCUAUGGGCAUGGAGCCACUCUGUAGUCAGGCUUUUGGUUCUCAUAAUUCUUCCAUUGCGUUUCUCACUUUGCAAAGAACGGUUCUUAUUUUGCUUUUUGCAACUAUUCCCAUCGGAUUUCUUUGGCUAAAUUUGGAGCCUCUCAUGUUGGUUUUAAAUCAGAACCAAGAAAUCACUAGAAUUGCAGCUGUUUAUUGCCGUUUUGCAGUCCCUGAUUUGAUAUUGAAUAGCCUUCUACACCCUUUGCGUAUUUACCUUAGAAACAAAGGCACCACGUGGCUUGUUAUGUGGUGCAAUUUGCUGGCUAUUCUCCUACAUGUUCCUAUUGCCAUUUUCUUUACUUUUCCUCUUGAUCUCGGAAUCAGAGGGAUUGCUAUCUCCAAUUUUUUAGCUAACUUCAAUACCCUUUUCUUCCUUUUACUCUAUUUGAUAUUCACUACUCGUAGUAGAAUCUUUUCCUCCUCUUCCAAGGAGGCUAAUCUGCUUAUGCCGCUGAAAAGCAGCACAGUUGUUAGCACCGUCACAGUCGGGGAAGAAUGGGGAAUGCUGAUCAAGUUGGCUAUUCCUAGCUGCCUUGGUGUUUGCUUGGAAUGGUGGUGGUAUGAGUUCAUGACCAUUCUCACUGGCUACCUCUAUAACCCGCGGAUUGCACUCGCGACUUCAGGCAUUGUAAUCCAAACAACUUCGCUAAUGUACACAUUACCAAUGGCUCUCAGUGCUGCCGUCUCGACCAGAGUCGGUCACGAGCUCGGUGCUGGCCGGCCUAGAAAGGCGCGACUGGCGGCUGUGGUGGCAAUUGGAUUGGCCUUGGUGGGCUCAUUGAUGGGGCUCUCAUUGACCACUGUUGGCAGAAGGGCAUGGGGAAGAGUUUUCACAAAAGAUGAGGAAAUUCUAGAGCUGACAAUGGCGGUUCUGCCCAUAAUCGGGCUGUGCGAGCUAGCAAAUUGUCCACAAACAACGAGUUGCGGAAUUCUGAGGGGAAGUGCAAGGCCGGUGAUCGGAGCAGGGAUAAACUUCUGUUCAUUUUACAUGGUGGGGGCGCCGGUGGCAGUCUUGUCGGCGUUUGUUUGGAAGUUUGGGUUUCAGGGUCUUUGCUACGGGCUUCUGGCAGCUCAGAUGGCAUGUGUGGUCUCAAUCUUAAUAGUGGUCUUCAACACAGAUUGGGAAAUGGAGUCAAUCAAAGCCGAAGACUUGGUAGGCAAAAACACCAAUAACAACUUUGCACAUGCAAUCCACACAGCCAUACGUGAAGAAGGUCCUGAAUUUCUCAAAGAAUCACCUGUUCAAAAACAAGAUACAUAAACUUAGAUUUAAUUUUGUAUGAUAUCAAGUAUAACUAGGAUUUAAUAGGAAGGUAUACUAUAUAUUAUAAUUAUCUCCAUUUUUUUUUCGAAGCCUAUUAUUUUGUUUGAUUUAUUAGGAUAAUUGGAAUUGGGAUCUGGUUGUAAUAUAUUUAGAUAGUGAUUUUUGUUUUCUUUUUGUUUUAAUUUUUCUUUUUGGUGUAGAAUUUAUGGUGUCAUAUCAAUGGAUGGAAUUUCCCUUUCGAAUGACCGGAAAUUAUAUAACGAAAAAAAUGGAAGAGGCAUAUGGAAGCACAGUAAUAAUAGACCAACCAUGUGUGCUGUGGUGUGUAUAACCAUUAAGACAACAAAUGAAACGUGAGCUACGCAACAGUGUAUUUCGUACAUGCAAAUGCAUGGCUCAUAAACAAUCCUUUAACAAUACGACUAUCAUAUUCUUCGACUAUACUAAAUACAAUGUUGGACAAUAUAGUCAUUUCCAAGGCUAGCUCUUCAGUUAUAGAAGCCCAGCAGCCAAAUUUAUGGGGGUUUUCUUUUUCCUUGUUCUGAGAAUACCUUUUUUACACAUGAUGACGUAAAGAAAUAUUCCUAUCAACUUAUGAUAAUAACUGAUAACUUAGACAUGUGAUAUAACUUAGAAUCUGGUAUAUACCACAUCACACUAGCUUGAUUCUUCUUUCUUUUUGGUACAAAGCAACGCUGAACCAAGAUAUCUAAUAACCAAAAAAGUGGUCCAAAAUUGAAUCAUAUAGAAGUGGAUUUACAGCUCUCCAAUUUCUAAUAUAAUUCUUCUUUUAAAAAGUUUGUGGCGCUCCUGUCCCAUGGCCCAAACUCUUGAGACAUCAAGAGCUUUUCCUUAAGUUAACACAAAACUUCGAACGGGAUGUCUAAGUUGAUAUUCAAAUAAUAUUAUUGGGAUAUUUUUGUAUAUCAUAAUCUUCUUAUGUUUGAGUGACCAUACCAACUAACGAGUAACACACACCUCAACUAGACUUCUUUCCUCUUGAACUCCUUUACUUUUUACUUUGACUUUAUUGACUAUAUAACAAUCGUUCAAAUUGUUUUGUAAAGUUGUACUUGAAAAUAAAUCCUGUUGCUGUAUACAUGUUCUUUAAUCUUCAUUUCUAUGUUCAAAGAACUUCUCAAGUUAAACAUCUUUUAGAUCAACUCAACUGGAAACGAGUAUGAAAAAUUUAGAAUCCAACCUGGUUUACUGUAGAAAACAGUAAAAUAUUGUUUUGAAAAGUCUAAAACAGUUUCGUAUCAUUAUUCCCAAGCAGCACCUAAAUCAUACAAAACCUUUGAUAAAUGCUCCUGUCUUGGGGUUGGGUACUCCAUUAAGUGAAAAAUAAAAGGCUUAGCUAAAUUUAAGGCCUUUGUGCAUGUUUGGGAGGCAAAUAAGCUGUAUAAAUCUGAUUGUCUUACCUGUCAUCCAUUUCUUGGGGUACGGCGUUUCUUGUUUCAAAAUCAAACGGGAAGAAGUAAUCAAAAGUUGAAUCCAGCUUCCUUCCCUGUGUGCAAGAAAGGCAGCAAAAUAAUGUUAAACAAUUAGAGAACAGCGUGGCUUUAUGCUUCUUUAGACUUAAUUUAAUGAAUUGUCGUGCAAGAUCGCUUCCUUUUUUUGUCCUCUGAUUGCUGACCCUUCAACUAAUUUCCAGGGAAUGAACCUUAGCCAACGGAGUUUUAGUCCAACAUUUCAGCCAACAGAAAGCAAGCUUGACUAACAGUUACUUUUCAUCAUUAAAGGACUAAAACGCUGAUUUCUCUUAUCAAUAAGGAUCCAAACAGAAUUCAAAAAGUUAUGCUAAUCAGCUUACCUCCCCGUGGGGUGCAAAUGGGCGGUGGUUAAGAUAAAGAUGUUAUGUAACAAAAGUAAACUUAGAUCUGAUUUUGACUCUUAGUACUUGAAUUUUUAAGACUCAAUUUGAUAAUAUUUUGAUUUUGUUUGUUGUUUUUUGAAAAUUAAGCCGAUACACACUGCUACCCUAAAAGUUUAUAAUUUGGUUAGCUACCUUCUACUAAUUUUUGGAAAGAAAAAGGAAAUUAUGGAAAUUAGUAGGAAACAAGUAUACAUUUUAACAACAAAAAUCUAAGGCCCCAAUUGUUGACCAUUACAUUUUUCAUUUUUACUUUCUUAAAAUUAGCCUAUUUCAAAACCAAUGAAUUCAAAUGAAUUAUUAGGCAAAUUUCAAAACCAAAAAACAAGUUCUUGAAAAGGACUAUUUUGAUUUUUCAAAUUUGACUUGGUUGAAAACAUCAGUAAAAAAAUAGAUACCAAAUGAAGAAAUUUAGGGUUAAUUUUCAAAAACUAAAAACAAAAAACCAAAUGGUCACCUAAAAAACAAAUGGUCUAAGCAAUUGUAUCAUAUAGAACCAAUCCAUUUGAUGAUACAGACUAGAUACAAUAUUGGCUUCAAGAGUAUUGUAAUUCAUACUAUGAAAUCUGGACCUAUAAUCUAUACAGAUUACCAUCCGACCAGUCUAGAGAUAAUUCAAUCUUAUACCUAGAAAUGAUUAGCUAAGACUUUUCGUAUUAGAGAAAGUAGGAAAAAAGAAAAGAAAAAAAAAACUAUGCAGGGGGUAACCAAAUUAUGCAGAGACAUUACAUCAAACACCUAGCGUGCAACAGUAGUGGCGCGCAUACUUUACAACAUGGACCACCAAUGCAAGAUUCUACAUAACCAAUCAAAUUCCAUUUCCACGACGACGAUGAUAUAUAGUAAUGAAACGACCUGAAAACGACCGUCAUGCAGGGGAAUGAAUGGGGAAUCUCCAUAACGAUAAGAACAAAUUUGCUUUUCUAAUUCGAAACAACAGGCUCAAUAGGAGCAAGGAAAAGAACAAACACAAGAAAUUGGGUGAAAUGCAUCGUGUUUGAAAAGUGAAAUUUCCUAAUUAGUAAAGAAAAUUACAGAUAAUGAAGAAUGACAAAAACGAUUAGAAAUUUAGUUUAGUGUCUAUAUAGAAUAAAAUGAAAUUUACCAGUCAUCUCAUCUCACAGUGGAUGUUCCUCGAUCGCAAACUAUAAUGCUGUUCGCUUUUCAACUCCCAUUGACGAAGAAUUAGACUCCCUUGACGAGAUGCCGGGAAACAUCCACCAGAUAUGGGACACUGCAAGAAGAUAAAGGUCACGAAGUUCGUUUGUGUAGCUUCCAUGGCGGACAUGAUCCGGCAUGCUAAGGAUAAUAAAGCAAGCCUAGUUCUAGAGUACCCAUAUUGCAGCACCAACAACACGAUUGUUCCCCAACUUUCUCGAUUUCGAUUAAAAUAGUAAUUUAACUCCAUUAGGAACAGCAAUCUUGAAUUCAAUUUUGUCUAAAACGAAUUCGCCAUUGUUCAUCAAAGCUUGGUGAGAAAAUUUCACAAAACACAUGAUAGACGUCCACUAACACCAAAUCGUUUUCAUAGCAAGCUAUGAUGAUUAUCGUUUGCCAUUAAUGUGGAAUUGAAGAAUCUUUUUCAAAGUGAUUUUGGCUUCCAAAACAAGAAAAGAAAAAGGGGAAAUGAAUGGAAGUGAUUUUCGGUUCUGAUUUUGAAGUCGAUCAAAGUUGGCGAGACAGCGGGAUCUGUUCAACUUCUUGGCGGUUAUUUUUGCCAAGGAUAAACGUAAUUUCUUUGGGCCACGUGUGAUCAGCUUGCUAAUUGGGCCUAAAGUCCCAGUAACUAAUUGGAUCCACAAUUCAAAGAUUAGCCCACUUUAAUUGGCCCAAUAUUAAUUGGCUUAAUCGAACUCAUUUUCAAUUUCAAAUAUUUAGGCAAAAGAACAACCGGGUAAAUUUCGCAUAUGUUAUGAUUUAUUUCAUUAGGUUUUCGUAUAUUUUUAUACUAGAAUUAUAUUCUUAUCAUAAUUAUUAACUAUAUAUAAUUUUCAAAAUUAAAAUUGAAUUACUUCUAUAUUUAUAUUAUAUUCAAUUUAUUAAGUUAAUGGUAAUUUUUUUAAUUAUUAAUAUAUAUAUAUAUAUAUAUAUAUAUAUAUAUAUAUAUUUAUAUUUAUUAAUAAAAUAUUUAUUAUCUUUCCAAUAAAUUAAAUAUGGUAUAAAUUAUUAUCUUAUUUAAUAAUAUUUUUAAUUAUACUACUGCAUAUAUUCAAUAAUACACAUAUUUUUUUCAUGUUCUGUGAUUUUUUCUUAUUGCGUAUAUAUACUAAUAUAUACACAGAUUAUAUAUCCAUUCAAUUAUUUAUUUUUUAUUUUUUAUAUAUAUAUUACUGAAUAAUUCAUUCAUGUUUUAUGAUCUUUUAUAUAUAUAAGAACUGCAUAUAUUCAAUAAUACAUAAAUAGUGUUCCUCAAUAUACCUCUAAUGUAUUUCGAAUACAAAAUAUAAAUUCUUGCAAACCUUAAAUUUUUGUCAAUUUUUUUCUCAAAAGAUUAGUGUACCAGUUAGUGACCGAUGUUCUUCUUCUUCACCGCUUAUACUUUUCCCAAUUUUCUAUUAUUCAGUGUCUUUUGUGAAGAAUUAUUGUUCAACGUAUUCGAAUAAUGAAACUUUUAUUUUAUUUUUUUUAAUUUUCUAAAUCGUAACCCACGUCCCUAAUUUCUCUCCUUGUCGGUCCACCUUCUAUAGACAAAUUGAUAUAAUAACUUUUCGCAUAAAAAAUACAUUGUAUUAUAAUAAUACAAUAAUUUUAUGACAUAUAUGAAAAACGAAAAAAAGAAUGGACGGAGAGAGAUUGGAAAGUGAGACAGAGAUCGAGAUGAAAUAUUUUUUUGAACAAAAUCACCUAAAUAAAAAUAAUUAAGGAAAAACUCAUGUUUACAUCAAAUAUCUAAUAAAUACAAAUAUUAAUCAUGAUCCACAAUUCUUUUUUCUUUUUCUAUUUUUUAAUUUACUAUUAAUAAUAAAGAUGGUUCAAUUAAUCAUUUAGGCCUUACAUUUGUAUAAAAUAUUAGGCAAUUUACUACAGGGAAAAUUUAAGAAAUUUGAAUUAAUGUUGUUUCUAUUUUAGAGUAUCUUAAUUAAAAGACGCUUUCACUUUUGUCCACAACUUCUUUUAAAAUUUACGUUUUUUUAUCACAAAAGUACGUAAGUGUAUUAAACAGAACAAAUUUUGAAUAUGUAUACAAAUUUCUUUCAUAUAUAUAUAAACUAAGAUUAGCAAUUCAAUCUCAAUUUAUAUAUAUUUUUUAAAUUAAUAAUAGUAUUUACAUUUGUUUCGAUUGUUUUAGAUAUGCUUUUCAACCAACUCAAACCAUGAAAUUUACAUUUACUAAAACUCAACUCAAUAUAGAUAGAUUGAAUAUUGAUAAUCUAACCGGUAGCAAGUGGAUUCUAGAAUCAAUGGUACAACGGUCAAGAAAAGCAAAACAAGAAAAAAAGGAACAUGGCAACAAAGAGAGAAACGGGUCUGGUUAUUAGCCUCGACCGCACCUAAACUUAAAGGUGAAAGGCCCAACAUGGAUAAGCCUUAGAUGGAUGAAACUGUAACAUGCCUAACAAGAACAUUAGGCUAAUUGAUUUUGACCUCUAACGAUCCAUACAAAAACCUUAACCAAAUAAGAAAUAAGAUAAUGACAUAAGCCUAUAAAUAAAACAAUGAAAGAUAAAGCAUAACCAAUUAAGUUUUGGAAUUAGAAUCAAAUAUCAUCUUCUCCUUACAACCUAUUAACUUAAACAUUAGGGUGUUUAAUAAAUUUAUUUGUUAGUUUUAGUUUGAAAUAGUGAUGUUUGUUUAGAGAAUAGAGUGGAAUGGGGAAUAGAGAAAUAGGGAGAAAGGGGAGGGAUGAUAGUAGAAGUGUGAAAUUGAAUAAUUGGACAUUUAAAGUAAUAGGUUUAAAAGUUUGUAUUGUUGUAUAUGGACCACGAUAUUGCUUCAUUCAUGAACACCAUAAAUGCAUUUUUUACCUAUCAAACACGAUGACGAGACUUUCAUUUUUUUAAAAAAAGUAAAAUUCAAUUGUAAUUUUAAACCUUCUUUCUCCCAACAAAAAUAAAUAAAUCGUUUUUUUAAGUAAUAGAAUGUAUAGAGGAGCACCAACAAACUAAAACUUAUGUUCAGAGACGAAGGGAAGACAAGUGGGGAUAUCUACUCCAAAAAUACACACUUUAUUCUUUCGAUGAUUACAAAAAGAGAUUAAAAUCUCAUAAAUAGUCAACCUGGCUAGCAAGUACACAAUCUUGAAGAGACAAUCUCAAGAGCAAAAGCUAGAGAUAACACGUUAUCAAAUAGAGUAUCGACUGAAUUAUAAUCUACAAUCAGUGAAGGAGACAAUGGCGCUAACGAUCCAAACUGAUCAAAUGCAACCCCACUUCAAUAGCUUUCAUCUUAAUGACUUUAGUUCUAUAAUACUUGAGAACUCUUUGACAACCCAAGCCAAUUAAACACUUGGUUAAGGUCACAAAAAAUCCAGUCAACUCCACCUGACUGAAAUCAUCGUUGUUAACUACUAUAAUCAACUUUAUUUUGUCAGUAUUAAUGCAUUGUUUGAAAAUUUAGUAUUCACAUCAACAUCAAUACUUCAAAAUGUCCCCAAAUUAUACAGGUGAAACUCAAAAAUAAGGGUCAAUGUAGAAUUUUAACAAAUUACGUAUUUGUUUAUUGAAUUAUACCAAUGUUUGGCAUAUUUUUUUUUAUGUUUAUGUAUAUAUUUUUUUCAAAAGAAGUGUAAUGAUUAUGUAGUAAGAAAAUGAAGUUAGUUAGACACAUAUUAAAUAUUGUCACCCAAAAGCAAAUCAUUCAAUAUAAUUACAUCAUACAAUACUUAGUUUCUACACUAAUUGAGAGAAUGCUAAUAUAUAUACACAACCACAUUUUUGUUGAUAAUAAUUGAUCAUGUACUAGAGAUAUUUUGUGAAAAGUUAAAAAACACAAGAUAAAAAAUAGCUACAUAAAAAUAUUUUUGAGAUUUAUAUACUUUAUAAAAUUUAUUAAGUUUGGUCCACAACAAUAAAGGAGAUUAUAUAAUUCCAAAUACAAUCAACUAUACCAUUUUUGCUUUUAAAAUAGAAAAGACAAACCAAUUUUAGGAAAUACGGUAAAAGACAAAAUCCUUGAAAAUAUUUAUGAAUAAUCAAAUUUUUAUAUUUUAUCAAUGUCAUCACUCGCAUGUUUCCUAAAAAAAUGUUCAGGAUGUCACAUAACAUAGAAUCGUUCCAAGCUAACACAUGUUCAAUCUUGAAGUUCCUAUGGAUGAGUCACUUAGAAGGAGAGUUGUUAGUAUGGAUAGUAACUUUCAAUAAUUCUUUUAAAUAUAUAUUUAUAUUCUCAAGAUCUCUCUCAUUCAGAUGUGGUAUCGAUUUAUUCAUGUUCCCUUCCUAAACUCAUGGUGUUACAAUUGUAUUUUGGUUCAUUUUUUAUAUUUGAAAAUGUCUCGAACAAUUAACUAUCGAGGAUGUGUUUGAAUGCAUUAACAUACUUUAAUUGUUAGUUUACACAUAAAAGUACUUUAAAGUUACUUCCUAGUUAAGCACUUAAAUCAAGCAUAUAUAUGCAUAAACACACACUUCAUAUUAAUGCUCUUUUAUUCCUUUUCUUUUAACAAAUUCUUGUUACAUACGUACAUAUGUGUGUGGUUAUUAAUUUUCACUAUGAUAUAAAAAUAAUUAAAUUAUAUAAAGUAUUAAUUUCAAUUAUUUUAUUUACCUUUAAUUUAGAGAUGUUUUUAAAUAUAGUAAAAUAAACUAAAAUAUUUAUAUACCGUACUAAAAUUUUGGAUGCUAUUGAGGAUAAAAACUAAUAAACUUCUUCUAUUGUCUAUCAAAACCACUCAUUGAAGUAUAUCAGUGUCUAAAUAGUAUAUAGACAUCAAUUUAAAAUAAUUUCAAAGCUUUUAACAAAUGUUUUGAAGGGAGAUAGAAAUGGGUUUGGGUUUUGAGUUAAAUUUCUAUUUGGAGUUUAUGUUUAAAAAUAUUAGAUUUGUACCCUUCCAUUAAUAAAUUCAAAAUUUUGCUAUCCAUAUUAACUUUCUUAUUUUUUUUUUAAAUUAAAUCAAUUAAACGUAAACAAACAUAAAAAAUAAAGUGAGUUUAGUACGAAAAAAUAUAAGGUCAUAAUUUACAAUCAACUGAAAAGGUGAAAAUACAACGUUAUAAAAUCUAUAUACCAAAUCAAAAUUAAAAUUAAAACUUAAGAGCAAAAUUAUAAAAUAUUUUAGAAACAAAACAAAAACUAUACUCAAAAUAUGAAGAAAAAAAAGCUUGAAAUGUUUAGGAUGUGCGGUUACAAAAUGAUUACAACAAUAUUUUUUUAGUUUCAUAGUUAUAAGAAUAGAAUUAUAUACUCCUCAAAUUUCUAGAACAAAAAUAAUUAAAAAAAUUAUGAUAAUAGAACUCAUGUCACAACAUUUUCUAAAUUUACGAAAAUAUCUAAAAGUGAUGACCCUAACCUUAUAAUUAUCGUAUGGUAAUGCCAAUUUUGUGAAAAAAAUGAGUGUUAUGAAAUGUUUUUUUAAAUGUUUUUGUCGAUUUUUUUAAUUAAAAUAUCUUUUAAAUAACCCUAUGAUAUUUAGAAAUAGAAAAUUAUAAUAUUAGGGAGAAAAAAAAAAGAUGAUUAUUUGAAUUUAAAAUUCUAGGGAUGUAAUUAUAAAAUUGUUAUAGUUUAAGGGUGAUUAGAAGAGUUGGUGGGCGCGUGAAGCAUAAUUCCAUACCUUUAUAACGAAAUUUGCCAGUUUAAAGGACACAAUAAAUGCUUCAUUAAGAAGUAACCAAAGCAAGACCAAAUACAUCAUAAUAAUAAUUCUAGGGGUUAUUAUUUGGACUUUCUCUCAUUUUUUUCCUCCCACGUUUCAUAUAUUUCAAAGUCAUCAAGAAAAUUAAGGUGAAUAUAAAAUUUAUUAUUUUCGAGCUUUAAACAAUUUGAUCAAGUAUCAACAUUAUAAUUUUUUUUUUUUUAAUCUUUUACUUUUAAGGUUACUAUUUUGUGACUAGGAGUUAUCAAUUUCUAUUCAAAUACUCAUAGUUAAAGUUUAUUUGAAAUUUUAUUAAGAUAAGAGUAUUCUUUAAAGUUUUUGAAUUUUUUUAAACGAAAUUUCAACAUUAUACGAAUAUCUUCAAACUUUUUUUUAAUUAUUUUAAUUCUUAAAAUCUUUUAAACUUGAAAAGCACUUUCCAGGUAAAAUACAAAAGGUAAAGUUCAUUGAAAUUUUUAAAAAAUUUAUAAGUUUCACGAAUAUUGUUCGAAAAAAGAAAAGGGAAGAGUACGUGGUAGUUAACAAGGAGUAGAAUAGAAGAUAAUUAUUUUAUAUACUUCUUAAAUAUUGAAAUAGUUUUAAAAUUAUUUUUACUAUGAAAGGUAAUGAUUUGAAAAUCAAAUUUGCAAAAUAAAUUGUAAUUAAAUUUAAACUAUGAUUCCCAAAGGAACCAUUAGUACUCUUUUUUCUUUAUAGCUGUAGUGGACCCCAUCACUCACACAAUCCGUACAAUAUCCAUCUUCUUCUUCUUCUUCUUCUUCUUAUUCUUCUUCUUCUUCUUCUUCUUCUUCAAAUGCUCCAACACCAACAACAAUGGUGGGGUUAAGCGUGGUUUUAGAAUCCAACCAAGGAGCCUACUCCACCUCCAUCCUUCUCUCAAAUCUCACCCUCAACUACUCUAAAUCCUCUCUCACCAAAACCCCCUCCUUUCGCCUCCAUUCCUGCUUCCUCUGCAAACGCACACUCUUGCCUGCAAAUGAUAUCUACAUGUACAAGUAAUUUCAUUCAAUUCCCCCUUUUCUUUUCUCUUUUUUGUUUCCUUUUUUAUAAAUAUAUUUAUGUUUAUCAAUAUAUAGAGGAGAUAGGGGAUUCUGCAGUGAGGAAUGCAGGCGCAAACAGAUUUUCAUGGAUGAAGAAGAGAGUUUCAUGAAAGACAAUAAUUCUCGUAAAACCCCGUCGUCUUCGAGCUCUGAAUCUUCUUCUUCUUCUUCAAUGGCGGCGGCGGCGGCGAAGGGGAAGGGGAAGGCGGCUUCUAGGAGUAAUAAAUAACUGCAAAAGUGGGAGGGGACAGUUUUGAGAGGGUUUCGGAUGAAAAUUACGGAAGUACCCUUAGGUGUAAUUUACUAAAUUACGGAUGAGAUGAGAGACCCUAAUCUAACACUCCUACUUCCUUUGUUUGGAAUUCAAUAUAAUCCUCAAGUUUAAAUACUACGUUGCUUCUCUUCCUUUUUCUUUAAUCUCUGUAAUUUUACUUUUUAAAUUGAGUUUGAGGGUUAAUUUUGAAGGAAGUAAUUAAUAGUUGAAUUAAUUAGGGUUUAUAGGAGGUUGGAGGGUAAUUAUGUAACUUGGUAAAAACAAUGAGGUUAAUUUUGUUUGCUCCCUAGAAGAGAAGCAAUUAGGAAGAAAGGAAGAGAAGGGAAGGUGAAAUCUCCCACAUUUUGGCAACUACCCUUCUUCUGACACUUAAGUUUGGCUUUUUCUUUGCCUCUUUCUUACAAAAGGACUGAAAGGACUAAGAGGGUAAGUUUUUUGGGGGGGCACACAAACCCCCUUUUUGGAUUUUUCCCUUUUUUUUUUCUUUUUCUUUUUCUACUUUUUUGCUUACUUACCUUAAUCUUUUUUUUUCUUUCAAAUAUUACUUUGGAUUUUGCCAGAAAUCAACAAACUAUUUUGUAUUUUUUUAAUGUAUUCAUUUUAGUUGGUGUUUGAUUUGUUUAUAUAUUCAUUAUAUUGCCACAUUUAGUUUAUUGAGUUUAUGUAAUUUCAAAAGGAAUUUGUUUUUGGUUGUUAUGCUUUUACUUUUGGUUUUUUUUUUUUUUUUUGUUGUUGGUGUACUUUUCAAAUGUUUAUUUUGGUCAUAGUUUUUUUAAUUUUGGUUAAUUUAGGGUUUGGAAUUUUAAAUAGUGACAAUUUUGAUUUUCUUAAUAAAAAUGAAAUGAAAGUAGAAAAUUGUAAUGAUUAUUUUGAAAGUAUAAAAUCAAAAUAAAGCAAAGCAGAAGAAUAAAGACACCAAAUCUCUUUAAAUUUGUGUUUAUUUAUAUAUAUAUAUAUUUUUUAUAGCUUUUAGAGGUAUUUAAUGGAAUUUUAAUAAUUAAAAACAAAUGUUUUUUUUAGUAAUGAAGUUAAUGCAUGAAAAUAAGAAUCAAACAUGUGGUUUUUAGAUGAUGGUUGGAUUAAGAAUGUAUGAGGCUUAAGUUUAUUGUAAAGUUGCAAAUAUUAAUUUAGAUGUGAGUGAACAUGUAAGGUGUUAGAUGCCAAUUUUUUGUCGACAAAAAAAAAAAAGCGUAUUUAAUCUUUAUUAACGGUAAAUUUGUAAUUUGAAAAGAAAAUGACUUGUAAACUUAGGUCGAUAAGAGAACUAAAUAAUAAAAAAGAAGUAAGAAAUUCAAGUUACGUUUAGUGGAACCAUAAUGAUAUGUUUACGGAUGUAGUUGAUCUAGAAAUUCCUUUUCUUAUAAUUUUUGACUUAUUAUAGGUUUAUCCUUCGACUUAUUGGACUUAAAUGUGUGAGGGCUGCGCUUUGUUUGACAUUUUGCUAGGUUCGUCCUUGGCCAAGGUUGAGGCCUAGCGUACCUCACUUUAGUUAUACUUUGGGUCUAAAUAGUCAUUCAUGGAUGCCUCAUUAGGUAUUUGAUGAGGCUUGACCUUUGUUCAACCAAGUCUUUUCCUUUAGGCUCAUUUUUGUCUUAGCUCGAAUCGUGUUAUUAUUUUCUCAACUUUGUUUUUGAUGUUUUUGACAAAUGUAAUUUGGUCCAAAAUCACCCAUAACAAAACAAAAGGAAUUUGAUUCUAAAAACUUUUUGAAAUAUAUUAAUUUGUAUUCUUAAAUUUUGAAUUGUAUAUCAAAAUGAGCAUAGAUCAACAGACAUAAUAUUUAUACUAUCAAUCUUGAAGUCGGAAGUUUGAUUCUCUCGCAGUACAUAUUUAAUCCAAUACCUUACAAAUAAUAAUAAAGAUUGUAUUCCAAUAAAACCCUGAAUUAAUAAUUUUAUUAAUUUAAAUUUAGUUAUUUGGAUUGCAUUGGAGAAUCCUCACUGAUACAACGAUCUCAACACAUAUUAAAUACUAGUCAAGAUAUAUGUUCAAUUUUAUAAAAUACAUUAAGAUAAGUCUCUGUUUCAUAAUUGCUAACACAUAUAAAUGUAAAUGUAAGUUAAAUUUUGUGUUCACUUCAACAUACAUACACUAAUCUGCAUAAUAUACAUGUUUAUCAACCCUACAAGUAAAGCUAGGUUUAAACGAGACAUAUGAUGGGCCAACGACUCAAAAUGAAUUCAGAAUAUCAACUCGAAACUCGUGAUGAUAUAGAACGGCAACAAAUGCAAUCAACACAGAGGAAAGUGAAAAACUACUUUUGAACAUAAUGCCUGUGAACAAAGCUGAUUAUGUCUAAUAUAAAGGCUAAAGUGUCCUAAGCAAAAUCAUUAGGUACAAGAAAAAAGAGAGGUGCAAAUGGGGAAGGCUGUCUUGUCCACAAAGGAUAUCAUCAUUUGAUUAAACUGCGAUGAUCAUAAAAUCAGUUAAUAAGAUUCAUUAAUCUGCAUAAUAUACAUGUUUAUCAACCAGAUUUGAACAACAAAACUGCCUUUUGAUCCAAGUAGAAGUAAACGAAGUGGUUUGUCUCGUGUGUCACGUACGAACCUGUCGUAGAAACACCACAAAGUUCAACAUUCAGGAACAUGGUCUAAUCAACACUGAUUUAGAUAGCUACAUAAGUUCUGAUUGUAAGCGAAAACCACAAUCCUAAACCACUUAAAUGAUUGACUUUCAUUUCAAUGGCCACUACUCAACAUGCAUCAAUUUGGGAAGCAUUUAGGACACUGAAUUGAUUAUUAUACUAAGUAGGUUUAAAGGUUAAAAUAGUUUGCUUUUGAGGUGGAAACUAUUUUAGUAUGGGUGGUAAAUAGUAAACGCUAUAACAAAGAGAGAAAGAGAGAAUAUAAAAAAAAGUAACAAAGAAGAAUUUGAAACGGUAAUAAUGUAGCUAAUUAUAGGUUAUAAUAAUUGAAAACAUCAACUAGCCCCAAACUUAACUUGAGGUGGAAUAUAAUACAAUAGACUCCACCCACUUAAAGUUGGUGGUUCAAACACCCCAUUGAUGUCAAAGAAGGUUGUUUUCAUUCACAAGAUAAUCUCCAAUUUUUAAACCUUCUAUGAUAGACUUGUGUCACAGUAUUCACCUUGUCGGGUGCAACUCAUAAUUGGUAUUUGCACCAGAUUGAUGUUACAAAUGUCUUCACUCACAAAGAUCAAUAAAUUUACAUUGAGCAACCAUGAGGUUUUGUUGCUCAAAAGUAGAAUAGACAAGAUAUGGAACAUUUAGUUAGAAGUUGCGAAACUUGAAUGAAGAAUAGUAAGCCUAAUUACUAGUCAUACAUGUUGAUAAUGAUAACAUUGUCAUUGACAUUGACCACUCGGGAGGUUUCAAGAAAUAUCAAGAAAUCCACUCUUUUCUCUUGUUUAAUGCAAUACAAGGGAAUUGAAAGCAAUUUGUAAGCAUUUUCAGACCUUGACCAAAUUAUACAAGGGAAAAAGAGGGAGAUAAAUGUUCUGCACGAACUUGAUUAAAGUUAUGGAGGACAGGUUAGACUCUCUCACCCUCAAGAAAGGAAGGGAGCCUUUUCCAUUGUUCACCUUGACCUUCAUUAAUUAGGUUGCCAACUCAAAACCAAAAACAAAAUUAUUGGCCUUGAGAAACGUUAAACCACCUACCAUGGGAAUCAGCUUUAAGGGGUUCUUGUGCUCAGGGGUUUGAGAUAACUUCUAGAAGAGCCGACAGUUUCAGUUUCUUUUCCUUUCCUUUGGAAAAUAAAUGAAAUACAACAGCCUCAAAAUAAACAACCAAAGACAGACAAAGGACUACUGACUACCCUUGUUCUAAGUAGAGGAUAACCACCCACCCCGGAAAGUUCGCAAACCAAAAUAACUCCUUGUCUUCCAUAAAAAAAAGACCCAUUCAACUCAACAACACCCUCUAAUUCAGCAGCAACCAGGACAAGUUAAAGUUUUAGUUUCUUUUUCUAGUUAACUUUGUGUCAACCUAUUUACAACACGACUAAUCUCAACCGUGACAAGUGAUAAUGAGGCAGUCACAUAUAAUAACCAAUGGGUGCCGAUUUAAAAAAAAGAUGCAUGCCACUUAAUAACUUUUGCCUAUAAAUUCAAGAUACUUUUCUCUCAUACAUCCAAUAAUAAGAAACCAUUCACUACAUUGUUGCAGCCUAACGGAAUAAUUUCUCGACAAACACCAACCAUCUUCAUAACAGUAAAUUAGUCCAUGGUGACUGUGUGUUCAAAUUUCACGAAAGACUAACAACAGAGGAUAGAAGGAAAGGGAAUGGACAAAAUUGAGAAGAAAAAAUUUCAAGUUCUCUGUAAAAGUUACUCUUUACAACUCUAAAUUAGCUCAAUUCAAUUAAAUCUUGUGGAAGGACUGGUUAUUUAUUAAAUGCAGGUAAUCUAACCAGAUCAAACAUUACUACCAAGCAACCUAAAAACAUAGAUCUAUUUCAUUCACAAAGUAAACCUUCGCACCAAAGUCGAAACAAGAAGGCACAUUAUCAAGCAGAAAAAUCACAAACAACGUCAGCUGAAUUUUUAUAGGAAGAGGAAGAUCAGUUACCAAAAUUACGGCCAACAAUGCAGUGCCAGGUCGGUCCAUGUCUCUUAUCAAACUCUUUCUUAAUACACUCUGCUAUAUCCUUCUCUACACUAUGCUUUUCAAAUGCCUGAUACAAAAAUCCACAGAAGAUCAUGAGAAAGAACAACAGUCCAAAAAUGAAAUUCAAAUACGAAAUUAACAAACCAAAAAAAAAAAAAAAAAAACGAUCGAGAAAAGAGAACUUACAGCUAUAGCGACAUCAAUAGCCUUUUUCUGCACAUCACCAAACAUAUCGGCACUCUUGAUAACAAUUUUCUUCCCAGUAGUGGUGAC